rnacentral:lncRNA from 1 species
CUUCUGGGACGGCACAAUCCAUCCCCGGCGAGCACCUCCCAGGAGCAUGAAUCCCCUCUCCAUAGGAGAAACAACAAUAUGUAUGUGGCUCGUUAAAGGUGAACCAGUUCUUCACCCUGUCACCGAAGUUCUUAAAGCACACCUCGGCGAAUUGUUUGUAAUCAUCUCUGGAAAAAAAAUCAAACCCGAAGGAUGUUCAACAAAAUUGUUUCUUAGCUUAACAAUAAGUAGUUAUGUUAGUUUACUGAUGCAUCAUUGAAUGACAGUACAACAUUGUUUGUGAUCUGAAAAGAAACGUUUUUCUACUCAUGGUCCACUAAUGGCCUUCAUCCAAACCAAAUAGUGUAUAAGCAAAAUCAUAUAUAAAGUAAUCUUGUUCAAAUCGAAUUUAACAAUAUUAUAGUUCGUAGUUUUUGUACAUAUCGUGAUUGCAAUUACUGAUCUUUCUUCAGAACCAUUUUCUUACAAAUCAAUGUACUGUUGUUUGCCGCAUACUUACACAAUCUGCCUAUUUAAGAAGCCGCCGUACUUGUCUUCCAGUGCUUGAGGGGUGUCCCAGUGCCAAAUUGUAACAUAUGGCACUAUGUCUGAGUUUCAAAAAACAAAUAAUUAUUUGUGCGAGCUCUUAUGAGUCUGACUCAUUAAGCACUAAUCAAACAAAGAAAAAAAGGGUUUUCACCGUUAUCUAUCAGCGAGUUGAUCAGCUUAUUGUAGUAGUCGAUGCCUGCCUGGUUUACUUUUCCCGUCCCAUCUGAAAGCCAUAGUAAACAUGUGCUGAAAUUAGGACCCAAAUAUUACAACAAGUCUUAUCGGCUGCGUCUAAUUUGUAGAGGACAUCUUUAUUGUUCCUAACUUAUUCACCAUACAAAAUAUACAUGGUUAUUUUGUAUUUACCUGGCAGUAUUCUCGACCAAGAGAUGGAGAACCUAUACACUUUCAUGCCCAUGUCCUUGAGCGCUUUGACAUCCUCCUGUCAGUCAUAAAUGAUGACAUGAAUAAUGAUGACAACAUAUUAUCAUGCAUAUUUCUAUUUUUAUUAGAAGUGCAUAUUCCAAAUGGUUUUUCAAAAAAAAAAUGCAACGACAUAAAAACAGUCCUGUCAUAAUUGAGAUUUGUUAGAUUUUUGUUUGGAAAAACCAUUGGUCCCGUCAGAGUACUUACUUCAUAUAGAUGGUAGGAGUUUGCUGCAACAUCCCCAUUGGUCAUGUCGGAUAUGCGCUCUGUUCGUAUAUAUACACAUGAAAUUAAGGAGAAGGACGCACGAUAGACUAAUAUGAGUAUGUUUGUAAUAACACUGAAAAGGUAUAUGUUACCAGGAUAUGUGUGGCAGAAGUGGUCCCAAGUGCUUGGCCCCUUGCCAUCUUCAUUCCAAGCACCUUCAAUCUACACGGAUGACGACAUAUAUAACAUUUUGUGCAAUCGAACAAACCACUAAACAUGCAUUUUGACAUCAUGUUUUCCCUUAGGUAUUUGUUAUCAUUGAAACAGUUGACACCAUUAUUUUAUUUUAAAUUAACAGAUAUAAGGUUGUGCAAGAAAAUAAUUAGUACCUGGUACGCUGAAGUGGAGGCACCAAAUAGGAAGUCCUUGUCGAACCAGUCCCUUUUAGGGAUUUGCCACGGCUUGAGCUUAGUGAACACAGGCCCAAUGGGCUCUGCUGGCUUUGACGGUGUGCCUGCCCUGAUGGUGAGGUUACAGAACCUUCCCUUGCUCUUCUGUGAUGAAGCAGUAGACCGGAGCCAUAGGUUCUCACUGUUGCGUCCUGCACGGCUUCUAAGGCUAAGGUGGGUGGUGGGAUUCAGGGUAGCAGCAGCAAGUAGAGCCAUCUCUUGCUAGCAGCUGGCUGGAGUGUUGUGAGCAGCUUGAGGAGUGAGUUCCCUUGCAGGCUUAUGCAUCUAUUUAUAGAUGAGGAUGGAGAAUCUGUCAAGUGGGCGUGGUGGUGGGAUGAUAAUGAAGCUGCGGCUGGAACCCUAGCUAAGACACAAGGCAGUUGGCUAACCUGGUGGGAGCUCUUUGUAACUUACCACUGGGCAUUCCUGCAGCCCACCCCCAAAAAAUAUGGCAGAGGAACAUAUCCUUCUGCUGGGUCAAAUGCAACAAAAAAAAUGUGUUUUGUACAUUAACUAAAGAGAACAGUGAAAAGUUGUGCCUGUAGACAUUCGAAUGGCACACAUAUAAACUUGAACACACAAAGUUAAAGAGAAAUUGCCAAACUGUUUUCUUUAAAUAUCAAUCUCUCUACCCCAAUAGACAUGUUGAAACUCUUCUUAUCUUAAGCUAAUUAACAGUAGUGUCAAAUCUUUACCCCCACGUAGUGCCUGUAAAAUUUUUUUCUUCGAAAAGGGACACUUUAUUACUUAAAAGGUUUAUAAGCAUUACACCCAGCCUCUGCAUAACUAAGAUGCACACAGCCAACAAAGUCCUCACGACAAGCCAAAAUAAAAGAAGAAGGUGAAAUAGAAAGAAGAAUAUUUGUAUAACACCUAAAUCGUAGGUGGCCCAAUUCUAAGAUCAUGCUGCCACCCAUGUUGGGUGAAUGUAUCCCUCGCCGUAGCCCCCAAUCGUGUACACACCACCGUAAACAGGUCUCGAUUCUCCACUCGCUAUAGAGAGGACCAUAAACGAAGCAUCUCGGUACAUCUGUAGGUAACUUGCAUAAGAGAAGUACUUUUAUCGUUAAAAACCUUAUCAUUUCUACAUAACCAAAGCGACCAAAUCACAGGAAGCGCUCCCACCCUAAGAAGAAUUCUAAACUUGUGAUCAAUACCAUGCAACCAGUUGCCAAAUAUAUUAGCAACACUACAAGGAGGAUACAAGCUAGAAGCUAUUUGGAUGACUGACCAUAUAGAACGAUCCAAUUUACAUUGAAAGAAUAAAUGCUUUAUUGUCUAAUCAUGCGAACAAAUGUUUUCUUGUAGUGCCUCUAAUAUGUCCGGAAACAAUUUUCUACACACAUUCUUGUGGGGCGGCUGCCUUAUGUUAGGCAUUGUUGCCCACUAGGAAUGAUGUGGUUCUUAACAAUAAUUGUGUUUUGUUUCAUACCUUAUGAAGGUUAUUCAUGCAUGUACGCGAUGACCCCAUACUUGGUCUAUCCUGCACAGCCCGGAGGACUGAGACCUUUCUAUGAUGGUGUCUACCCGACUGGAGCAUACGGUCAAGGAGGUUUUCUCCCUUCAUGAUGGCGGUGUAAUCUCCAGAUAUGAUCCACCCCACCUUAGGUUGGACUCUUUAUUAUUUUCGUAAAAAGGCAUUUUAUUUUUGGUUGUGUUGGACGUGUUGGCUGCGUGCAUCGUGCUAUGUAGAGGACGCUUUUUAAUGUGGUUGUAUCACCUUGAUAUAUCAAUUAAAUGAAAUGUCCUUUAUAGAAAAAUAACAGUAGACAAAAAGCAUGACUUGACUCUACUUCCUAUAGAAAGUACAAAAUAUAUAUGUUCACCUAGAGGACCUCGACACUAUAUGUUGCAAGUAUUUCAGAAACUUGUUGUUCACAACUUUUAUUGCAUCACUCCAGUUAGCUUAACUUAGCGGCGUGGCCCGAUGCUAGCUCUGCCCCUGAUCAGAUCUAUUGUCUUUCCUAAAGAAAUACCCACCCUUUUCACUUCAAAAUCUUACAUUCUUAAGAAAUUGCUCCCCACUUCUACCAAUUCUCUCAACAUGCACGCUGUCCAUGUCAGCUUCAUGCCAUGUCACCAAUUUCCACAACGGCAUGCAUUUUGUUUGCAGCCGUUAAGACAUGCAACCUUCCAGCUCAGCUUCCUUUACUUCGGUCUAUGGUCUGGGCCGCAAUAUCUUCCACGCAAAUGAUGCAAAAAGAAACGGAUGGUUCUUAAUAUCCCCACUAUCUCACGGCCCUUCAACUUUUCCAUGUACGUUUAAGAAAGAAAAAAACUUCUCCAUGUAAAGAGCAACCCAAGAGGCGUUGAGAAAUUAUUUUCACCUUUAAAUACCUCAUUAGACCACAGAUGUUGCAUGCCCGUCGUCCCCAUUCUUCUCACACAACGUCUUCCUAGAUAGCAACGAUUCAUUGUUGAGGUCGGUUUCUCCAUAAAAGACUGGAGAUGAUGGAGACGGAGACACCAACGAGGGAGUGAGGCAUUGCAUGCAUGUCUUCCACCAUACCGGCCAAGUUGGAUGGCCGGACGCGGAGACGCGGCUGCCACUACUGAUUAUGUUGCCGAUGCCAUGAAGCGUGGGGUGAAACCAUGAAGCGCUCAAUCUAGGCCAUCCGCCCCGCCUUCUACCGAAGCGUCAUAUGCAACACAACAGGUCGCUCACACAUGACUCCCUCAUCACUUAAUUUCUUUCCUUCAAGUACCUGUCUGAUUUCUAUCCCCUACACGAGCAGGUCACCAUGCUGCCACAGACCGUUACGAUGCCAGUUGGCCUUCACAUCCGCUGCGUGGGCUGCACAUCCAGUUGCUGUGGGGAGAAAGAGCCUACAAGUCUUUAUACUAUUUUCAACACAAACGUCAGAAUUUUGUUUGCAACCUGGAUGCUAGAUAGUAGAUGUACUUGCAGCACUAUAUAGAAGUUGAGUGUAGUCACGUUCCAAGAAAUAUUAAAGCAAGGAAUUCAUUCAAGGUGCGGGCAGAGCAAAUUCAUGCCGUGAUGGUCAUGUUGUUUCCUUUAUUUCCCUUCUCUGAUUAGUAAUACAUUUUAUUUACAUAAAUUAUGUGCUAAUAUUUUUACAUUAGCAGAACAUCAGUUUGAAUUGCUUUCGUUGCCAUUGAGAUGAACAAAAUACUUUUGAUGAUCCAAUGAAUACGAAGAUCAUGUACAAGUUUGGUCACAAGCUUAUCAUACAGAGAAAGAUGGUUUCAGAGUUAGAUUAUAUAUGCACCAUCUUCUCCAGUUGUCUUUAUCAAUGAAUAUAAAGAUCAUGUACAAGUUUGGUCACAAGCUUAUCAUACAGAGAAAGAUGGUUUCAGAGUUAGAUUAUAUAUGCACCAUCUUCUCCAGNNNNNNNNNNNNNNNNNNNNNNNNNNNNNNNNNNNNNNNNNNNNNNNNNNNNNNNNNNNNNNNNNNNNNNNNNNNNNNNNNNNNNNNUGUCUUUAUCAAUGAAUACAAAGAUCAUGUACAAGUUUGGUCACAAGCUUAUCAUACAGAGAAAGAUGGUUUCAGAGUUAGAUUAUAUAUGCACCAUCUUCUCCAGUUGUCUUUAUCAAUGAAUACAAAGAUCAUGUACAAGUUUAGUCACAAGCUUAUCAUACAGAGAAAGAUGGUUUCAGAGGUUGAUUAUAUAUGCACCAUCUUCUCCAGUUGUCUUUAUUUUUUUUCUUUUCUUAUUAAAGUGCCCUUCUACUUUGACCUCUUUGUCACACUAGCAUCCCGCUGCAACGCGCGGGGUAUUGUCUAGUUAUCUAAACUAAGUCACCCUUAAGCAUAUACAUAUAUCCCACCAUAACACCCUAUAGAAGAAAGAAACCCCCUAAAUCCUCAUCUAAAUCACCUACCUACUACAUGAUCAGAAUAGUCUAGCCCCCUAAAUUUGCAUCUAAAUCACGUACCCAUCUCUGUGAGGAAUAUGCCGACGAUGCUAACGAAUCAAGGAUUUACCGUGUUCUGUGGUGACAUGCAUGGAUCCGAACACAGUGGCCCUUUUAACCUUCUUGCUACUCACAGUUCGUGGUUCUUGCAUUUGUCAGUACAGUCCACACAUCCAGUGUGUGGUUGUCUGUCAUCACAUGCAUGUGGGGGAUGUAGGAUUCUCGCCGCGUUUCUCAGCGGCGUCAGUUGAGAUCAAGACAAGGCGAUCUUACACUGUCCCUAUAAAAAAGUUUAUCUUGCACAUCAGUUGGUACCAUAUCUCUAUAAGUUAAACGUACCUUGCUUGAUUGAUUGUACGUAAUAUAUUGCAUCGCAUAGCGUACAGCUAGCGUAUCGCAUAUUGAUGUCACCGGCAAGUUCUUGAAUCUAAGGGUAUUAAUCUACAUAUUGAUGUCACCGGCAUGUUGUCAGUCCAGCUAGCGUAUCGCAUCGCAUCGCUAAACGAACCUUGCUUGAUUGAUUGUACGUAAUAUAUUGCUGCUUGAUUCACAAUAACACAUACAGUAGUACGAACACCGUCCUGAUUUAUUACCCCUCUUCGUAUUUAGAGUCAUAUUUUGACCAUACUUAUAACCAAUAAAAUAUAAGUUAUAUAUAGCAAAAAUAAUAUUAUCAAAAAAUAUCUUAAAAUGCGAAUCCAACGGUAUUAUUUUUAGUGACAUGCAUUAAUAUUUAUAAGUUAAAUUUAUGCUUAAAAUUUGACACAAAAUAUGAAGAGGCUAAUAAAUCAAGACCAAGAUAGUGCUACUACUCCCUCCGUUUUUAUUUACUUCGCAUAUUAGCUUUGGUCAAAGUCAAACUUUGUAAACUUUGACAAAGUUUAUACACAAAAGUAUUAAUAUAAACAAUAACAAAUCAAUACCCUUAGAUUCAUUAUUGAAUAUACUUUCACAUCAUAUAGAUUUGUUAUUAUAAAUGUUCAUAUUCUUUUAUAUAAACUUGGUCACACUUUGUGAAGUUUGAUUUUAGUCAAAUCUAAUAUGCAGAGUAAAAAACGGAGGGAGUAUGUCUUUGUUAGUGGUGAGGAUCAAUGCGCCACGUCAGUAUCACAUGGCUAGGAAAGAAGAAUCUGCCAUGUCACUAAUAUUGUUUGGCCUGAUCACAGCAGGGCAGAUGUGCUAUAUUAAUUGUGCUACUAAUGAAUUUGUUCGCUCUAGUGGGAGUCUCCGCAAAUUACGCUGUGGUUAGGCUAGUUGUCAUGGAGAGUAUCGUAGUAUCAUACAUAUAAUACUAGUGUAUAAUAGUACCUUCCUAAUGUAUAGUAUCAUAUAUUAGUAUCAUGUAGUACUUUAUUUAUUGCCAUGCAUGAUACGUAGUAGCAUAGCAUUUAUUAUGAUAUGGUAUCAUGAUAUGAUACUCAACCGUCUCUUUCUUCAUUUAAUUUCAUGACACCUCAUCAAAAUUGCCUAGUUGGCAUGCAUGAUACUUCCAUUACGACCAGCCUUAGCUCGGUUUUUACAGCGGAAGCGAUUACUCCCUACUGUAGACACCACAUUUUGCCACGACAAAAACUUCUAUAAGAUGAACUCAAAUGGGAAAGUGUACAAUAUCAAAAAUCAUCAUGUGUUUGAGAUGAACAAUUUUGAUGUUUGGUUCAUGGCCCUCCGGUCUCAUCUCAAGGGCCAAAGUUGUGAUCAAAGUAAUAAUAUUUGGUAUUCAGAGUACUGUUCGGUCAAAUAUGCCUCCAAGCUAGCUCAUAUGAAAAAAGUGCUCUAUACAGAUUGUUUUUGCCUCAUCAAGUCGAUCGAUUUUGAUAUUUGGAUCAUCUUAAUCCGAGAUCAUACGCAAAAGUUAGAGCCAGCGCAGUGCGCCCCUACCAUGAGCAUUAAGUGACGUCCAGCACCCGACACUCAUAUGACUAUGUCUGAUCGAUAGUACGAGUUAUUGCCUGUUUUGCACUAGUUAUUCGGUGCUCAAUAUGAUCUCGAAUAAAAAAUGUCCAAGACAAAAGUUGCCUCAAAAGUGGCCCGCAAGAUGCAGCCAGGUUUUAAACCGAACAAUUUUGAAAAGUUUGAACCAUACAUCGCAGGAAACAUGUAAGUGCUAAGAUACAUUUGGUUCCAAUGCGGUUAAUCCGGGACCAUCUGCAUUGGGCACGCAGGAACACAUGUCAAGUGCUAAUAUACAAGUACGGUGGGCACACGAAAGUGCGGUGCAUUGUCGCCACUGAUACAGAGACGUGCUAGCGUGGAUCACGCAGCAAUAAUGUACUCCUCCCAUCCAGCCAACUACCGUCGUUAGCGAUGAAGAUAAGGAGGGUACCUGCAGUGGAAGAUCCUUUAUGUCAACGGUCAUGUGAUGUGAUGUGUGUUCUGCCUGCCUGGCAAAAUUAUAGUAAACGAGAGACAUUAAUGUUUAUUUGCUAAUUAAUAGUAUUGCAUGCAAUGAACUAACCACUGUAUGUCGUGUUUGAUAGUCUCAAGUCAUUAAAAGCAUGCACACCCUCAUCUUUUAUUGGUUGAUAUGUCAAGAAACAAGAACGAGGUAGAAGUUAAUGCACCGCGCCUAAGUGUUUUGUGAUUAUUUGGUUUUUGUAAGAUGAUUUACACACCUAGACGGAGGGAGUAUCUGUUCAAGCCUACUACCGUCAAUGGAAGAUCCUUUAUGUUUCCCAUGCAUGCAGAUCCAGAACAACCCGACUGCAUGCCCAAUCCGCUGCACCUUGUUGACCCCCAAAUCCUCGCCGCAUUCUGUAAAUAUCGCAGGAACUCCACUGCAUGCCCUCAUCACCCAUAGAAUCUCGAUAGACUAUUUUUUCCUCCUUCGAAUAAUGGAUGUGAUUUCCUUUUCGGGUUAGAAAGAGGGUGCGAUUAUUGCACACGUCCUUUUAUUAUUGCAAAGUUUAUUAAAACCCAACAUCUCACACGGUGGUACAGAUGGCCACAAGGCUACGGUCGACAAGGCUAAAACAGCCAAAACGAAAUAAGAUCGUAUGGUGACGAGUGGCCACUGAUGCAGACCUGCUAGUGUGUGGAUCAGGCAGCAAUAUAUCACCAUCAGCCAAGCUUACGUCCAUGACCAAAGUUUUCAAUCAGUCAAAUAUAUUGUCUUAUGAGAGCAUCUAGGACCGGACCUCUCAAACCCGCCACAUACAUUCAGGCGGGCUGCCCGGUCACUGCUCGGUCACGGUUUUUUGUCCAGACGGGUCUCUCAAACGCCCGGACUGACCGGCACUUCCCAUAUCCAACCCAAAUAUGGGGCGGAUAUAUGGGAGCCCGCGCACACCCGGACACGCCCGUCACGGCGGUCUGACGGCAUGGCCCCACAUGGAAACGUCCGGCAGCCCGGCGGUCCGACAGGUGCUGCCUCCGUCGCCGCGGUGUGAACGUCGCAUGAUUCCGCUCCGGCUUGCCGCCCAAGACGAAAUCGGGUUAUUUUCGCCGACCGGCGUCCCACAGCCCUAACCCACCCCCACCCCCCUCUCUGCGCCGCCGGUCUGAACCCAUCCACCUCCUCCCUCUCUGGCUCCGGCGCUCUGCCCACACUCCCGCACUCUGCCAUGGCGAGAGCAAGAUCACCUAUUAUGUCAUGCUGACGUCGGAGCGCCGCUACGAGAUCCAGUAGCGGAUCCGGAGUCGGACGCACUCUUUGUCGAGCUCGACAUGAACAUAGAGGCGGAGGAAGCCGGAGCGGAGCAGCUGGAGGCGCAGGAGGAGUCGGAGCUGCAGCUGCCGCCCAUGCUUCCGGAGCCGAGAACGGAGAUCGCCGUGAUCUCUGACGAGGAGUAGGUAGGAUCAACGUAGUGCAUAGGUUUAUUUUAGUUUGCAUGUCUUUGUAUGGAUUUAAGAAUCUGGUAGAAGAUGUCCGGAUGUAACAAGUGAAAUUUAGGGUGUGUCUGGUCACUGAGAAUGACGCGUCCGUGGGCAUUUAAGGGGCUGGAUGUGCCAUAUGUGUCUCUAGAUGCUCUGAUCAAAUGUUGAUUUAAAAUACGAGGGGCACAAUAAACCAAGAUGGAGGAAGUAUGUGUCAGUGUGGAGUAGCAUACAGCCAUAUAUGUUUAUGGAUGUGAAACACUAGCUGGACCGACUACAUACCGGUGUCAUCAAUGCAUGUGACUGACAACCACUCGGUGCCAUCAUUCACUUUGGUACUUGUUGUGAUUAAUUAGCAUAUAUUAAUUAGAGGAAAAUCUCCUCUUGUCUAAUAGUGCGUGCGGUUCUCUAUAGCAACCGACGCGUCUCCUUUUCUCAACCGUCAUGACUUCUAACCUAUGACGGUUCAUGUAAAGACGUCUCCUACUUGCGUCCCUUGUACGCAUAUAAAUAGCUACUCUAUCAAUACAAAGAUCAGUCGAUCAUUUUUCAUUCAAACAGUACUGUUAUCGACAUGGUCAUGCCAGCACCUGUAUAGGAGUGGUGACCGCGGCACAUCGCACGACUCGUUCACACAGAGUUUAUUUUUUUUUAGCCUGUUUCAAGUGCUUUGUAUUCUUUGGUGAACUUUUGGAAUUUACUUGAUUCUUUUUCAGAAGAACAAAAGAAAAAGGAACACGCAGUUUGAAUCCAUUGGGCCUGGAGGGAACGUGGCGAAUGUCUCCUGGCCAAGAUACAAGCGCCGUGGGCACGGUGCAAGGGCGACGUGGCAGUUUGGACGCCGAUGCGGCGCAUUGUCGCCACCAAUACGGACGGCCUGGCGUGGAUCACGCACCAAUUUAGAUGCCAUCCAGAUCGAGGACAGCUACGUCGAGCGAUGCGAUUGGCCAGCUCGACGAUAUGCCGGCGCAAGGAAAUAUGCCGAUCCACACAAGAAACACGACGGCGAGAAUCGCGCGUACGCCCCACAUGCAUAUGCAUGCGACUUCGGACAGCCCCGCUCACCGAGUACCACUAUUAUUGGGGUCCAUGCACGCACGGCACCACACACCACACGUAAAUGCCAUGUGAUGCCUGGCACCACAGCAGGCCACAGACCAUCCAUGGACCGCGAUCACUGAGUACGUUUACUCUCUUUGGUAUUAUGCUUAAUAUGCCAUGUGAUGUGUACGUGUUUAGCCUUAAUUAGGGGGGCAGAUCCUUCAUGCUCCCCCAUAUGCAGAUCCAGAUCGAGCCGACCGCCCAAUCAGUAGCCACGGCUGACCACCAUAUCCUCAGCGGCUGGUUCUCUCUAGGACUCGGUCGACUUAGACAUCGCGAAGUGUAAGUCGGCUGAUGUCACCUGUUCAUAUUUUUUCGUUCCUGUCCAAACUAUAUCCCCGUCGUUGCAUCUUGUGGCUUUUUGGGCUGGCCCCCCUUUUUUGUCUUUGGUCUGUGCGUUUAUCAAGUUGUGUUGAGCCAGAUAUUUUGGGCAGUUAUUUCUUGUUUGGUGCUGCUGCUCGUUGAUUAUGUAAUCUUUAGCUAUUGUUUGAGCAUUUUUUCUGAAACCUUUAGCUAUUGUUCGAGUAUAUUAGCUUUGUGGUACACCGGCCAGCUAUAUUAGUUGUUGUUCCUACAGUUUUCUUAACAUGCUAUUUCUUUCGUUUUGUUUGGAUUUCUUUUUCAUUUUUAUUUACAUUUUCACAUUUUGUUUCUAAAAAUUGUAAACAUUAGUCAAAUUUUUUUCGUGCAUUUUCAUAAAUACUCAUCGUGUAUUUGAAAAAUAUCUAACGUGUCACUAGAAAAUGUUUAAUAUUAUUUAAAAAUAUUCUUCAUGCCAUUACAAAAAUAUUCAAUGUUAGUUAACGCUCGUUUUUAGCUUGCAUUUUCUUUGUUUGAUUGGGUUGAGUCGGGCAUUGUUUUACUCGUCUGUUUGUAAUUUCUCUAUCAUCCACAAAUUGAAAAAGGUACUAACAAAAAUAAAGAGAGCUCAUCAUAUGUUGUUUCACAUGCGAUGCGGGCAUGCAACUAGGUUUGUGUGGCAUGCUUUUAAAAAAUUCCAAAUGUCUCUUUUUAGAUAAAAAACAAAUAUAAUAUAAUAUAAAAUAUAAAAUUCAUUUAAUAAUAGGAUGUGGAUACGGCUCGGUCGACUAAGACUUAGAAAGAAGUCUCAGGCAGCUGGCAUCAUGGCGGGGUGCUGUAGUAGCCCGAGGCAACACUUUCAGAUGCAGGUCUAGUUGCAUGCAUGCAAUUGUCCAUCUUCCGAGAAAAACACCAGGAGUUGCAGUCCUGGGCGACACAUGUAGUUGCAUGCCAAGUGUCGGACUUGCAACUUCUCCCUCCCAGACAAAAUACCACAGAGAUGCAGUCUGGUUUAAGACAUGCAGUUACAGUUGUCGGAUACCGGGUUCCGGCAAAACCCUUAAGGUUCGAACAUUGGGGUGCGCACGAAGAUUUCUCCCUAUCGAAUCUUGCUCUCUCUGCCUCAUCGCGAUCACUAGGCUUAGCUAAACGAAAUCACAGAACAAGAGACACAAGGUUUAUACUGGUUCAGGCCACCAUUGUGCUGUAAUUCCCUACUCCAGUGUGUGGUGUGGUGGAUUGCCUCUUGGGCUGAUGAUGAACAGUACAAGGGGAAGAACAGCCUCCUGAGGCGAGGUGUUCUUGUGAUCUAUGGGUGGUUCUGGUCCGAAUGGAUCUCUUCCUUUUUAUGGUGGUGGCUAGCCCUAUUUAUAUAGGCCCUGGUCCUCUUCUCAAAUAUUGAGCGGGAAGGGAUUCCACAACGGCGGGAUUUGAAAGGGGAAAACCAGUACAGGCUAUCCUGACUAAAGGUGGUCUUCGCCUGCCAAAGGCUCUGGUGAUGACGACGUCUUGGGCUUCACCGUGACCUCCAUCUUGCCGUCCUGCUAGUCCUGGUCUUGUUGCACCGAUAUGGAAACCUUUGCGUGAUGCCUCGGUACUCCGCGCCUGCGCUUGCCCCCUUAGCACCAAAGGGGAACGAGUACACUGUGCGCGCUGGAGCCCGCCUGGCGUUGGUCGUCAUGGCUUGCGUCAGGGGAACCUCGCGAGGUACCCCGUGCCUUGAUCUCUCCGCCUCCCUCGUGAGCCUGCCUGAUGAGGCCGCUCUUGAGGAGGCCUUGCGUCGUCCGCUCCACGAGGCUUGGCCCCUCGCGAGGGUCUUGAGUGCUUGGUUGAUGAAGACGGGCCGCACUGGACCGCCCGUGGAGUCACGCAGCGGGCCGCAGGCAGGCAAGUCUGGAUACCCCCAUAUCCAGAACGCCGACAACAGUCUGGGGCAACACUUGCAGUUGCAUGCGUAGUGUCGGGCAUGCAACUACCCCCGCCUCUCCCCGUUGCUCUUCGACAAAAACACAAAGGACAUUUGCAGUUGGGAGGGAUGCGUGCAAUUGCAGUCGAGGGCAGCACGUGGAGUUGCAAGCCUAGUGUUGGCCAUAGAACUGCCCCCCUCUCACGCUGCCCACCGACCAAACAAAAGGUUGGGUGCGGUUGGGUGUGUUGACAUGCAGUUGUAGUCGAAGGCGACACUUGAGUUACAAGCCUAGUGUCUGGCAUGCAGUGUUCUGCAUUAAUUGUGGCCACUGAUGCAGACCUACUAGUGUGAAUCAGGCAGCAAUAUAUUCCUGUUAGUCAAAUAUAUUGUCUUAUGAUCAAAAUUUGACUUAAAAUACAAGGGGCACAAUGAACCGUGAUGGAGGAACUGUAUGUGUCAGUGUGGAUCACGCAACAAGGUAUUAGAGCAUCCACAAUGUAGUGGUUUUCAACCUCGUUAGCUGCCUCUAAAGGCUUGGAGCCCGCCUCUACACACGGCAGACAUUGCCUCUAUGUUUUUUAAGCUUGGCGUAGGCGCUAGCCUUGGAGGCUGCCUCCAAGGAUUAAACAACAACAUGGUCCUACUAGUCAGUGGAUAACUGAGCGUAGCUUAGAUGCAAGGCGCGGGAAUUCGCAGUUAGACCAUCAAGGUUUAAGUCUCGGCUUGAGAAUUUGGAUCUCACGGGGUUUUCUUUUAUAAAAAAAUGUCAACUGGAUAGUCUAGCCCGGGUUGGUCUCUUUCAUUUUUUUCCCUACUAGUCAGUGUAUGGUUGUGGCUAGGCCAUGCAAAUUGAUCAAUACACUCUUCAUUGUUUAUUCUAUUAUGGGACCAUUCCUUAGAGUCAACAGCCGAUGCUACACACUACAUGGUUUCUAGAUCUGAUUAGAGGCUGGAGGUGGGGCCCAGGAUAGAGGCAGCCUAGUGCCCUUAUUUACACCAUCCAACCAUCUAUGUUUACCGAUGUGAAACACUCACUACUAGGGAAAACCCUAGCAGUAGCGCUGGUUUUGUGCUCACUAGUAGCGCGGGUAGGCGCGCUACUAAUAAGGCGCUACAACUAUUGCUUAGCAGUAACGCGUGCCCGCACGCGCUACUGCUAGGACAAAUAGCUGCAGCGUUUGUUCAGUACCACGCUACUGCUAAGGUAACUACUUGCAGCGUGUUUUUUGUCCAUCGCUACUAGUAUUUUUUUAUUUUUUAUUUUUAGUGUAUUUAUGCGCCAUCGUACAAAUAUUGGUACAAUACCAGUUAUGAGGUUUACAUCAUUAUGUCCAUAACAGUGUGUCAAAUGAAGGUGGAUUAGGUUCAAGUGGAGGCAAUAUGUGGUGCAUGUCAAAAGUAUACUACUAAUCCAAACUUGAUCUAGUUUGGACUAGUAGUACUUUCGAUGUGCACCACGUGUUACCUUCACUUGAAUCUAAUCCGCCAGCAGAAGCUAUUUAAUCAUCAUCAUAGUCAUUACCACCAACAUUAUUUAUUUAAUCACUACUAACACUAGCUAAUAAUAAUCAUCACAGUCAUUACCACCAACACUAGCUAUUGUAUCAUCAUAUAAUAGUGUAGCACAUCAUCAUCCUCAAACUCAUUUCUAGCUAGCUAAUCACUCCUGCUGCUCUCUCUUAGUUAAAUAAUAUAAAACAUGUAUAGCUCUCCUCCUUGAUCAAGCUAGAGCAUGCAGAUGAACCUGUCUCCUAAUCGUGGGUAGCACAUCUGUUUGCUGCCCCCUAGUACUUCUCUGUGCUCCCCUAUCACAUAUUUGGUCCAGUCUUGCACUAUUAAGCAUCCGUCGCUAAUCUUGAAUGCACUAAAGUAAUCUGUAGGAUAUCUUGGCCGUAAGCUGGUAAUACUCAUGGUACCUUUAGUCUCGAUUUCAUAAGGCACAACAUUCAUCGGGAGUCCCUGUUGAAGAACAUCGUAUGGUAACAUACUUAGCAAUGAAGUUUAGCUUCAAAAAUAAUGUAUGGAAAAGAUGCACUGAUGACAAAUAGUAAAAAUCUUAUCAUCCUUCCUAAAUGGAUGUGACCGUAGUUCAUUACAAACACUAUUGGUCGCACAUUUUCAGUACUAACAUUUCUAAAUGCAGAAAGAAAAUUUGUCUUGACAGUAUCAAGAUCCUCAAGCCAUGAAACAUAAUGACUGAGCUCCUCGCAGUUGAGUUCAGCCCCAGGACAGUAUACGGCUCUGUCUACCAAGCGCUGGACAUGUUUGUUUGCACCGAAAUAAGCUGACAAUACAAAUUAGUUGUCAACUAUUUUUGAAUAAACAAUAUCAAAGACAUAAAAUAUGGUUGAUAAACUUACAUAAUGGUAUAACUGGAGGCGUUUGCACAUCGACCCAGAUGCCGGUAUUACCUUCAAUAUCAUCUUCCGGACGAAUAUCAAUGGUGAUAACCAUAUCAGGAUCAAAUGCAUAAGUCUUGCAUAGUGCUCGCCAUGUUUUGCAUCCAAAAUAGGUGUAGUCGUCUGAAUUGUACAAUUUUGCAUGGAAAAUAUAACCAUGCUCGGUCUUCAAGUAAACUUUCUUUUCCUCCAUACUAUGACUGAAACCUAUCUAAUCCAAUACAAAAACUCUUGCAUGGCAGGGGAUAUGCUAGUAGAAUAGUAAAAAAAAAAUAUAAGUUGAAGCUAAUGAAGCAGAUGUCAUGCUUAAUUACGAAAAAAGACUUGUCGUUGUGACUUACUGUAUCAACUUCGAAGUUCUCGUCCAGCUUGAUGCUGAAGCGCCUAUCAUCAUCUAGGAAGAUUCCGUCGCACAGGCCACGCUCGUCUUCGCAGUAUUUGCAAAUACCGAAAUCCUUUUCAUCGUCAGACAUUUCCUAUGUUCAUAGUUAAAACAUUAAUUAAAAAUUGAUCAAAGACAACUACCAAGAUACUCAACACACAAAUUCGGGGCACUCGAUAUUUCCUACAUAUUCUGGCACAAGUCAUGCCAAAAUUCACGGAAAAAUCCGGCAUGACCUUUGCUAAAAUAGGACAUAUCGAGUGCCUGAAAUUUGCCGGAACGGAAAUGAAUCAACACUCCGGCAAAACAUAGGCCACUCGGAGGUGUAACCUGCAAACAUGACCGGCCACUUGGAUAUUGAGCAACACAAGAUAUACAUUUCAAAAAAUCUUAUAGGACUCAAAUUAUCAUGCAUUCAAUAAGCAAAAGUUAAUCAUCUCAUGCGUCUGUACAUCGUCGAAUAUUAUCACUAAUACAUCACGAAUAGUGUCAUACAUAUAACAUCACUAAUACAACUAAAAACCUAGCACACGACGGGUAUCGGCGCGGGCGGUGGACACCCAGAGAGAAGGAACCAUCACGGGAUCAUAGCUGCAGUGAGAUCCCCGAAGAACCUGCCAGGUAUUGGAGAAUGGCCUGUGCUCCAACGCAAACAAGUAGCGACGGACAUGCGCGUCCUCCUCACUGACACGGUGAUGCACCACCUCCGUGGAGUCCUCGAGCCUCUGGAUCAUCACUGGCCCAUGCAACCGCCACCAAAGAAGGUUCGGGUCAACGACAGGCUGGAUCCUCACCAACCUACGCCCCCCGGUAGGUAACGCCUCCUAGUACCACCCCAGCGGAGCCCAGUCCCGUACAUGGCCGAUCUGGUCAAGCAGGUGUCAUCCUCCGCCGACUCGACGACGAGGAUGCGGGAUAGGCAUCGUCCACGUCGAGGCGGGAAAAAUUGCUUUAACUAAAAAAUAGAAACAAGUUCUUACUAACUAGUUCUAUUAAUUCAACUAGUUCUUACUAAAAAUAAACUUACUAUAAAUAAAAAUAUUCUAGUACCUAAUUAGUACCUAGUUCUUACUAACUAAUUAGUACCCAGGAACUACUGCCCUAAUUACCAUCUAAUUUGAUGAACCUAUAGGGGUGGAAAGUGGUAGCGGAUAUUUCAAUUAUCCAACUAUAAAGUGAAAUAAGUGGUCAAAUUUUACUCGUUUUAUGAUUCAUCUUAGAAAUUUGAUUCGUUUUCACCCUUACAUGAACCCUAACUCAUUUGAGCCGCAUCCGCAUCCGAUUUGUUUCCGCUCUUACAUGAACCCUAACUAAUUUGAUGCAACUAAAAUAUAAAGAAACCCUAGGCAGAGGUAGGGGAGAGGGAGGAGCGGGCGUGCUCACCUCGGGUGCCUACGACGAGGGAGGGGUAGGGCGGCGUCGAGGUCGGGGUCGGGGCUCGGGCGCGCGGUGGAUGGCGCCCGGCAUCGAGGUCGGGGUCGGGGCGGCGUUGAGGUCGGGGGCGGGGGCGGCGUUGAAUCUGGGGUCGGGGCGGCGUAGAGGGUGCGGAGAGCGCGCGGCGGCCGACGGGCGACGGCGGCGGCGAGAGUGGAGAGAGUUGAAUUUGGGGGAAGUGGCCGCGUGGGGAAGGACGAACCCCGUGGUUAAGUUAGAAGUAGCAGUAGCGCGUUCCAGGAAAAGCGCUGCUGCUAACUUAGCUACAGCGCGUUCUGUGAUACACGCUACUGCUACUCCUUUCUUUUUUUCCCUUUUUUCAUUUAGUUUUCUUCACAAUUUAUUUGUUUCCUUUCACCUUAUUCUAUUUCUUUCAUUUUCAAUUACCUUUCCAUUUUCUUUCCAUUUAAUUUUAUAACCUUUAGCAGCAGCGAGUUUAUAUUAAAACGCGCUGCUACAAACAAAGUAGCGGUAGCGCGGUUCGUCAUAGAUCGCUACUACUAUGUGUAGCCUAUCCGCUAAGCCGUGGGAAUUUUAGUAGUAACGUGUGUACAGCAAGACACGCUACUGCUAGAUCUUUAUCUGCAGCGCGGUUUCCUCAGGCGCGCUACUGCUAAUUAGCACCAGCGUGCUUUUUUGACCCACGCUACUGCUAAAGUUCUGUGUAUAAGGUUUUCCCUAGUAGUGACUAGCUGGACUGACAUGUCGGUGUCAUCAAUGCCAUGUGACUGAGAACAACUCACUCAAUACCAUCAUUCACUUUCCGACUGUUAUCAACAUGGUCAUGCCGGCACCGGUAUAGGAGUGGCGAACACGGGAGUUAAUUGCAGAAAACCACCAUAAUUGUGGCUAGGUAUGUAGAGAACUAUCUAGUCCCUAUUUUUUUCCAAAAGCCACUGCGUUUCUAGUAAAAUUUCUAUAGAAAGCAAUGACCAGGUGAUUUGGUGCAUUUGAUCACUACCUGACAAGUAGGGCCAAUUGUAAGGAGCCGAUUUGGCAAAAAAUGACGUACACCCCAUGGAUUUCACAAAGACACCUUAUCCAAAACAAAAAGCAAUCACCCCCCCCCGCCGGUCGCACGUUGCGUGCCUCCUUAGAGGUGGUGGCUGGACAUUGGGAGCCGGCCUCCGGCAGGACCUUGCUCGCGGGGCAAGACGGCCUCCCUCCUCCCUGGCCGUCGUGGCUGGCCAUCGACUCACCCCUAGCUGCAAGCUCACAACCCUAGCAUGGACACGUGAUGACCCACAAGUAUAGGGAAUCAAUCGUAGUCCUUUCGAUAAGUAAGAGUGUCGAACCACAUGAGGAGCAGAAGGAAAUGACAAGCGGUUUUCAGCAAGGUAAUGUCUGCAAGCACUGAAAUUAUAAGUAACGAGUAGUUUGAUAGCAAGAUAAUUUGUAACGAGCAAGUAACAAUAAUGGUAACAGAAGUGCAGCAAGGUAGCCCAAUCUUUUUGAGGCAAAGGACAGGCCAAAACGGUCUCUUAUGAUAAGCAAAGUGUUCUUGAGGGCCCAUGGGAAUUUCAUCUAGUCACUUUCAUCAUGUUGGUUUGAUUUGUGUUUGCUACUUUGAUAAUUUGAUAUUUGGGUGGAUCGGUGCUUAGGUGUUGUUCUUACAUGAAGAAACCUCCUACUUAUGAUUAAACCCCUCGCAAGCAUCCGCAACUACGAGAAAAGUAUAAGAAUAAAUUCUAACCAUAGCAUUAAACUUUUGGAUCGAAAUCAGUCCUUUACAGAAUAACACAUAAACUAGUGUUUAAGCUUCUGUCACUCUCGCAACCCAUCAUCUAAUAACUACUCCACAAUGCAUUCCCUUAGGCCCAAAUAUGGUGAAGUGUCAUGUAUAGUCGACGUUCGCAUGACACCACUAAGGGAAUCACAACAUACAUACCAUCAAAAUAUCGAACACAUAUAAAAUUCACAUGAUUACUUGCAACAAGAUUUCUCCCGUGACCUCAAGAACAAAAGUAACUACUCAAAAAUGAUAAUCAUGCUCAAGAUUAGAGGGGUAUUAAAUAGCAUAAUGGAUCUGAACAUAUAAUCUUCCUCCAAAUAAACCAUAUAGUAAUCAACUACAAGACAUAAUCAACACUACUAGUCACCCACAAGCACCAAUCUAUAGUUCCGGUACAAAGAUUGAACACAAGAGAUGAACUAGGGUUUGAACGGAGACGGUGAUGUUGAAGAUGUUAAUGCAUAUUGCCCUCCCCAAGAUGGGAGAGUUGUUCGUGAUGAUGAUGACGAUGAUUUCCCCCUCCGGGAGAGAAGUUCCCCUGGUGGAAUCGCUCUGACGGAGGGCAAAAGUGCUCCCGCCCAAGUUCCUCCUCGAGACGGCGGCGCUCCAUCCCGAAAGUCAUCUCUAUAUUUUUUUUCUAGGUCAAAACGACUUAUAUACCGGAACAAGGGCACAAGAGGUGGGCAGGGCUGAGCAAAACCCACCAGGGCAUGCCCUGGUAUCUUGUGCUCACCAGGUGGCCCCCCUCCGGUACUUAUUUGCUGCAUUAUUUCUUAUUUAUUCUAUAAAAAAUUCUCGUGAAGUUUCAUCUCAUUUAGAGUUGUGCAGAAUAGGUAGCCUGCCGAAAUUCUCCUUCUUUGUGUGAACCUUGCAUAUUAUGAGAGAAAAGGCAUUAGAUUUACUGCAAAAGGCAUUAUUAUGCAUAAAAAUAUUAUAAAUAACAGUAGGCAAACAUGAUGCAAAAUGGACGUAUCAAGAGGCGGCCAAUCCCACAUGUUCACCCGGCCCUGUUGUUGUGCUACCAGAGCUCCACCGGCCUACGAGCGCUCCGCCCCACUGCCAACCGCCUCCUGCUCUACUCAUCUCCUCGAUCCUCUUGCCGGCGAGCUCGCCUCGCGCGUCGGACAUCCAUGACCAUGGCGCCGCCUGCCAUAAACCUAACCCCAAAUGUGGUGGUUUUCUGCUUUUAACUAAGAUCGCGGCGCAUCUCCCGGCUCGUUCAUACAGAGUCAUUGGGUGGUUCAAGGACCUCAAUGAAUUUUUUACCAUGUUUGGAGUACUUUAUACUUUUUGGUGAACUUUUGGAAUUUAUUUGAUUCUUUUUCAGAAGAACAAAAAAAAAGGAACACGCAGUUUGAAUCCAUUGGGCACGGAUGGAACGUGGCGAAAGUCUCCUGCCCAAGAUACAAGCGCCGUGGGCACGGUGCAUGGGCGACGUGGCAGUUUGGACGCCGAUGCGGCGCAUUGUCGCCACCAAUACGGACGGCCUGGCGUGGAUCACGCACCAAUUUAGAUGCCAUCCAGAUCGAGGGCAGCUACGUCGAGCGAUGCGAUUGGCCAGCUGGACGAUAUGCCGGCGCAAGGAAAUAUGCCGAUCCACACAAGAAACACGACGGCGAGAAUCGCGCGUACGCCCCACAUGCAUGCGACGUCGGACACCGCUCACCGAGUACCACUAUGAUUGGGGUCCAUGCACGCACGGCACCACAGGCCACACGUAAAUGCCAUGUGAUGCCUGGCACCACAGCAGGCCACAGACCAUCCAUGGACCGCGAUCACUGAGUACGUUUACUCUCUUUGGCGUUAUGCUUAAUAUGGCCAUGUGAUGUGUACGUGUUUAGCCUUUAUUAGGGGGGCAGAUCCUCCAUGCUCGCCCAUAUGCAGAUCCAGAUCGAGAGCCGACCGCCCAAUCAGUAGCCACGGCUGACCAUCAUAUCCUCAGGACAAAUUUGACAAAUUUGACCUAUAGACGGAAUUAAAUCAUAGAAUGAACUAUCCGUGAAACUAUUUUACGCGGCUGACCUUUUUGUGUGACGCCCGCCACGAAGGCGCCACACUACACUGUGCAACGCCUCACAGAUAGGCGCUACACAACCAGCGUCGCACACGUGUGAUCAGAAAAUUACUAAGUCGUGUGCAGCGCCUGAGAGCUAGGCGCCACAGGUCAGCCGCGUGAAAUAGUUCUAUGGACAGUUCAUUCUGUGAUUUAAUUGCGUCUAUAGAUCAAAUUUGUCAAAUUUGCCUAUCCUCAGCAGCUGGUUCUGUCUAGGACUCAGUUGACUUGGACAUCGCGAAGUGUAGGUCGCUGAUGUCACCUGUUUAUAUUUUUUGUUUAUGUCCAAACUAUAUCCCCGUCGUUGCAUCUUGUGUCUUUUUGGGCUGGCCUCCCUUUUUGUCUUUGGUUUGUGCGUUUAUCAAUUUGUGUUGGGCCAGAUAUUUUGGGCAGUUCUUUUUCUGUUUGGUGCUGCUGCUCGUUGAUUAUGUAAUCUUUAGCUAUUGUUUGAGCAUUUUUUCUGAAACCUUUAGAUAUUGUUCGAGUAUAUUAGCUUCGUGGUACACCGGCCAGCUAUAUUAGCUGUUGUUCCUAACAUGCUAUUUCUUUCGUUUUGUUUGGAUUUCUUUUUCAUUUUUAUUUACAUUUUCACAUUUUGUUUCUAAAAAUUGUAAACAUUAGUCAUUUUUUCGUGCAUUUUCAUAAAUACUCAUCGUGUAUUUGAAAAAUAUCUAACGUGUCACUAGAAAAUGUUUAAUAUUAUUUAAAAAUAUUCAGCAUGCCAUUACAAAAAUAUUCAAUGUUAGUUAACGCUUGUUUUUAGCUUGCAUUUUCUUUAUUUGAUUGGGUUGAGUCGGGCAUUGUUUUACUCGUCUGUUUGUAAUUUCUGUCAUCCACAAAUUGAAAAAUGGUACUAACAAAAAUAAAGAGAGCUCAUCAUAUGUUGUUUCACAUGCGAUGCGGGCGUGCGACUAGGUUUGUGUGGCAUGCUUUAAAAAAAUUCCAAACAUCUCUUUUUAGAUAAAAAACAAAAUAUAAUAUACUAUACGACUAAUAUAUCCACCAGUCGACUGUUCAUUUGCUUCAAAUCCGCACGACUCGACAGCCGUCCGAUCCAGAUCCAACGGACCGCGUCGCUCCUGGUGCGCGCAGCGCGGGUGGCGGUAGCCGUUACCAUCGAUGUGUGUCGCUGACUAGUGGGUCCACUGGAACCGCCCAUAUCGCCCAAUGCCACGAUCCCCACUCGUCCCCUCUCGCGUUCGCCCGCACUACUUCUUCUUCCUCUGAUUCCGGCCUCUCCAUUCGAAUCUCCUCUCGCUCCCCUCCCCCUCAUGCGCGACGGUUGCUGCUGGUGGCGCGUUCCGGUUCGCGGCGGACGGCGACUGGUGGAUACGGUGAGGAACGCAUGCCCCGCGCCCUGUUUUCCUUCUCUUUUUGCUCCGCCGCUCUGGUCCGCCAUUGAUUUAGGUUGGAGCCGUCGAAUCUGGUAGAUUGUUGUUCCUAUUAGGUUAGAUUAAGGACGGCUUCUAAUUUCUGAGUCGAAGUUGAGUAGCGCAUCCCCCAUUCCCCCACCCAUCCACCCGCCCCAUUCUGUAUUUCCUGUUGCUCCGCCUCCAUGCUUCGCCGUUAAUUUUUGGUGCUCGGACUCUUUGAUUCUGGCGGUCGUUGUUGCUAUUAGGCUAGGUUAUGUCGCCUUCUAAGUUCAGUUUGAAUAUGGUUCGGACAUCUGGUUUAAUUUUGUGGUAAUCGUGGGCGUGGAUAGGUCUUAGUGGUGGUAAGUGUGGUUGGUUCUAAUAGGGAUUUUGUUAUGGUGUUACUGUUGUGGAUGUGGUUGUUUAGUACAUCCAAUAAUGUUUGGUGUUUAUGAAUUUCAAGUUGUGCAUCAGUGGAUGAGGAUUUAAAAAGCAACCAUAAGUUUUUUCACAUAAUGUUGUUUUAUGUUGGUUUUGUUAGAUGCGGUUUGUCCAUUGAUUAGGCUUUUGUGCUGCUCCAAUUAGCUUGUUUACAUUGCUUGAUUUGCUUGUUAUGUUUUGUUCCGUUCAAUUAUCAUGAUGUCUAUAUUGAACUUACCAACUAUAUUGCACUCAAAUUAUCAGAUGCUUUAAACUCAGUUAUUUAUCAUUGUUGUCUUGUUAUGGUUGAAUUAUCAUGGUGAUGGUUUUACACUUACCUCUGUCAUCUUACCGUAGUUUCCAUAAGUUUUUGCUAGACUAACUAUAUGUAGCACAACCCUUAUUUCUCAAUCAUUUUGUUUUGGUUGGGUUAUUAAUGAGCAUGUGUGAAUGCUAUUUCUUAUCAUUGGUAAUUUGGUUGUAACUUACCAAUUGCAUUGUGCCUCAAUUAUCAGUCUCACAUGCUUUUUAUAUACCUGUGCUAUCUGUUUUACUUUUUUUUAGCAUGUGCGACCAAUUUGCGGUUUGCUUGUUUCCUUUUAUCAGCUGUAUUAUUGCUUUGUCAAACACUGGUUUUAUAAACAAUGUAUUCAUUUUUUUCUUACGUGUCAGGGAGACAAUGCCGAGGAAGCGUAAAGGAGAUGGUGAUGGAAUCGAUGAGGUUCCUUCGAAAAAGGCGAAACGCCCUCCUCCGCGGAAUAGAGCCUCACCCGGUUCGCUUCUUCUAGCGUGCAAGGACAUGAAUGAUGACAGGAAGGGUGCCAUUGAUGAUAUGGAUUUAACUAGCCUUCGAAAUAUCCAAUGUGACCAUCUAUUCAACAAUCUCAGUGUGUGGCUUGCUGAUCUCUACGACCCCAAUUCGCGUGAGGUGGUCGUACCAGGCCGAGGCAGGCUUCCGGUCAAUGAAGAAUACGUGCAUCGUGUUAUGGGUGUGCCGUGUGCAGGGAAUGAUGUCCCUUACAACCUCCCAUCUGAAACUGAUAUUGAGUUAGGGCUUGAGUUGUUUGGCGAGCUCGGAUAUGCCCCUAAAAUGACUGAUCUUGUUGAUCUCAUAAAGGGUUCUGAAAAUUCUGAUGACACUUUCAAGCGUAUGUGGUUUCUUCUUGCGGGGAAUACAGUCAUUGCCCCGACCACCUCCAACAAAGUUAGCCCCCAUUGGUAUGUUGUGCUGGUAAGUUUUUUUGUGAAUAUGUCAUUUUCUUUCUUGUGUGCCUCAUAACUUUUAUAUAUGUCAGUGUGAUAACUUUCGUUUUUUUUGUGGUGCAUUCGGUGAACUUCAGUGCUGUUUUUUAUAUUGCAGCGUGACAUCAAUGGUGUUAAGAAUCUUAAUUGGUCCAAAUUUAUUGCUGAUGAACUGCACAAGGCGAUGUUGAAACGCAAGCCUACCAGGGGUUGCCUUCUUUUCUACAAUGUAAGUGACGAUGCUUUCCUCUUACCUUCUCUUUUGUCAUUUAUCAUUUUCCUUGUCAUUUUGUGGCUGGUUUUUGUAAGUGUUUACCAUGGCGCUUCUGUUUUUCUUAUCAGCUGUUGUACAUUCAUGCGAUUGAUCUUUCUGGACUUGGCAUCGAACUGCCUGAAAGUCCUUUUCCCAUCAAUGUAUGGACAAAGAAGCUGAUAACUCUUGUCCUCAACAAGGAUGUUCAGACUGACAAAGUUUCUUUCGGGAAACUACCGGUAUUAUAUAUCUAUGUUUUUCAGUUCACAGUCUGCUUUUCAACUGCAUUUUAUUUUCAUUGUUUGUUUGUUGUUACUUAUCUGUGAUGGCUACAUUUUUUUCCAGUUGAAGCCUGAGUUUGGCAUGAAUUUCUGUCUCUUUGGUGGUGUGGAAGGUCUUGACAAGUUUAUGCGUGUUCAUACUGCCCCAAGCUGCAGUGAAGAGGUGAGCAUGUAACCUAGUUUCUUGAUCUUUUUUUUGCUAUUUUAUGUUCUUUCAUUUGCUGAUAAAUUAUUUUUUGCACCCAUUUGUGGUUACCCUGAUUUGUUGCCAACUUGUCACUCUUUUAGUAAUCUGGAUGAUUUCCAUUGUGGCAUAUCCUCUAUAUAAAAUAUAAUUAUGAUGCAACCAUGUGAUAAUUAUUAGUGCAAUGCCUUGAUAACUUUGCAGCAUUUCUGUGAUAACUUGAUAUCAUGAUAACUUUUGGUUGCAUUUAUUAUGAUGAUUGUGGCAUUCCCGUGAUAACUUGAUAUUCAUGAUAACUUUUGUUGCAUUUUUGUGAUAACUUACUAGUUAUUUCCAUUCUUUUUUCAUUUUUUUAUGUUGAACAGAAAUUUGCCAAAUCAACUGAGAUAGUUGCUCGAUUCACGUCCGCCAUGGCUGGCAUCCUAGGCAAUCUUGUGGAAUCAUUCACCGCUUUAGAUGAUGAGGGCCAUUCACAUGCAUCUCGUCAGCUAGACGCUGGAUUGAACGUUAUCUCCUCUGCCGCCCGUACGAUGUCAAGGACUACGCGGUCAUCGCAAGGCAGGCGGACAGAAAGUGCUGGAAAGAAUGUGGCUGAAGAUUCUGACAGCGAUGACGAUUAUCACGGAGGUGAUGAUUCUGAUUCUGACGCUGACUCCGAUGAUGAUGAUGAUGACUAUCGAGUUGUUCCUCGUCGCCCUAAAGAUCCUUUUGUUGCUUCAGGCAGUGGUACCGUGGAUGUAGACAUGGGCAGCGGUCCAGCUGAUGAUGAGACCACACAUCUUGAUGGUGCAACUGUCAAAGCCCAUGAUGGCACAGGACCAAAUGUUGAAGACACCCCUGUCCGCUCUGUCGGCAAUAACCUCGUUGAUUCAUAGAUCUUACUCACUGGAACAUCUCAUGCAGCAUCCGUCGAAUCAGGUGAUCGAGGGAUUAGCCAGCAAGGUCUGACAGACACGCAAGCUGAGGCGGCCACUGACUCUUCUGUCAAGCGGUGCGGUGCUGAGCUUUUGAAAAUUUUGGCUUACCAGAGGCGCAAGAAGCUGAGGCUACCAUCACCCNNNNNNNNNNNNNNNNNNNNNNNNNNNNNNNNNNNNNNNNNNNNNNNNNNNNNNNNNNNNNNNNNNNNNNNNNNNNNNNNNNNNNNNNNNNNNNNNNNNNNNNNNNNNNNNNNNNNNNNNNNNNNNNNNNNNNNNNNNNNNNNNNNNNNNNNNNNNNNNNNNNNNNNNNNNNNNNNNNNNNNNNNNNNNNCCGUCUUCACCAAUUGCACUGUCAGCAUCUGAGAUUCAUGUAGCUGUGAAGAAAGUUGUGGUCCAGGAGCUUGGUAUACGCGUGGCUGAAAAGGGAACCGGUGCCUUCGUCCCACUGUCCACUUUGCGGAAGGAGGCCCCACGCAGGUGAAUUAUUACUUUCCAAUGUCCUUCUUAUCAAUUGUGUGCCUGAAACAACAUGGUAAAUACAGUCAUUUGUUUAAGGUAGUUUGGGUAAUUUCAUGCCGGUGAUCAACUUGCUUAUUUUUCAUCUGCAGGGCCCCCGGCAAACAAUCUGUUGCUGCUAAGGAUUCAGGGAUUGCACCAGUGAAAAGGUAUUCAAAUUGUUACUUUCGUUUAUGAUCAGCAGUUAUUUUGUUCUUGUUGUCUGAUAACUCAUUUUGAUGAACAUUGGUAACUCAACUUUGCCCCCCUGGUAAUUUAGAGUUACCAAUCUUGAUAGUUGUAUGUGCUUGUAACAUUUGGUUAUUUUUUCAUUCAGUGCACCUAUGAAACAAGUUGCUGCUGCUAAGGGUUCUCCAAGUGAACCAGGAAAAAGGUGUUCACAUACCUAUCUAGUUUGCAGUUAUUCAAAAAUAAUUGUUGGUUUUUUUGUUCAUAUGAUUUGAUAACUUUAUAUUUAUAGUCCUUGAGUACUUUGUAAUUUUUUCCCUGGAUGCUACUUAUACCUGAAGUAUGUGACAUCCUUUUUUGAUUGAAGCAUGUGGUAACUCAGGUUUAACAACAUGUGUAAUCUCACUACUACCCUUGUGUAUCAAUUUUUUCAGUCGUUCAAAAGAUAAAAGUGCAGUGAAAAAGGUGAAAUUCUCCAAGACCAGAUCCUCUCCACGAUUAAGGGCAACAUUGUCGUAGACAACGUCAUCGGAGACAACAGAAGUUAUCCAUCUUGAUGAAUCUCCCACGGCGACAUCUCCGUCUGAAAAAGCAGCAGCAUCUAGCGAGGGUGCAUCUGAUGCUGUUGCGGCGACAUCGGCUGGUGUUUCUGAUGAUGCUGUUUUUCAGCUAGCUGCAGCAGCAACUGUUACUGCUGCUGUUGAAGAUAUCGCCAGUGUGGCUGUAGCUAUUGAAUGCGAAAAUGAAGUCGUCCCUAAUAUAGCGCAUGAUGGAAGUGAAGGUAGUUCUGUUCGCCAUCACAUUUGUUUUUUGUUUCUUGUGUUUUUAUGAUGUUUUUUGUUGACGAUGUGUUUAAUCUUUUUCCGCUGUAGCUGAGAAAGUUGUGGGAAAUACCAGAGAUAAUAUGCCUACUGAUACGGCUACAGCUGGAGGUGAAAAGAAUGAUGCCGAUAAUCCUGUUGUCACAGGUUGGUAACUUAAUUUUCUUAUGUUGAUAACUUGUCUGUCUAAUACAUGAUAAUUCAAGAUAUUGUUUCUGCCACUAACAAAUACAAUGUCAUCUACAUGUUUUCCUGAUGCCUUUUUUCCUUAUUUGUGUGUUACUUGUCAUGUUUUGAAGCAGUAGCUCACCAUGCAUUGGAGUUGAGCACCACUGGAGCUGGAAACUACGAUGGUAAUUUUACGCCACCCAGCUGCUCUCUUGGGCUGGAUGACAUCUUUGGUGCGAGUCCUCAAGUGCCACCAUCUGCUGAAGCAACUGCAACAGCUCAAGCUGCACCAACGUUGGCUCAAGUACCACCUGCAGCACCAGAAGCACCUGCGGCGGCGCCAUAUGCUCAAGUACCACCUGCAGCACCAGAAGCACCUGUGGCGGUGCCAUCUGCUCAAGUACCACCUGUAGAACCAGCUACUGGCCCUGACGCCGUUCUAGGGCUCGCAGCUCCUGUUGAUGCCGACUCGAAGGGCAAGGCAUUGAUGAAAGUUACCAAGGCUCAACCGGUUGCUUGGGCUCCGCCACCCAACAACUCUAGUAAGUGAAGACCUUGUGUCUUUGCUUUUAUGCCGCGAGAGUGAUGGAUUGAGAUAUGUCAGUGUUCAUCGUAUUGUUUUGUUCCUUGGUGUGCUCUUUUUAUUUAUGUGUUUGGAACUUUCUAUCAUUCCGUGUGUAUGGAUGAAUGUAAUACUACUUGUAUGCUUUGUGUGAUGUAAAUGAACAUAUGUGCUUUCAGUACCCGUAAUAUAUAUUUCUGUUGUGUCCGCUACAAUAUUUUGUACGAUGCUAGCAUAGACGAUAAGUCCAUCCUCCUCCCCCCGGUAACUUUGUCAGUUUUGAAAGCCGAUGUUAUCUGUUACUGGCUUUUAGUAAGCGCGUGAUACAUACAUCUCCUAUCAUUGCCUAUUUAUUUUCCUUAAUUCAUUGUCAUGCUUACAAAACAGUACUAUACUCGUAGUUAUUCAUCUGACCUUUUUCAUUACUCCUUCAAUUUUUUCCAAUCACCCUGAUAACUCCAUAUGACAUAUCUUGGUAACUCAAAUGUUCAAAUCCUGUCAAUUUAUGAUCCAUUGACACAAUAACUCCAGCCAUAUGCAUUCUUUGCCAAUUUUCUGGGCUAUACAAUUCUUUUUGGUCUUCUUUUUAACAUGUUAUGAUGAUUAGUUUAUAUCACAGCUGUUGCUCGUUAUGCACCAGUGUUAUCUAAUUUGUUCCUUAAAAGGCCCAUACAUGUGUGCUGGUAAUCCACAUUCACAUUGCCUGGUAUAUUUUAUAUUGUGUUCCUGAUAACUUCUUGUAUCUUGUCUCAAUUUUUAAUACCUGAUUUUUUUGCAACAAUUUAUGUUGUUUAUCACUACUGUUCAUGUCCUCAUCGCUGUUUUUUUAUUUAAGUAACACCGGAAGCUGGUCGUGUGCAAGUGUAUGAUGUUGAGAUUGACGAUGAUGAGGUUCUCAUGUGGUGGGAAGAAUUUGAACAUGGCAAUCCAGCAUUAAAAGGGAAAUCUAAUGUUCAAAUAGGUGAUUUUUUUCUGCUCCAUGAACAUUGCGACCCUUGCACAAACCACUUUCUUUGUUUUUUCAAUUAUGGACCACCACUUGAUAAUCAAAACAUGUGGCAGUUGAUAUGUUUUGACCCAUCACUUGAUAAUUCUUUCUCCCAUCUGAUGAUAAUUCAUGGUUUUCCAUUUUUUCUAUUUCUACCAGACAACCCCCAAAGUCCAACAUUUGUUACACCAGAGUUACCACCUCGCACAGAGCAUUUAGUACGCAGUUCAACACCUAAAUCCUUUAUUCGGAAAGUUAGGGUCACCCACCCGUCCAAAUACCUGCUCCCACCUUUUGCCUCCCUCACACCGAGCGAGGAGGCAGAGUACAUUUACAAUGAAGUUAUCAAGCAUACUACUGAUUCUAACUCUAAGAUUAAAGAGUAUGUUUCCAUCCUUUUUCUCAUCUUUCUUAACACAAAUCAUUAUUUUGUACGCCUUUUUUUAAAUGUAUUUUUUAAAUCUUUUUUUUGUUUUUUUGUUUUUUGUAGUCUUAGGGUCAUCAACAUUGAUGGUAGGUGGGUUACCCUUGGUGAGCUUGCCAAUUGUGUGAAGGGAGUUGGGCAACUAUCAACCAGCAUUGCCGAUCGAGUUACAUGUUCGCGUUCUCCAGUAUAAGGAAACGCCAAACAGGCUCAUCUUUCCUUGGGUGCUCUCUGUGUAUCUGUUGUGAGGAGACUUCAAAUCCAAGUGUUUACUGAAGUAUUUUUGACAGGACAAGUUUUACAUUCUUAGUCACCAGGAUCAGGUAUGUUAUGUUUGAUGGAUCUGGUAACUGUACAGUUAGUGUCUUGGUAACUUCCUGAUAAUAUCAUGUAACUUCCUGUUAUUUGCGGAUAUUGUUUGUUCUUCAUGUCAUGAUAACCUGUUUCAUGCACACUGAUAACUUUUGACCUUUCUGCCCUGAUAACUUCCUUUUCUAGUUGCCUCCCGUUGUGAAUUUCAUCACCAUUUGUUAUCUUGGUAAUUUUGUUUCUUUUCCAACUACUUUUAUGCUUACUGCCUAUUAAAUUUUUUCAGCUGCUAUUCCCUGCUUUGCAAAAGUUGGCCCGCGGUCUAGAUGACGGGCAUUGGUAUGUGUUGUCACUAAAUCUUAGGGCGAAGCGGUUUGAAGUUCUAGAUUCAUUGCGUGACCAAGAUAGUCCUUCUCUUCUCGAGCAUGUGACAAGAUACAUGAACGCAAUAAAGAAGGCCUGGUUGAUAAAUUACAAGGACUUGCAUAAGCAGAUUGAGGACUAUGAACUUGUGUACAUUGAUGUGUUGAAACACGAAAAUGGGUUAGUUGUGGAUUACUCACUCUCUUUUUAACAUCCCAACUAUAUGUUUGUCAUCCUUGUUUAUUUUGACCCGGUCUGAAACUCCAAUUAAACUGAUUUUGUGUUGUUUUUUUCAUCACAAAUGUUUCAGCAUUGAUUGUGGAUUUUUCGCCAGUGGCGCUAUCAUCUGUUUGGCAGCGGGUGAUGAGGUGAUAUUUUUUACUACAUCGUGAUAAGUUCUACCAAACUGUGAUGACAACUUUUUUAUUUGAAUCUGUCAUGACAAUGCCAUGGAGCAAAGUGUUGACAUGUUGUUUUACUAUAGUAUACACAGUCCAAAAUCACUGACUAUAUGAUAUAAUUCACUACUAUGAUUAUAAUUUGUUCAUAAGCAAUUUUUAGAAGUGCAAGGAGGACUAAUUUUUUGUCCAUAAGUAAUACAAUGCAGUGCUGGUAGCCUUCAAAAAAUGUAGAUAUAAAAACAUUGGCUUUUACAAAUCCAUGUCAAUUCCAUCAUACAUUGCUGGUAAAUGGCAUAAUAAUGUACUGAUAGCUUGGUUAAGAAAUAAAAAUUUUGGAUUUACAAAUCCAUGUCAAUCCCAUCAAACAUUUGCUGGUAACUGGCAUAACAGGGUACUGAUAGCUUGCUUAAAUUAUAGAGAUACACUUUGUUUUUGCAUUACAAAGCCAUGAUAAAAUCUAUGAUACAAUGUUGAUAACUGGAAUGUUAUGGGGCUCGUAGCUUGCACAUUAUGGUCCAUGAAAAAAAAUGCAGCCACCAUCUUCCAUUUUAAUAGCACCUUCUUCAUUUAUCUUGCUAGGGGAGAUUUGCAUGUGCGUUUGUCAUGUUCCAGACUCCUGCACACACCACAUUUCCUUUUUGUCUUUGGUUUUGCAAUCUCAAAACCUGAUUGCUUUCUUUUUAACUUUGGCCGCCCUUUCAUUACAGUCUUGGGAGGGUCUAGUAUCAACUUUGCGUUUGAGGAUGGAGCUGCAUCAGGAUGUGGGGGUUGGAUGACAAAAGCGUGAUUGUUUUUGCUAGCAUGUAUCAUCACCCGCACACUUUCUUGCUGUGUGGCAGGGUUACCCUGUCGCUGCACAUUAGUAGCACUUUCUUGUUGUGUGGCGGUGUUCUCCUGUUCAUUCACAUUGGUGGCACUUGUUUGCUGUGUGGCUGGGUUCUCCGGAUGUCUUGCAUCGGGGGUGUUUUGGUGAUAUGUGACAGGGUUGUCUUCAUUCAUCCGCCCCACAUGUAUCGAGCAGGGAUCCGGCUGUCCUUGAAACAAUCCUUUUGCUUCUUCCUUUUCCUUUCUUGCUUUUUUAAGUUGAUUGUUCUUCAGGAUUUCAAGCUCCUCCUUGAAAUUAUACAGGUGCUUUCUUGCCAAUCUGGUCUCGUCAUCUGUUAGGCAAGCAUCUUUGGCCGAUGCCUUAAAUUCUUUAAGAAUUGACGUGUAUCGCAUGACGCUUUUCCCCUCCUCUGGCAUCGACUUCUUAACUGUUGGCUGUUCGAAAUCAGGUUGAAUAAGAUCCUCCUCUGGAUCCCAGGUCCACCUCUUUAGGAUAUACUUUUCAGGUAUCUCGUAUACCCCAAUUUGGUCCAUAACUCGUAGUACGUGCGCGCACAGUAGCCCGUCACGAUCAAACUUGCAGCAACUACACGAGUAUGUCUCUUCAACCAUGUUUGCUUGCACAUGGUAGUCCCUGUCUUCAUAUUUCAGUAUUAUCCCGCGCACUGAGCUGACCUUGAAAGUACCAUCAUCCAAUGCGUCGCAUCUGUAUGCUGAUUUCACCUUCAUCUCCACCUGGAACUUGCAAAACAAGUUAUGUGUGUAUAGCCCCCGCACCUGCAUCUCCAGCGAGUUCAUCGAGUACAUUUCGGUUUCUUUGUACACUAUUUCCAACUGCUCUCUUGACACGCUAGCCAUCACCUUAUCCUGUAUCGCAGUGUACUGUUAUGCGAAUUCGACCAAUGAGUUGUUUGGGUUGACAUACUUCUUGAGCACAGUGUUAAAUCCCUCGCUUCUUGCCGUGGUCUGCAAGAACGGGAAAAAGUCGUGCAUAUAGUAUACCGGGACCCAACACUUCCUGUUCUCCCACAGCCAAUGGAAAUGCUCGUUGUCAGUCUGGCCAUACGCUUCGAUCAUCACCCACCACUUGUGCUCAAACUCAUCAACUGCAUUCAUAAUAUAAACAUGGUAACAUCAAUUAUUGGAGGAUGGUAACAUCUGUUCAAACAUAGCUGGUAACUAGGAACACCAAUGCUGUUGAUAAUUAUGUCACACACACAUGGUUACUUUAGUUGAAGGAUCAAGGUAAGUACUUUGCAGACAGGAUAAGAUUUUAUUUUUCCAAAGCGAAUACCACUCUCUGUGUGUAGUACAAGCAACAUUUUUAACUAGCAACAAAAAGAUACUCAUAUUAAUCAGACUAGCUGGUGAUUGAAAAGUUUUGUUGUAACUAGUGGGAUGAACAACUGAAAUGUGUACAUCAAACACGGACAUUAUAGGGGUAGUACAGAAAGCAACUAAUGUAGGUAAUUUUGUUAUAAUCCUCUGGUAACUUGUCACUUUGUUAGAUGGUAACUGUUGUUAUCAUGCAUCUAAACCCAUUUUCUAUGUGCCCAUUUUUUAUGUGUUUUAAGCUAGUGAGGGGUGGGAAGUAAAAUACCAGUCAGGCUGUUGUCAACACAAUCCUUGAAUGCAUUGUUUAGUGGGUCAUUGUUAGCCAUCAGCUUCCCAAGCUUCUCUUGUGCUUUUUUCAUUAUAUGCUAGCGGCAAUUCCUGUGUACUAUCCCGAUGAAGACCUCAUCAAUAGCACUCCUCAUUGCAAAAUCUUGAUCUGUUAUUAUGUUCUUUGGCGCAAUUCCACCCAUUGCAUGCAAGAAUGCAUUAAACAGCCACACAAAGUUACCAGAUAGUUCGUUUCGAACAAACCCACAACCAAAUUGGAUCGACUGCCCAUGGUUAUUAAUGCCAAUGAAGGAUGCACAGGGCAUUUUGUACAUGUUUGUCAUGUAUGUUGUGUCAAAUGAGAUGACAUCAUUGUAUCUAGCAUAUGCCCUGCGCGACGCACCAUCUAUCCAGAAUAAAUUCUCCACUCUGUCCUCAUCAUCAAGAUUUAUUCUCCAAUAGAAAUCUGGAUCUUGUGCCUUCAUAUCUUGGAAGUACGAGAUUGUGCUCCCCACAUCAGCAUGGCGGUACUCCAUUCGGAAUUUAGCUUGCUGGUUUGCGAUGUCCUUUGUUGUGUAUGGUACAUCUUUAGGAUUUCCGUAGAACCAUUCCAUUAGUUGCAUCUGUCUAGCUGUCUCUAUGUUCCAUCCGUGCAAUAUCUUCAAGAAGUCCUGCUCAUCUUUUGGAAUGUUCCUAUGUGAUGAUAGGAACUUUGUCAAGGACGGCUUUCUUAUUAGAGGGUGGUUGUGGUCGUCGUUGAAGCAUUUGACUCUCCACCACGCAUCCGUGUGGGUGAUGUAAAGGUGGGUCGGACAUCCCGACCUCACAACCUUCCCUCGUUUCGUCUUCUUCACGAUGCCUUUUGGGUCAUGCACAUCCUCUAUCUCUUCCUUGUUUGUUUUUGGCUUGCCGUAUUUCCCACAAACCAGGAGGACUCUGCUUACAGUAUUAUCUUUGAUUGUUUUUCUAUUCCAGUCUCAUUCCAAACCCAUGUCUCUAUGCAUAUUGCCUGUAGUGUUCAUAAGCUUCCUCAAAAGUAUCAAACUUCAUCGUUUCAUCAGGAGGUUUCGGUGUGGAGUAUGCCUCAGUAUUUUUGUCUCCCUGUUCAGCAUUCUCUCCCCCUGUUUCUGGACUCGCUGGCUCACUGACUGAAUGAUCAAAGAAGCUUUCUCUCCCCCCUAUGCUGCUAGUAGUCGGUUCUUUGCUUGUUUCUCGAACCAUCGGGUUGCUUCUAGAAGUAGCACCUGUAAUGUUUUUGAAAGUUGUUAUUUUGUGUUAUAUUUUUCUGCAUCCCAAAACUAGUGGUAACUUGUACUCCAGUUGCUUGGUAAAGUUUGCAUGCCAAAACAGAUGUUUUUUUUCUGUGGCUGUAAAGUGAAAGCAUGAAAUUCCAAUUGCAAUACAUAUUGCAUGAUAAUUCGUAUGCAGCAAGUGAGGUAACUAUGCCUAAAUUCAUGGUAACCAGCGAAAGCAUGUAAUACCAAUUUCAAUACAAAUUGGAUGAUAAUUUGUAUGCAGUAAGUGUGGUAAUUGUACCUAAAUUCAUGGUAACCUGUGUUCAUCAAGCUACGUCAUUUGUCAACUGUUUCAUGGUGAAUGUGAUAGUUGUAAAUAACCUAAGGUGGUAGUUGCAAUUCAAGUAUGAUGGUAACAAAUUUGUGUACAAAAUUGUGGUAGCAUGGUAAAUGUUUUACCUUCAUCUGUUUUGGCAGAACCAAAGCUUGCCGUGUGUGCAUAUUCACACUGUUGGUUUGUCCCCACACCACUCAUCAUGACAUCCACAUUACCCCCGUUGUCAUGCGCCAUUUUCUUGUGUCGUAGCACCUGCUAGUACAUAUGAUUGCACCAAUUAAUUUUCCACAAUUACUAGCAAUCUUGAUUAUUUUUUCACAACAACUAUAUUUUUUCCUUUUAAUGCCAUGAUAACUUCUGUUUUAUAACAGGUAUCGUUUUGGCAGUAACCAGCAUAUGGGAGUAUGACUGCGACAGUUUCUAUGAACCUCAUUUCAUGAACAUCAUUUUUAUCAAAAAAGAAUGGUGGCAACAAUGUAAAUCAACACAUGGUAUUCUUGUAGUGUUUUUAGCACCUUUGGUUCUGAGUUUUUCCUGGUAAUUUGUAAUGAAUUAGCACGAUAACUUGUUCUGACAUGGGUGUGUUCGAUAUAUAAAGGAUGGGUGUGUUCAAUAUAUAAAGGAAGAAAGGGAUCUUUUUUUGUGUUGAAUAAGUCUUACAGGAUGCUGAUUACUCAAUGCACAUACUCUGGUAAUCUAUUUUCAAUCGAGAUGGUAUGUCAGUUUUAAUGAGAAAAUUCAUACAUGUAUUUUCUAACUUGACUGUAAAAGAUGAAAUUUAGUCAAUCUUUUUGUUGGUAACCUGAUUGAAUUUGAGUGGUAACUCAAUUUCAACAUGGGAAUUACACACAUGUAGUAAAAAUACUACCUUUUCUUGCAUGCUUUAGUUCUUGUUGUUUUUUCCCCAUGUUUUCCCCGCUUGAUUUUAUUGGUAUGAAAUGCAAAUGCAGCAUGGGUAUAGAGGUAGCAUGGGUAUAGAGGUUGAAUCAGUUACCUCCUUUCUUUUUUGACUGAUUAUGACGAAAUAUGGACGAAUUGAUGAUAACCCCUGUGAUGUUCUUGUGGUAAACCGGGGCCCUCCCUCAAAUCCUUGUGUUUUGGUGUUGUUUUUUCAUGGUUUCCCUUUUUUUUGGUGGAUCUGAUCCGGCGUCGAUGUUGCCGGCGAUGGUGGCGCGUCGGGGAGAGAGGAGAGAACUGAUCGGGGCAGGUGGCUGUUUCUUGCGAUGGAGGUAAGAAAGUAGGGUUUGGGUGGUAAGUCACGUGCAGGAGGGGGGAGGUGGGCCAAAUUGGGCUUCGAUCCGUUGCACGGGGAAGGACGCAGUAGGGGGGAGGUGGGCCUAGUGAGAGAAGUCUGGGUCGUGGGUGGAGCUACCGAAUUGGAUCACGCGCGGGAGGGACUCAGGUUCCCGAUCGUGCGGAUCUGUCGCUAAACCACCAGUAGGCUGGUGGUUAGUCGCGUCCUAUACUAUAAUAUAUAAAAUUAAUUUAAUAAUAGGAUGUGGAUACGGCUCGGUCGAUUAAGACUUAGAAAGAAGUCUCAGUCAGCUGGCAUCAUGACGGGAUGCAGUAGUAGCCCCAGGUGACACUUUCGGAUGCAGGUCUAGUGGCAUGCAUGCAAUUGUCUAUCUUCCGACAAAAACACGAGGAGUUGCAGUCGUGGGCGACACCUGCAGUUGCAUGCCAAGUGUCGGACAUGCAACUUCCCCCUCCCAGACAAAAUACCACAGAGAUGCAGUCUGGUUUAAGACAUGCAGUUACAGUCUGGGGCAACACUUGCAGUUGCAUGCGUAGUGUCGGGCAUGCAACUAGCCCCUCCUCUCCCCGUUGCUCUUCGACAAAAAUACAAAGGACAUUUGUAGUUGGGAGGGAUGCGUGCAAUGGCAGUCGAGGGCAGCACGUGGAUUUGCAAGCCUAGUGUCGGCCACAGAACUGCCCCCUCUCACGCUACCCACCGACCAAACAAAAGGUUGGGUGCGGUUGGGUGUGUUGACAUGCAGUUGUAGUCGAAGGCGACACUUGAGUUACAAGCCUAGUGUUUGGCAUGCAACUGCCCCUCUCUCCCCCCGCCCUCAUACAAAAACACAUGGCCAAUUGCAAUUAGGGCGGAGGCGUGCAACUGCAUUCGAGGGUGGCACUUGUACUUGCAGCCAUUUUGGGAGACAUGAAGUUGAAGCCAUGGUGACACUUGCAGUUGUAUGCCUAGUGUUGGACAUGCAAUUUCCCACCUCUCUCGCCGCUUACUUGAAAAAAGGUCAGUUGUAGUCAAGUGUGUAGGCAUGCAAUUGCAGUCAAGGGCGACACUUGCAGUUGCAAGCCUAGUGUCGGAUAUCUAACUACCACCCCCUCUCUCAUUGUCCACCAUAAAAAAAGGUCUGUUGCGGUCGGAUGUAUGUACAUGCCGUUGCACUCGAGGGCGACACUUGCAGUUGCAAGCCUAUUGUCAGACAUGCAACUUCCCCCUUCUCCCACUGCCCUCCGACAAAAACAUAAGGCUAGUUGCUGUCGAGAGGGAGACAUUCAGUCGGGAGUGACACUUCUAGUUGUAUUGCUAGUAUUGGACAUGCACCCCCCUCUCCAAUAGCCCACUUACAAAACAAAGGUCAAUUGCAUUUGGGGUGUGUGGGCAUGCAGUUUCAAUCGAGGGCAACACUUGCAGCUGCAUGCCUAGUGUUACCCCGCCUCUCCCCACCGCCCACUAACACUUGCAGUUGCAAGCCUAGUGUCGGAGCUGCACCUGCCCCCUUCUCCCGAUAAAAAAAAGGAGGAAAUAUACGCAAAAGCCAGUCCUUCAUCAAUUGCAUGAGGAGUAAGACGUGUGUAGUUAUGCAUGGAUAAGCGAACUUGCUACAUACACUCAAUAUUUCUUUUGAGGCUAAAAAGUAAAGAAUAAAUAACAACAUAGUUACAUGCCGAUACGAUGUGUGCGGUCACAUGUGGAUGGAUGUACAUGUAGCUGAUAGUAUGAUUUGAGAAAUGACAAAAACAAAUGUGAACAAUUAAGAAUUAAUAAAAUAUAAAAUAAAAAUGAAAAAGCACACAAACAUACUUCAAAGAAAGAAUUAUGAGAGAAAAGAGAACAAGAAAAGAAUGAGAAGAAUGAAAUAUGUAAUAAUUUCAAAAGAAGCAACAAAAAAAUUUAGAAAGGAAAACUAUCCUUGAAAUCCAAAAUGAAUUGGCUCAAGCCAUUUUGAAAAAUAUUAUAAACAAUGUUGCGAUCGGAAAAAGGAAAUGCAACACAAAUUUGCACCAAUCUUGGCGCAUAAAGAUUGAACGGUUUUUCGUAUAACCAAAUCGUAUAUGAGCAAACCUUGACAUACAACAUGGUGGAAAAUAAAAAAACGUGGAGCAAAAUUAAGAGUGUGCAUUGAUCAUGACAUGCUAAAAGAUAUAGGGGAAGACACUGAGCGUGGAGGACACACAUGCUGGUCUAGUAGAGAAAAUGAGUAAAAACAAGACAACACACAACACCGCUCCCGCAUCCGUCCAUGGACAGGGGGACCAGUCCACGGACACGAAUGCGGGAGGCGGCCAUCCAACACUGCCAGUAUACAUUUCAACAACUUUUUAAAUCAGUCGAACGAAAUUUUUGCAAACAUGAUGUAUUUCAUUCAAGUUCGGUUAUAAUUUACAUGAAAAGAUCAAUAUUUCAAUUGUUUAACAAAACAACUAGGAAAAAACCCUAAACCCUAUACCGAACAACCACCAUGUAUGUGUGGCCGCCCUGCACUGCCGCACCGCCGUCGCUGUCCGUGCCACCGAUGUCAUUGUCGUUGUCGUCCCUCUAGCGGCGAAGCAGCGCAGGACGACCGUGACAGUCUUGUCCAACGGUUGCCUGCCGCUCGCGGAGGAGCCGCUCCGCCUCUUGUUGCGCGGUGCAGAGAGCCGCCGUGGACACUGUCUUGAUCGGCGUUGGCAGAGUAGUGGCUAAGAUACCACUCCUCACUGUCAAGGCGGCGGCGGCGCCUGGCGACCGUCUCUAUGGUGGUGAUGGAGCUGUCGUGCGUCCAUGCGGCAGAAAGGUCAGGGUCAUUGCCGGAACAUUCUGGCGCCACGUCCGACUUGGCGAACGCGGAGCGGUGACCGACAUUGCACAGGUCGUAUCUCGCGCCCUGCCUCGCUGCGAGCUCCGCCUCGGAAAUAGUUGGUUCGUCGGUCGUUUUGCCCCGUUUUACAAAUUCACUAACUUUUUUUGAUAUUUUGUAAACAAUUGUAUUGAGCCAGCAAACAUCUUUCGAAAUUUGGGAACAAUAUUUGAAAUUUAGGUACAUUUUUUUGUUUCUGACGAAUAUUUUUUUGAGUUCAUGAAUACUUUUUAAAUCAGCAAACAUUUCUAAAUCUUUUGCACAUUAUUUGAAACUCGGGAAUAAUUAUCAAAAUUCCUUCAUUUUUUUAAUAUUGUGAUAUUUUUCUAAAUUUCUAAAAAACUCAAAGAUUCAUGAACAGUUUAUGAAAUCAUGAAUUUUUUUUGAAAUAUUAAAAAUUUAAUAAAUUCACUACCAUUUUUUACCAAUUCGUGAACAUUUAUUUCAAAUGCGUUGUUUUUUUUGAAAAUUUGAACACUUCCAAAAAAUCCUCAACUUUUUAAGAAAAUUCAUGAACAUUUUUUUAAUACACGAACAUGUUUUGGAAAUCACAAACCUUUUCUGAAUCUGUGAGCAUCUCUCAUUUCCUGAACAUUUUUUUAAUCAUGAAUUUCUUUGAAUUUACAAACAAUUUUUACAGUAUGUAACUUUUUGGAAAUCGGGAAUUAGUUUUUGAAUGGAAAAUACUGAUAACAGAAAGAAGAACAAACAAAGGGACAACCCACCGCCACAUGGGUCGGCCGAUGAGGGUUUGUUGUGGAGACGGGUGGGGUAUAAGCGCGGGCGUGGGGAGCUCCAAUUGCGUGCAUCAAAAAAAAGGAAAAGAAAGGUAAAAGAAAGAAAAAGUGGAAAGUUACCAGAUCAUGCUGGUGGCGGGUUGGUUACGCUACGGUACAUGAUUAAGGUGGUUGCUCAACAUGGCAAUGAGUACCCGCGAACCCGACGGGUAAAAACUCUAUUGGGUAAGGGUUUGAGAAAGUUAAAUACCCAUGGGUUUUUAAAUGUGAUAAAAAUUUAACCUUCGGGUAAGCCGGGUAUGGGAACAGGGAGGCAAUACCCAUACCCGUGUACCCGCCUACCCAUCGCAUAUUAGUACAUCUUAUAGGUAGGUCCCCUAUGUCAUUCACUAAGAAAAGGAAAACCCUAGCCUAACCCAGCCGCAGCUUGCACACAAAAUGCCCUCCCCUCACCCACCCAUCGCUUCCUCACACUCAUAGAAUGCAAACACCGUAUCUCCAUCUCACCUCGGCUGAAAUGCUAAAUAAACAUGCUGAAAUGUUGUGUUUCAUCUACUGAAAUGCUGAAAUUAUACAUUGUACAAUUUGAAUUGAAAGGUGACCGAGAUGGGUAUUACCCGCACCCGGUCGAGAUUGGCAAUUUGAAUUGAAAGGUGACCUAGAUGGUUGUGAAAAAAGUUGAUCAUGUAUUUAAAAUAUGUUAAAGAACUAUUUGAAAAAUGUUAAUCAAGCUUUAGAAAAAUGUUGAAUGUGUAUAGGGAUAAUGUUGACCAUCUAUUAAACAAAUGAAAAAAUAUUUUAAUCAUGUGUAUGAAAAUAUGAAUCAAGCAUUUAAAAAAAUGUUGAACAAGUAUUUCAAAAAUGUUAAUCAAGCCUUCGGAAAAUGUUAAAUGUGUAGAAAAAAUGUUUACCAUGCAUUCAAAUAAAUGCUAAUCUUGCAUUUGGAAAAUGUUGGUAAAGCAUUUGAAAAAUGUUAAUUAUUCAUUCAAAAAUAUUUGACCAUGUAUAAGAAAAAUGUUGACCAUGUAUUAGGAAAAUAAUAACCAUGUAUUUGAAAAAAAUGUUAAUCAAUCAUUUGAAAAAAAUUAAAGUGUGUAUAGGAAGAAAUGUUGAUCAUGGACACCAAAAAUGUUAAUCUUAUAUUUAACAUAUGUUAACCAAGCGUGGUGGUGAUGGUGGUGCUGGAGUCGGAAUACAGGCAGGGCUGCGCUAAGCGAAAAAACCAUGGACGAGAACUAUGCCGGGAGGGAGAGACGGGGCAGCAGCUAAGGCCAAUGUAUUGGGUACCUUUGCUGCGCCCCCUCCCCCAUAUUUAUAUGCAUGUGGGGGGAGGCUUGGAGUCCAGCCCUACUCCUAAUAGGAGUUGGGGCCAAAGGGGUAGAGGACUUGGACUCCAAGUCCAAUUCUAUUCCUACUAGUAGUCCCCCUUUUCCCUUCCCUAGCCAUAUGGGCUUUUGAGAACUUGGUGCGCCUAGCCCAAUAAAGCCAGGGCUCCUCCCCUUAGCCCAUGCCAGCCCUUGGGACUUGGUGAACCCACUUGUGGACUUCCGGACCCCUCCGGAACCUUCUGCAAGCUUCCCGAUACAAUACUGAAAAAACUGCAUCAUUUUUCUAGAACCCAAAAAUAUGAAUUCUCAUAUAUAAAUCUUUACCCCUCAACCAUUUCUGGGACUCCUCGUGACGUCUGAGAUCUCAUCCGGGACUCUGAACAACAUUUGGUUACCAACAUACAUAUCCCAAUAUUACUCUAGCGUCACUAAACGUUAAGCGUGCGGACCCUACGGGUUCGAGAAUGAUGUAGACAUAACCGAGACACUUCUCCAGUCAAUAACUAAUAGCGGAACCUGGAUGCCCAUAUUGGUUCCUACAUAUUCUAUGAUGAUCUAUAUCACCUUUAUGACAAUGAUACGUCUCCAACGUAUCUAUACUUUUUAUUGUUCCAUGCUAUUAUAUUAUUUGUUUUGCAUGUUUUAUAUGCAUUAAUAUGCUAUUUUCUAUUAUUUUUGGGACUAACCUAUUAACCUAGAGCCCAGUACCAGUUUCUGUUUUCCUUGUUUUUGAGCCUCGAAGAAAAGGAAUACCAAACUGAGUCCAAACGAAAUAAAACCUUCUCAAUGAUAUUUCUUGUACCAGAAGACACCUGUUGGAUCUGGACUCCUAGUCAGAAGACCUUGGCGUAGACGACAAGCCAUUGGGGCGCGCCCUACGGCGGUGGGCGCGCCCCUACCUUAUGGCCUACUCCAACACCCCCUGACCUAAUUCUUCGUCCUAUAUAUUCACAAAUAUUCCCAAGCCACUAGAGACAUCAACAAAACACAUUUCCACUACCGCAACCUUCUGUUCCCAUAAGAUCUCAUCUAGGGGCCUUUUCCGGCAUCCUGCCGGAGGGGGAUUGGAUCACGCAGGGCUUCUACAUCAACUCUAUUGCCCUUCCGAUGAAGCGUGGGUAGUUUACCACAGACCUAUGGGUCCAUCGCUAGUAGCUAGAUGGCUUCUUCUCACUCUCUUUGAUUCUCAAUACCAUGUUCUCCUUGAUGUUCUUGGAGAUCUAUACGAUGUAAUCUUCUUUUGCGGUAUGUUUGUCGAGAUCCGAUGAAUUGUGGAUUUAUGAUCAGCUUAUCUACAAAUAUUAUUUGAAUCUUCUUUGAAUUCUUAUAUGCAUGAUUUGAUAUCUUUAUAAUUUUCUUCAAACUAUUGGUUUAGUUUGGCCAACUAGAUUGGGUUUCUUGCAAUGGGAGAAGUGCUUAGCUUUGGGUUCAAUCUUGAGGUGUCCUUUGCCAGUGACAGUAGGCGCAUCAAGGCACAUAUUGUAUUGUUGCCAUCGAGGAUAAAAAUAUGGGGUUUACAUCAUAUUGCUUGAGUUUAUUCCUCUACACCAUUUCAUCUUACUUAAUGUGUUACUUUGUUCUUUAUGAACUUAAUACUCUAGAUGCAGGCAGGAGUCAGUCGAUGUGUGGGGUAAUAUGUAGUAGAUGCAGGCAGGAGUCGGUCUACUUGGCACGGACAUGAUGCCUAUAUUUCACAAUCAUUGCCCUGGAUAUCGUCAUAACUUUGCGCUUUUCUAUCAAUUGCUCGACAGUAAUUUGUUCACCCACCGUAUUAUUUGCCUUCAUGAGAGAAGCCUAUAGUGAAACAUAUGGCCCCUGGGUCAAAUUUCCAUCAUAUUAGUUUCUGAUCUACUAUUUUGCAAUCUUUUACUUUUGCAACCAAAAAACCCAAAAAUAUUUUAUCUGUUGUUUAUCUAUCUCUAUCAGAUAUCACUUUUGCAAGUGACCGUGAAGGGAUUGACAACCCCUUUAUCGUGUUGGGUGCAAGUUGUUUGAUUGUUUGUGCAGGUAUUGGUGGCUUGUGCGUUGUCUCCUACUAGAUUGAUACAUUGGUUCUAUAAUUGAGGGAAAUACUUAUGUCUACAUCGCUGCAUCACCCUUUCCUCUUAAGGGGAAAAACCAAUGCAAGCUCAAGAAGUAGCAGGAAGAAUUUCUGGCGCCGUUGCCGGGGAGAUCUAUGCCAAGUCAAGACAUACCAAGUACCCAUCAUAAAACUCUCAUCUCUUGCAUUACAUUAUUCGCCAUUUGCCUCUCGUUUUCCUCUCCCCCACUUCUAAAACAAAUUUCGAAAAGAUUUGCCUUUUUAUUCGCCUUCUUUCCGUAUGACUUUUUGCUCGUUUGCUAUCUUUGCUUGUGUUCCCGUGUGCCUUCUAUUUGAUUGAAUCUUUGCUUGCUAAAAAUCUUUCGAUAUGGAACAACUUAAAGUUUUCUACUUGGAUCAUCUUCGAUCCAUAUGUGCUCGUGCUCAAACCCCAACUAGUUUAGUUGAGGGAAAAUCUUUAGAUGAGCAUGCGCAUUUUGUGCGUCAGCGUAUGUCAGAAAAGGGAGACUCUUAUGGAAUCAAAUAAAUUAUUUGCUAUGUUAUGCUUCGAAUCUUUGUGAACUUUGUGAUUUUACUUGUUGCUCUAAGAACCCUAAAAACACCUUCCGUACCUAUCUGAGUUUAAUGAUAAUGAAAUCUUAUCUUCUUAUGAAAAGGGUGUUUACAGUUAUUAUGAUAUCGAACAAAUUAAAGAAUUUGUUGCUUUUAAGGGUGCUUAUGAAGUUGCUUCUUUCUUUGAAAAGUAUGAUAUUACUCUCUACAAAUCUGAAAAUUUUGACAUACUUCAAUAUUGCUAUCAGUACUAUGCUCAUAAUGUCUAUGUUAAGGAAUUUACUGAGAGAAUGACUGUUUCUUUCGAAGAAAAUAAUGAUAUGCAUGAAUCUAUUGAUCAUUAUAAUUCCGAUGAUUUGAUUGAAAUAUCCUUUGAUGAACAUGAUGCUUGCUAUUCUUAUGGACAAGAUGAAAAUAUUAAUUAUUCUUAUGGACAUGAACUUGUUGUAGUUCCUUAUGUUAAACAUGAAAUUAUUUUUAUUGCAACCACACUUGAUAGUUCCUUCGAUGAGAAGCAUGAUUGUAAUGAUGUUAUCCCAAAUUCUAUUAAGGUCAAUUGUGUUAAUGAUAUGCAAAACCCCAAGCUUGGAGAUGCUAGUUUUGUUAUGUCCACUACUUGUUGCAAUGAUCAUGAUUGGGGUGAUUCUUCUUAUGAUCUUGAAAAUUUAUUUAAACCUCAUGAUGAAUAUGUUUGCUAUACUAUUGAAAGUAGGUUUGGAAGAGUGUCAACUUUAGAUCCCACAUAUUUGGGUAAUUUUCAAUCUUAUGAAGUUUUUGAUAAAAGUGGGUUUGGAGAGGUCAUGACUUUAGUUAAUGUUAAUCCCACUAUUUUGGAAAAGUGUCAACUUCACAUGCAUGCGGAUCUUGUUGAGAAUAUGUUAUAUGAUAGCUAUAUUGUUGAAUUUGAAUAUGAUCCCACAUGCAAUUAUUAUGAAAGAGGACAAUAUGGUUGUAGAAAUUUUCAUGUUACUAAAUCACCUCUCUUCAUGUUGAGAUUGUCUAUGUUUUAUUUUUCUUCCUUGCAUAUGCUAGUUUUUGCUUUCCUUGAUAAUUUGUUUGCUUAUAAAAUGCCUAUGCAUAGGAAAUAUAUUAGACUUAGAUGUGUUUGGCAUGUGUUCUAUGAUGCUCUCUUUGCGCAUCAAUUCUUCUCUUUUAUGUGAGCAUCAUUGAAAUUAUCAAUGCGUAGCUAAAGGCUUUAAAGAAAAGCGCUUGUUGGGAGACAACCCAAUAUUUUUCCUUCCUGUUUUUCAAUAAAUAAUUCAUCUAGCCUCUGGUUAGAUGUGUUUUUGUGUUUUAGUUAGUGUUUGUGCCAAGUAAGACCUUUGGGAUGGCUUACGGUGAUAAUUGAAUUGAUCUUGCUAAAACCAAGAAACUUUUGUGCCCAGGAAAAUAAUUUUCAUUUUUACAGAAGAGUGCUUUUGAUCUCAUUAUUUUUGCACAAGAUUGGUACACAAAUUUCCCAGUGUGUCCUAAUAUUUCAGAAUUUUUGGAGUUACAGAAGUAUUCGAAGUUUCCAGAUUGCCACAGAUUGUUCUGUUUUUGACAGAUUCUGUUUUCUAUGUGUUGUUUGCUUAUUUUGAUGAAUCUAUGGGUAGUAUCGGGGGGUAUGAACCAUGGAAAAGUUGGAAUACAGUAGAUAUUACACAAAUAUAAAUAAAGAAUGAGUUCACAACAGUACCAAAAGUGGUGAUUUAUUUUCUUAUACUAACGGAUCUUAUAUGAUUUUUUGUUGAGUUUUGUGUUUUGAAGUCUUCAAGUUUUGGGUAAGGAUUUGAUGGACUAUGGAAUAAGGAGUGGCAAGAGCCUAAGCUUGGGGAUUCCCAAGGCACCCCAAGGUAAUAUUCAAGGAAAACCAAGAGCCUAAGCUUCUGGAUGCCCCCGAAGGCAUCCCCUCUUUCGUCUUCGUCUAUCGGUAACUUUACUUGAAGCUAUAUUUUUAUUCACCACAUGAUAUGUGUUUUGCUUGGAGCGUCUUGUAUAAUAUGAGUCUUUACUUUUUAGUUUUCCAUAAUCAUCCUUUCUGUACACACCUUUUGAGAGGGACUCGCAUGAAUCAUAAUUUAUUAGAAUACUCUAUGUGGUUCACUUAUAUCUUUUGAGCUAGGAAAUUUUGCUCUAGUUCUUCACUUAUAUCUUUUUAGAGCACGGCGGUGGCCUUAUUUUGUAGAAAAUGUUGAACUCUCAUGCUUCACUUAUACUAUUUUGAGAGUUUCUCUAAGCAGCAUGGUAAUUUGAUUUGGUUAUAAAUUUAGUCCUACUAGUGGAGUAUUAUGAGAAGUUUGAUACUAUGAGAAGUUUGAUUCCUUAUGAUUGUUUAUGAUUGUUUUGAGAUAUGAGGAUGAUGAUAAAGUGCAUUGAAUACUAUGAGAAGUUUGAUUCCUUAUGAUUGUUUUGAGAUAUGAGGAUGAUGAUAUUAGAGUCAUGCUAGUGGAGUAAUUGUGUGUUGUAGAAAUACUUGUGUUGAGGUUUGUGAUUCCUGUAGCAUGCACGUAUGGUGAACCCUUAUGUAACGAAGUUGGAGCAUGAUUUAUUUAUUUAUUGUCUUCCUUAUGCGUGGUGGUCGAGGACAAGCGAUGGUAUUUUCCUACCAAUCUAUCCCUCUAGGAGCAUGUGCUUAGUACUUUUUUCGAUGACUAAUAGAUUUUUGCAAUAAGUAUGUGAGUUCUUUAUGACUUGUGACACCCACGAUUCAAUCGUAGACUAAUCAUACAUGCAAAUGUGUACAAUGAACAUCAGGGACUCACGGGAAGAUAUCACAACACAACUCUAGGCACAAAUAAAAAUUAAUACAAGCUUCAUAUUACAAGCCAGGGGCCUCGAGGGCUCGAAUACAAGCUCGAUACACAAGAGUCAACGGAAGCAACAAUAUCUGAGUACAGACAUAAGUUAAACAAGGAUGCCUUAAGAAGGAUAGCACAAAAGAAAUAUGAUCGAAGAGGCAAGGCCUCCUGCCUGGGACCUCCUAACUACUCCUAGUCGUCGUCGGUCUCAACGUAGUAGUAUCCGUCGACGGUGGCAUCUGGCUCCCAGGAUCCACUAUCUGGUUGCAACAACCGGAAAGGAGAAAUAAGGUGGGAAAGGGGUAGCAAAGCAAUUGUGAGUACUCAUCCAAAGUACUCGCAAGCAUCAGAUCUGUACUAAGUAUGCAUUGGUAUCAAAUGGAAGGUUGUAUAUGUCGACUGGACUACAACAUGCCAGAAUAGAGGGGGAAGGCCUAGCCUAUCAAAGACUAGCAUCUUCAAGCAGCUCCAAGCAACUUGCAGCAUGUAGAAGAGUAAAGAAUAGCAUUUUAAUAUUAAACAAACAUGUUGUAGAACCAACACCCAGAUAUCCUUCCUCGACUCCAUGCGAGGAAGCAAUCCCGGAGCCACAUAUCCAUCACAUAUCUCAAGUGUCCAUAUAUAGUUAUAUAAGAUCAGGAUACAAGUUUGAACGUCCAUUACCACGGACACGGUAUUCGAAUAUAUAUCUUCCCUGCAGGGGUGCACCACGUUACCCAACACGCUGGAUAACUCUGGCCGGACACACUUUACUGGUUUAAUGCCCGGCCUCGGAAGAUCAACACGUCGCAGCCCUACCUAGGCUUAGCAGAGAGGUCCCCGUCGGUCUACAUCCUAAGCACUCCGGGGUCUUGGGCCCAUCGCCUGCAGCACUCUGGGUCGUUUUGUGCAGGGUGGAUACCAGCACCUCCUCGGAUGGCCAACACGAUUCGACCAUGCCACAAUGUUGAACUGGACGUCUAACAAAGCUUCGGCUGGUACUGUGACGUCGUGGCCCAUAACUAUACUCGCAUGGUGGUUAGUGCGUAAAUGCCAGAGGCCAACACAGAACAAAUCCCCGAACCUGUUAGUGUAUUGGGGGCUCGCGAGGACGAGCACAGACUUACAUUAAGGUGACCCCGUCGCCCCGUCUCGUGGACUUACGGCAAGGGCCCAGACUGCCUGGUUGUGCCACGUGGAAAACUCGCGGGUGUGCUCUCUGGGCCCACCCGACAUUCACAUCAACUCGCGGGUACCCCUUAGGGCCGACCCGACUUCAACAAAGGUCUCAAGUAUAGUCAAGGUAACUGUGUGUCCAUAACAUCAAGGAGGAAAACCCGAGGAAUCACCCCCCGUGGAUUCCACUCGAUGUAACCAUCAAGGUGAACGUAAGAGGAAACACCCUCGAGGUUCACACUUGAGGGUUGCUCGACGGAGUAUUAUCGGGAGUGGUCUAGCACUACAAGAAAUAUGUCAACUUGUGACCACCACUAUUGGUCACUGAAAGGUCAUGGUUUGUCAUUUACGACCUUUUUGUGACCAAAAACAGAAGGUCAAAAGCUGGCGGUCGUAAACUAACUAUAGCGACCUUUCUUCUGGAAUGGUCGAAGACGUUUAUGACCAAAAUAUGUCCACUGUGGCGUUUUGGUCACUAGCAACCUCCCUAGGCCACUUAGGCAUCCAGCGUGGCAAGCUGAUGUGGCACAAGAUUCAGCCCGGUCCAAUUUGGUUUUCUACAUGGGCCUAGCCCACCAAUUCGGCCUUUCUAUAUUUUUUUCCUGUGCUUUUAUUAGCUACAUGGGCCUGGCCCAAGAAUUCAGCCUUUUUAUUUUCUAGGCCAUGGCCUUUUUUAUUUUAUUUUUUUCCAAAAUAUGAGCCCACUAGUGAGGUGGGACCCAGUUGUCAGGUUCUAACAAGUGGGUCCCAGGUGUCGCUGUUAUAUUAUUCAAAUCUCAAUUUUCCAGUAGAUAAAUAACAAUAUUUAAAUCCGAACAGAGAGAAAACAAAAUGCUUCAAACAGAGCACGACUAAUCAGGAAAAAUAUGGUACACAUCACGAAUACAAUCAGAAAGAGCCAAACUUGGCACAUUAUUACAAUCAAACUUGUUCAUCCUGGUAACACAGCAAGGAUGGUUCAUCCUAGUAACACAUUAUUACAGCAAAAUAUGGUUCACAUCAAGUUUACAAUAAACAAAAAUGUUCACAACAGGUAACACAAGUAUCACAGUAUAACUUGCUCCAAUGCUUCUCCCAACUUGUUCAUCCUGGACCUCACAACAAAACAUGAAUGAAGGCCAGCAUCUGCAAGUUAUCAAGAAAAAUGCUUAGAACAAGCAAAAUGCGACAUUUUUACCAUUUAAGCAUAGAAGAACAGGGUCAACAACAUUUCGAUCUUUGAAAAUGAACCAAGAUUUCAAUCUUUGAACAGCAAAAAAUUGAUACAGUAGAUCAUCUGCGGUUCAAAACAACCCCUAAGAAGAGACAUGUUGACACAUUCAUUUGGCAACAUCUGUAGAAAUUGAACCUCGUAAACAUGCAAUGUGAAAUUUGUAUCUCAAAGAAGUAUACAUACUUAUCAGAUUUUGAUGACAUUAACAUGCAGUACAAGCAAAGAUGGCAUGAUUGAACCUUGCAUAGUAAAAACUUGCAAGUAAAUAAGAACAACAAUGCUAAGAAGAUAAAACAUGCACAUUUCAGCCUGCAAUUGUGAAAAGGUCGAAUGGAUCCAAAUUAACAUACAAUUCAGAAAACAAUCAAUCUAUCUAUUAUAUACUUAAAACAAUAGAAAAGUAACGGUGGAGAUUAAGCAGUCUAAAGUUAUGGUAUUUGAAUGGCUGGGAUUAAAAGUUCCAAAAGUUUUUUAUAGGUAAAAGUUCUAAAAGUUACUUAGAACAUUAUCCUGUACAGUUCUUAGAAUCCGACACGUAACUGUCACAAAAAAACAGAAGACCGUGUACUUUAAUUAGGUGAAAAAAUAACAUGUACGUACGUCCUAUCAACAGCCAAUCGAAAUAAGUAAAAAAAAACCCUGCAAAUAUCAACAUGUGUCGUUAACACGUACUACUACAAGUUGAGUCCAACACGGAUAAGUAAGGAUUAGAUCACAUAAAGCCAAGUCCAACACGGACCAAAUAGGAACCAGAUCACGUACGUGUUAAAAAGAAACAUGCAUGUGGUGACCGUACCAAUUAGAUAAGAGUUGGAUUAGCAUUGGAUGCAACGACCUCAGGAUGAUGUCAUCGGGUAAAUAACAUGUACUGCUAAUUUGCUUCUAUUCCGAUUCACGUGGCCGGACGUCUGAUGGUGGUUGUACAUUGAGAUUAAUUCACUUCGGCAUAAAUAACUUAAUUAUUAGCAAAUUUACGUAAAAGUAUUUAAAUAAAGUUUUAGAUAAAUUAAUACAGGUAUACUUCACAACGAACACUGACAAUAAUUAGUAAAUAUAUUUAUAUUUCGUAGUACAUGAAACUCAGUGUAAAAUUAUGUGAAAUAAAAAAUUAGAAAGUUGAAUUGAUUGGAAGAAAAAAUAAUUUUGCAUUAAUAAUAGUAAAGUAAAAAAAGGUUUCAUAGGAAUAAAAUUCCACAAAUAGCUUAAUUUAUUACAAUGUUUUAAAUCAAAUAAAGAGUUAAUAUUGCAUAAAAAACUAAUCAUGUUUUAGAUUAUAUAUUAUCACAUAAAAAACUAAUAGUUUAUUAAAACAAGACACAAAAAUCCAUCAUGUUAAUUCAUAUACGCUUAAAAAUACAUGUUCUGUUGAUCCAUAUAACAAAGACUGAGAUUAAAAGAUUUGAAGACUUUAAUACAAGUCCUGUUAGAGAUUAAAAAAAAACUACAUACCGAUGUAUAUAGACAUAUUUUAGAAUAUAGAUUCAUUCGUUUUGCUCCAUAUGUUGUCCAUUAUUGGAAUCUCUAAAAAGACUAAUAAUUAGGAACAGAGUGAGUACAAUGAUAUUGAAGUGUAUACACGUGUUUCAUUGGAAACGUACAACACAUGUAUACAUUUUUUUUUCUAAACACAGUAGCAUACACAGGUUUAUUGGAACGGAUUUGCUAAUAGAAAAGUAAAAACCAUUAUGCUACUCGGAAGGGAGAUACCAUGUCUACGUAUGUGGAUUGAAAUUGGUGUCCGGCAAUAAUUUAGAACUAAUACAUCGUCCAGAAAAAGAAUUACAACUAAUACGGUCACAGACAAGAAUUACAGCUAACUAAUAUAGUUGCAUGAACCUACCAAGAAGUAUAUGCAUGCUCAACUUGACAUGACCUUAACUGAUUCAAAUAAUAUUUUUUAACAUUGUAACAUUACGCAACAAAAACAAACGUCUCAUAGUCGCUAGAGACAAUUUGGAAAGAAAAUAUUGGAAACUGACAUUAGCGUGUAAAAGAAGGGCAAAUUAAAAAAACACUAAUACCUCAAGACGUCCAAACAACGCUAUGGAAUCACAUGAAGCGAUGUGGGGUGGAAAUCACGUUGCGUAAACCUCCGGGCAAGGGAAAUUUCACGGAAUACAAUACAAUUCCAAAAAAACAGACAAGGAAACGAACACACAUGAUGAAGACAUGGAGUGAUUUGGGGCCGAAAUCACGUCGCGCAAAUGUGGUGCCAAGGGAAUGUUGAAUACAAUUUCGGAAAAGAUACAAAGGAAUCAGGACAUCGACACACAUAAAAAUGGAUAAGGACAAAAAUAUUCACUUUCUACAUUACGGAUUUGUAACAUGUACAUUAACCAAGUACCAGGAAGCAAUGCAAUUUUGUAGUAAGCAUCGGGAAAUAAUGUUAUGGCAACAAUGAAUAGUGUUAUGCAUGCAAAAGACCUACAACCGUGGACACAUUUUUAAGUCGAUGCGAAAUAACCUGAGUGCGACAAGGAUUAGCUAUAGAGAGACCGAGUGAGUAAGUGAGAGGUGAUGUUUUACGUAUAUUCAUAUUAAUGGAAACCGGUAUCUAUAUUCACUACUAGAAAAAGGGUCAAAUGUGAGACACAUUAGUCCCGGUUUGUAAUAGAACCGGCACUAAUGUGUCCAUUAGUGCUGGUUCCAACGGCUAGGUGGGAGGAGCUCUUUAGUACCGGUUCGUGGCGAACCUUUAGCACCGGUUCGUGCCACGAACCGGUACUAAAGAAAGUGGUGGCAGGAUGUUGUCAGAGUGGGGCCCUUCCAGCACCUUUAGUACCGGUUCGUGGUACGAACCGGUACUAAGGUCGUCCUAUAUAAACCCUUCGUCCACCCGCACUCUGUUCUUCCCCCUUUCCCCUCUCCCUCUCCUCUGUUCUUCCCUUCUUCCUCUCGAGUUCAUCACAAAAUUUGCCCCAAAUUUGUCAAGAUUUGCAGGCCCUCAUCCAUUCAAAUGAUCACCAAGGUUAGCAACUUUGUCCUUUCAUCUCUCAUUGCUAGAUUAGCUCUUGCAUUGGUUUAUAUAGUGAUUAAUUGUGGGUUUUAGUAAUUUGGGAGGAAUUAUAUGUGGUAGUAUUUGAUUUAUAUGCAAUUUGAGGUCAAAAUAACACUUAGGUUGCAUAUGUAGGUGUGGUUUACUUAGUGCCUUCUAAAUCUCCGUCGUAACCACCGUCGAUCGCCCGCACCGUCCCGUCGCCGGCACCACCUUGUGGUGAGCCUCUUGUUCAUGAAAUUUUAUAUAAAAAAUUGAUGUUUGUGUGAUUUGGAUAUAUAGUUACUCGUAUAAUAAUUAUCUUACCCGUACGUUGUUUGUUAUACAUACUGCCAUGGUUUUGAUAUCCGUCCCCGUUGGCCCUCGUCCUUGUUAUGAUUCGGAUGUGGUAUAUUCUCUUUUAAAACUAUUUGUUGCAUUUCGUGUUUAUGACAAAUUAUGCCCAUCAAGUUGACAUAGAUAUUUUUAUCUAGGAGGUAUGUGAACCGGAAAUUCCAACCGACCAUAUUGUCGAGAGGUUAAAUUUAGUUGAAAGAGAAAAUGAGUACUUGAAAGAAAAAUUGAAAAGAAUUGAGGGGGAGAGGAUGGAAUUGGAGUUGCAUGUUGCCGAUGUCGUCGAUGAUCACAAGAUCAAGAUGGAGAAAAUGCUCUUGAAGAUUAGAAAGAUUAGAAAAUAUGCCAUCGAUAGUGAGGCUUGGUAUCAUUAUGCUGUUGGAUCAAUUGUUACCUUAGUUGCGAUCUUGAUCGCAUUUGUUGUUGCAUUUAAAUGCUUUACCUAGAGAGUUAUUUGUUUGUUGCAUUUAAGUGUUGUAUGAACUUUAUGUAUGAACUUGUAUUAAUUUGGUCUAUUCGGUGUUGUGUAAUGAAGAUGAGCCGGCAAUGGAUGUACGAUGACCGAUGCUCUCCCCAGUUCGUUGAGGGCGUGCAUACUUUUCUGCUUGCGGCUGAGGCAAACAAGCGGGCGGAUGGUUUUAUGCCUUGUCCAUGUGGUGGCUGUAAGAAUGGUCGCAAUUACUCUACGUCAAGAACCAUUCACGUCCACCUGUUUAAGUCCGGUUUCAUGCCCCACUAUAAUGUUUGGACCAAGCACGGAGAAAGAGGGGUUAUGAUGGAAGACAAUGAAGAAGAAGAGGACGACAACAGCUAUCCUGGCCAUGGGUUCCCUGAAUACGAUGAUACAACAAUGGGGGAAGAAGCUGAGCCGAUAAUGCGGAAAGAAGCUGAGCCGGCAAUGCGGGAAGAAGCUGAAGAAGAGGCAUCAGAUGAGCCCGUUGAUGAUCUAGGUCGGGCCAUUGCCGAUGCAAAGAGAAGUUGCGCAAGUGAUUUGGAGAAGAAGAAGUUGCAGCACAUGUUAGAGGAUCACAAAAAAUUGUUGUACCCGAAUUGCGUAGGUGACAAGAAAAAGCUGGGCACCACACUGGAAUUGCUGCAAUGGAAGGCAGAGAAUGGUGUAUCUGACAAGGGUUUUGGAAAGUUGCUGGUAAUGAUAAAGGAUAUGCUUCGAAAGGACAACAAAUUGCUCGAGAGUACGUACGAAGCAAAGAAGGCUGUCUGCCCUCUAGGGUUAGAGGUGCAGAAGAUACAUGCAUGCCCUAAUGAUUGCAUCCUCUACCACGGUGAGUACGAGGAUUUGAACGCUUGCCCCGUAUGUGGUGCAUUGCGCUAUAAGAUCAGCCGCGAUGAGCAUGGUGAUGUCGAGGGCGAGCGCCCCAGGAAGAAGAUUCCUGCCAAGGUGAUGUGGUAUUCUCCUAUAAUACCACGGUUGAAACGUUUGUUCCAAAAAAAAGAGCAUGCCAACGCGAUGCGAUGGCACAGAGAAGACCGUAAGAAAGACGGAAAGUUGAGAGUACCCGCUGACGGGUCGCAGUGGAGAAAACUCGAAAGAAAGUACGGGAAGGAGUUUGCAGAUGACGCAAGGAGCGUAUGGUUUAGUCUAAGCGCAGAUGGCAUUAAUCCUUUUGGGGAGCAGAGCAGCAACCAUAGCACCUGGCCUGUGACUCUAUAUUUGUAUAACCUUCGUCCUUGGUUGUGCAUGAAGCGGAAGUUCAUUAUGAUGCUAGUGCUCAUCCAAGGCCCUAAGCAACCCGGCAACGACAUUGAUGUGUACCUAAGGCCAUUAGUUGAAGAACUCUUACAACUGUGAAAUGAAACAGGUGUACGUGCGUGGGAUGAGCACAUGGGGGAAUAAUUUGACCUAAAGGCGUUGUUGUUCAUGACCAUCAAUGAUUGGCCUGCUCUCAGUAACCUUUCAGGACAGACAAACAAGGGAUACCGCGGAUGCACGCACUGUUUGGAUGAUACCGACAGUAUAUAUUUGAAUAGUUGUAAGAGGAAUGUGUACCUGGGACAUCGUCGAUUUCUUCCGAGCAGGCAUCCCGUAAGAAAGAAAGGCAAGCAUUUCAAAGGUGAGGCAGAUCACCGGACGAAGCCUCACCACCAUACUGGUGCUGAUGUACAUGAUAUGGUCAAGGAUUUGAAGGUGAUAUUUGGAAAGGGUCCUGGCGGACAACCUGUUCCGAAGGACGCUGACGGACGCGCACCCAUGUGGAAGAAGAAAUCUAUAUUUUGGGACCUGCCAUAUUGGAAAGACCUAGAGGUCCGCUCCGCAAUCGACAUGAUGCACGUGACGAAGAAUCUUUGCGUGACCCUGCUUGGCUUCUUGGGCGUGUAUGGGAAGACAAAAGAUACACCUGAGGCACGGGAGGACCAGCAACAUAUGCACGGAGAAGACGACAUACAUCAGGGUCAUGGAAGCUACGCUCUUACCAAAGAAGAGAAGGAAAUCUUCUUUGAAUGCCUGCUCAGUAUUAAGGUACCGUCUGGCUUCUCAUCGAAUAUAAAGGGAAUAAUAAACAUGGCAGAGAAAAAGUUCCAGAACCUAUAGUCUCAUGACUGCCACGUGAUUAUGAUGCAACUGCUUCCGGUUGCAUUGAGGGGGCUUCUACCGGAAAACGUUCGAUUAGCCAUUGUGAAGCUAUGUGCAUUUCUCAAUGCAAUCUCUCAGAAGGUAAUCGAUCCAGAAAUCAUACCAAGGUUACAGAAUGAUUUGGUGCAAUGUCUUGUCAGUUUUGAGUUGGUGUUCCCACCAUCCUUCUUCAACAUCAUGACGCACGUCCUAGUUCACCUAUGCGAACAGAUUAACGUUUUGGGUCCUGUAUUUCUACACAAUAUGUUCCCCUUUGAGAGGUUCAUGGGAGUCUUAAGGAAAUAUGUUCAUAACCAUGCUAGGCCAGAAGGAAGCUUCUCCAAGGGCCAACAAAAUGAGGAGGUCAUUGAGUUUUGUAUUGACUUUAUUCCUGACCUUAAGCCGAUUUGUGUUCCUGAAUCGCGACAUAAGGGCAGACUGGAUGGAAAAGGAACUCUAGGAGGGGAAUAAAUAAUAUGUAUGGACAGACAUUCUCUCACUGAAGCACACUACACAGUUCUACAGAAUUCCGCCUUGGUGGCUCCAUAUAUGGAUGAACACAAGAAUUUGCUAAGCUCCAAACACCCGGAGCGAUCUGAUGACUAGAUUACACGUGAACAAACCAGGAGUUUCGCCAGCUGGUUGCAGACACGUACCAUGCAUGACACCUCUAUUGAAGAUGACCUAUACUUGCUGUCCCAGUUACCAUCUUCGAAUAUAAUGACUUUCAAAGGGUACGAGAUAAAUGGUAAUACAUUUUACACGAUCGCCCAAGAUAAGAAGAGCACCAACCAAAACAGUGGUGUCCUCUUUGAUGCAGAAACCAAGACGGGAAAGGAAACAUAUUAUGGUUAUAUACAGGACAUAUGGGAACUUGACUAUCGACGUGGUUUAAAGGUCCCUUUGUUUCGGUGCAAAUGGGUCAAUAUGACACGAGGCGGGGUAACGGAAGAUCCGCAGUACGGAAUGACAACAGUGGAUCUCAACAAUCUUGCGUAUGCAGACGAACCAUUCGUCCUAGCCAAUGAUGUGGCACAGGUUUUCUAUGUGAAGGACAUGUCUACCAAGCCAAGAAAAAGAAAAGAUAAGGAAGCGAAUGCAUCGUACGAUGAGCCAAAGCGGCACAUAGUUCUUUCUGGGAAGAGAAACAUCGUGGGACUGGAUGACAAGACAGACAAGUCAGAAGAUUAUGAAAAGUUUGAUGAAAUUGCUCCAUUCACAGUGAAUAUUGACCUGAGCAUCCCGUUAAAUGAUGAAGAUUUUCCAUGAUUACGGCGCAAAGGGACACACGCGAAGAAAAAGUUUCACACCCAAAGUUCUGGGAUGUGAUCGGCUUCACUAUCAUCACUUUCUUCUGUGUUUCACACCCAGAGGGGAAUCGCUGUAAUAGUUAGGGUAGUUAUGUGUUUUGGCAUUUGAAACGCGAAGAAAUUUUAUGUGCAAAUAAAUUCUUUCAUGCCUUUACUGAUUUUUAAAGUUAAGUUAUUCACAAACUAGUGAUUCACACUAAUUUCAAAUAAUUCAAAAUUUAAACUAUUCAAAUUUGAAAAGUACGGGCACUAACAGAAAGUUUGUAAUUUUUUGUACCUAAAGCAAAAAUAUUCACAAAGAAACUCUAAAUACACAAAAAAAAAACAACACAAAAAUAAAUAAAGCAAAAAAAAUUAAAAAAAAGCCUGCCUACUAGGCCAGAGCGGCCUACAUACGACUGGAACCCCAACCUGUUGUUGGGCCAGGAUGCAGGCCCGCAAAGGCCAAGUGGGCCCACAUGGCAGCAAAGAACACGUAGGCCCAGUAGGCCUGCUUUGGAGAGGAGCUCGAGAGAGCGACCGCAAGGGGGUUUAUAAACCAGUGCGGUCGCCCCUCGGCUAGCGAGGUGGGACUAAACUUGCCGCACCGCACCUGCGCCAGCGCACCCCCUUCAGUACCGGGUCAUGGCGAAGGGUCAAAUGUGAAGCACAAUAGUGCCGGUUGGAAUUUCAGCCGGCAGUAAUGUGUACACUAGUGCCGGUUCGUGGCGGCGAUGAAUAGCAACGCUUCGUGGCGAACCUUUAGUACCAGUUCAUGCCACGAACCGGUACUAAAGAGGCUGUGUCAGCCUCCGGUCAGGCUAUGGCCCCACCAUCACCAUUUAGUGUCGGUUCGUACCACAAACCAGUAGUAAUGAGGUUGUGUCAGGUAAGGCUGGGGCCCCACGAGCACCUUUAGUACCGGUUCAUGGAUGAACCAGACAUAAGCUGUUUUUUAGUCCCACCUCGCGAAGUGAGAGGGACUAGGAGCGGUUUAUAAGCCCUGAGUGCAGAGACGAUGAAGAAGAGGCUCAAUGCUCACGUUGCUUAGCUUCAAGCCUUCAGGAAUACGGUAGACUACACGGAGCUAUGCGCAGUGCAGUUUACACUAUUCCGAAAGGCUUGAAGCAAAUUAACGAGCAUUGCACCUCUUUUUUAUUUUAAUAACUUAUUACAACUCCGGACUUCUUCUGUUAUGGCAAAAACUAAUUGCACGUCGACAUUUCUUUUUUUAAGUUAUAACUCCAGACUUUGACCAUCAAGUUUUGCAGAAAAGGAAAAAUAGCAGAAAAGAAGAAAAACUAUAGCUGAAAAGAAAAAACUAUAUAAAAAAACUACUCAAAAAUAAAUAGAAGAAAAUAAAUAUAGCAGAAAAGAAAAAACUACUCAGAAAUAAAAAGAAGAAAAAAUAAAGCAGAAAAGAAAAAAAAUUAUAUUUGCUAUUUUUCAAUCAUUUACAAAAUGACCGUGAAAUUGAAAAUCACUACAAAAUGAACUCUGAAAUUGUUGAAUUUUGGCAAACUAGAUGAAAAACUACUCACAAAUAAAUAGAAGAAAAUAAAUAUAACAGAAAAGAAAAAACUAUACAAAAAACUACACAAAAAUAAAUAGAAGAAAAUAAAGCAGAAAAGAAAAAAACUAUAAAAAAAAUUGGGGCGCUGCCCUGUGGGCCUGAUAGGCCACAGGUGUGUAAUUACAGGCCUUAAAGGCCGAGCAGACUCACAGGGCAACGCGCAGAGUUUAGGCCCACAAGCCUGCUAUAUAGAGGAGUUCGAAGUGGUAGGCGCGGCUGGGUUUAUAAACCAGUGUGGCUGCCCUUCGCCCGGCGAGGUGGAACUAAACUUUGGGGUGGCAGCGCGAGGCCUUUAGUACCGGUUGGUGGCUCCAACCGGUACUAAAGACCACCCUUUAGUACCGGUUGGUGGCUCCAACCGGUACUAAAGGCCUCGUCUUCCCGCCUCUUCGCCUGGCCAAAGUUGGCCUUUAGUACAGGUUGGUGGCUCCAACCGGUACUAAAGGCCUCUCCUAUAUAUACAACACUUGCGAAAAUUUCAUUCUCCCUCUGUUUCUUCCUCUGUUUCCCCAUUGAAGCACCGCCCGCGCGCCCCGAUCGAUCGACGCCGUCGCCGUCGCCGCCCCCGUCCCCGUCGUUGCCCCCGUCCCCGUCGCCGCCCCCNNNNNNNNNNNNNNNNNNNNNNNNNNNNNNNNNNNNNNNNNNNNNNNNNNNNNNNNNNNNNNNNNNNNNNNNNNNNNNNNNNNNNNNNNNNNNNNNNNNNNNNNNNNNNNNNNNNNNNNNNNNNNNNNNNNNNNNNNNNNNNNNNNNNNNNNNNNNNNNNNNNNNNNNNNNNNNNNNNNNNNNNNNNNNNNNNNNNNNNNNNNNNNNNNNNNNNNNNNNNNNNNNNNNNNNNNNNNNNNNNNNNNNNNNNNNNNNNNNNNNNNNNNNNNNNNNNNNNNNNNNNNNNNNNNNNNNNNNNNNNNNNNNNNNNNNNNNNNNNNNNNNNNNNNNNNNNNNNNNNNNNNNNNNNNNNNNNNNNNNNNNNNNNNNNNNNNNNNNNNNNNNNNNNNNNNNNNNNNNNNNNNNNNNNNNNNNNNNNNNNNNNNNNNNNNNNNNNNNNNNNNNNNNNNNNNNNNNNNNNNNNNNNNNNNNNNNNNNNNNNNNNNNNNNNNNNNNNNNNNNNNNNNNNNNNNNNNNNNNNNNNNNNNNNNNNNNNNNNNNNNNNNNNNNNNNNNNNNNNNNNNNNNNNNNNNNNNNNNNNNNNNNNNNNNNNNNNNNNNNNNNNNNNNNNNNNNNNNNNNNNNNNNNNNNNNNNNNNNNNNNNNNNNNNNNAUUAGUUUAGAUUAUUUAGAUUAUUAUUUUUUCACUAUUAUAUAUGUAUGAAUGCAUGUUAGAUGGAUAUAAUUAGUGUUUAAUUAGUAUGGAAUUUUUUUAUAUAAUGUUGUUUUUCAGUUUUUUAAUGGAUGUAUAGAAGUUGUGUUUUCUAUUUUUAGUGUUAGAUGCUUAAUUAGUAUGAAAUAGUAUAUAGAUUUUUGACAUAUGCAAUGAUAGCAUAAUUAGUGUUAUAUAGAAAUGUUAGAAAUUUUAGUUAUCAAAAUCCAAUCAUUAAAAAAAUGUUACUUUUUGCGGGCAUAUAGCUAGUAUUUGUUCUCAACGAUGCCCGGCCCGCAUCCUCGCCGUCGACCCGUCCGCGACGACGUCCGGCUGACCCAUGUCUGGGACUGGGCUCCGCCGGGCUGGCACUGGGAGGUGCUGCCUGGAGGGGCGCGCCGCUUGAUGAGGAACCCGGCCCCGGGUCCCGUCGUCGACCCUGAUCUCGUUUGGUGGCGUUCACGUGGGCCAGAUUCGGUGCGGAGGGCCCCGGCCCCGCCGGAGGUGGUACGUCACCGUGUCAGGGAGGAGGACGAGCACGUCCAUCGCUACAUGGUUGCAUUAGAAGGCGGCAGGUUCUCCAAUACCUGGUAGUUUCUUCAGGGAUCUCACUUUAGCUAUGAUCCUGUGAGGGUUCCUUCUCUUUGGGUGUCCACCGCCCGCGCCGCAGGAACCGCGAGUGUCCUAGAUUCUUCUGUAGUAUUUGAUCUUUAAUUAGCUACCUAGCCAGUGAUGUACUAUUCAAUAUUAUAUAUUAUUCGAGACGAUGUAUUCGAGAUUAUAUCUAUUAUUCUAGACGAUGUAUUCGAGAUUAUAUCUAUUAUUCGAGACGAUGUAAUUUGAAUACUAAAUUGUUUUAUAUUUCUUUUGGAUUAGUUAAAUAAAAGCUAUGGCAGACAAUACCGACAGAGAGGGAGAACAGACCAUGUUCGAUAUGAUACGCGGGCCAGAUGAUGAUCAGAAUGAAGAAGAAGAUUAUGACGGCUCCGAAUCUCUAAACAACACCGAAGAGGGUGAUAUGAUAUUCGAUCGCGAUGACCGAAUUGAUGAAGUCCUGAACUACGAUUAUGACGAUGACAAAGAACAUGUUGAUCCUGAAACAACAAAGACCGGCGAGGUAUAUUUAUAUAAGCAGGCAUCUGGUGAUCAUCACAUGUUUUAAAUGACUUGAAGAUAUAUUAACGAAUUGAUCUUUGUUCUUUCAGCCAUCCGGAUCGAGCAAAUCUUCAGGCAAAAGGACGAAACGAGGCCCGAACAAAAAGUUGAAGGAGGGCAUAAAGUACAAUAUCGAGGUAGCCAGACCUAAUGGCGAACCAUUAGCACCUAAGAAGAUUGCGGACAAGUUCGUUCGUCAGUGCGGAGUUCUUGUGAAGGACAAACUCCCGAUCAAACUUCAAGAAUGGAGAGAGCCAGCAAAGCCACGUCCAAAUGUUACUUUCGUCGAUAAGAAUCAAAAAGAUCUGCUUUGGGAUACUCUCAUGGAACAUUUCACCCUACCAGAUCAUUUCACAAAAGCAGAUGUGCAUAAAGUCAAGGACGCUGCUCUUAGGAAGAUGGCGGUUGCAUUCAAGAACCACAAGAAUCGUGAAUGGGACAAGUACGUCAAGGGAGGAAGGAAGACUCCAGUAUUCGAGGGAACACUAGAGAACCAACGUGCUCAUUGGGACGAUUUCGCGAAAUUCAAGGAUUCGGAAUUAGCUAAGGAACGGUCGAGAAUAAACAAGAAGAAUGCCGAAAAAAAUGAUAAGUUCCAUAAGCUGGGGCCAGGUGGCUAUGCGGUGGCAAUGCCUAAGUGGGAUAAGUCUGAGAAAGAGAUGGAGGAUGCAGGUGUCACUCUGGUUACUAAGAGCUGGCCCCCCAGGUGCAGGACUUGGUUCUAUGCGCAUGGGGGGAGUUGGACCCGAAGACAGGCAAUGUUUCGACGAAGGCAAGUCUGAAGGGAGCCGACGAUGCGAUACUUGUUGCAAUAGAAGAGGCACGAUCGGGGGUGUUCCAGCCCAACAGAGAGAACGACGAGCUUACACGUGCCCUGGGAAAUCCUGAUCACCCGGGAAGAACACGAGUCAAGGGCGCUAUUCCGUGCUAUGAGGGGUUUUCAGACUGGAACACCGACUACAGAACCCGUGCGAGAAAGAAGAUUGCGGAGGAGAAGAAGAGGAAGAUGGAGGAGGAGCAGAGGAAGCGGGACUAUGAACGCCUUCAAGGCCUAGAAGCAAGUCAAGCGGAAUUGGCAGUCAAAUUCCAGCGGCAGCAUGAGCAGAUCGACUCACUUACCCAGCAAAGGGGGUCUCAGCAGCUGCAGCAGCUAGCGGAUGAUCCAACAUUGGAUAGCACCGCCCCAUCCAUGCCGAGAAGCAGCAUGGGUUCCGCCCCGGAUAACGCAAUGCUGGGUAGAUACCCCGUGGAUGACAUCACGGAGAACACUAACUGCGAGCUACACGUCAAAAUAACGAACAUAUCCAUGAAGGUGGCGGACGCCGUUGCUUUUACAAAUCCCCCCGAGGCAACCUUCCAUGGCAACCCGAUUCCAGCGGGCUAUGCUCGUGUCUUGGUUGAUGAGGUGGUGGACCCACCAUAUUCGGAGCUACAGCUUGACAUUCCUGGAGGUGACGACGAGCGCUUUCUCGGAGAGUCCAAACAUCGUAUCAUCCUAUGGAAAAAGGAUUGCAUCAUAUUUCGAAGGCCACCGACACCACGUCAGCCGACUCCUCGUCGAAGUCCGUCACCGAGUCAGCAGACUCCCGCUCCUGCAAGUCCACCAAGUCCGGCAAAGUGUCAGGCCACUCCUCCUCCUCCAAGUCCACCACAGCGUCAGACGUCCACUCCUCCUCCUCCAAGUCCGGCACAACCUCAUGCCACUCCUCCAAGUCCGGCACAGCUUCAGGCCACUCCUCCUCGUCCAACUCAGCACCGUCAGCCGUCUCCGCCGCCUCAGCAAUCGCAAAAGAGACACCCCGCAGCUAUGGUGCGUAGCGGUACGAGUCGAGGUAGUACAGGAAGUACAGGCGGAGGCAAGCGAUAUAAAUAUGGUCCAAGCCUCACGCCUCUUCCGCAGAGGCCUUAUGACAAGUCCGAGGAGGAAAACGCAGUCAUAUCGAAGGCCGAGGUGGAAGCCCAUUUUGCACCGAAACCGCCACCGCCGCCAAGGGAGAAAGUGCCUGAGGAAACGAUUGACCACUUCAUUCGUAUGGCUCAACCACCAGCUCCCAAGCCUGUUGACACAGACUGUGAGCGCCACAUCAGGAAAUUAAAUCGAGCACGUCUACGUAAGGAGGCGAGCUCGGGAUCGAGCAAACAACAAGCAGCUGUCAAAAAAUGCGGGAAAACCAUUCCCCGGCUGGGAGAACAGGCGGCGCAAUCGAUCCCCUCGCUUGUUGUGCCAACAACACGUGACAAUACGCGCGCCCAAUAUUAUUGUGGGCAAACAGUUUACGUUCCCAAGGUGGGCAAUGUGGUAAUAACCAAGGACCAUAUAAUGCAGGCUGAAGUUCUCAACAUCACUGUUGGACAACUCCUCGAGAUCGAGCCCAUGCCUGUGCUUAGAGAGGAUGAAAUAAAACGGAAAUAUGUCCGGGGCCAACCUUUAGUCGAGCCAGACAAGGUCAAGAACCUCCCAACGAGAAUGUAUGAUUUGCAUCAAUGGUACAUGAACAUUACCAAGAUUUCAGAUCGAUUGUCCCUCAUGGUGAAUGUCAAGGAGGAUCAUUACUUCCAUGAGAAAGCUCUGUCCGUUGAGUAUUCUGAACUGUUUCAGUUAUACAAUCAAGACGCACUCGACAAAUCUAUCGUCAGUUGCUAUUGUCUAUAAGUGAUUUCUUUCUGUAAUUUAAGUCUCAAGCUAGCUGCAGUGAUCCUUUUGAUCAAUCAUUACCUGUAAUUAUCGUCACUAUAUUCUUUUCUGUGGUAUUAUGCAGGAUGAAGAUGUAUGAAAUGAGAAAAGGUGGACGCUUUGGCAUUGGGUUCGUUGACCCAAACACUGUUAAUGAAUACACAUGGCGGAUAAAUCCACAUCAUCAAAAGGACGUAGAGGACAACAUGCUAGAGUUCUUGAAGCGCCUCAAAUACAAUGAAGAUAUACUACUUCCUUACAACUUCUAGUGAGUCAAACUGUCUUGUACUACAAAUUCUCUGUUUUUGCCUACUAGCUAGCUACAUGUUUUUGCUUACAUAUGCCCGCUUAAUUAAGACAUGCAAACGUGUGUGCAUGCAGAUUUCACUGGGUCUUGUGUAUCAUUAAAGUUGACGACGGAACAGUUGAAAUACUGGACUCCCUACUCAAAGUGAAAACUGACUAUAACAUCUUGUUUGGGAGAGUCAACAGGUAAUUUCAAUCAUUAUUAACUAUAUAUCUCGGCCUAUUUAGUUCUUCAUUUCAUGAUAUGAACUAUUUAAUAACCCCUUUAUUCAUUUUCUUUGUCGGCGGGCAGGGCUUGGGCAAGGUUCAUCAGCGUCACGGAAGGCGAAUGGAAAAAAAGUUUCAAUAGUUUCGACCCAAGGUAAGUAAUUAAGUAGUACUAGCUAGCUAGCUAGCUGCCAUCUCUUUAAUUAUCAUGCUUGAUUAAUUAUUAUCUGAUCAAAUUCCAUUCUCGUAAAGGCCCUGAAGCAGGCGCAGGGGACUGAUCUGUGUGCAUUCUGAAUUUGCGACAACAUUCGCAUGAUGGCGUCCGAAAGGAGCAGAUCUCAAAGACAAGAAUGGGUACGCUUGUCAGAACAGUAUUCACAAUUUUUACACCAUUAUUGAUAUCUAGUCACACAAGUAAUACACAUGCAUAUGGAUCUCCUUCUUAACAGUUCAGAGAGGUGCGGGAGAAGCUCCUAGAAACGGAGCGCGUAGAAGCACUUCAAGAGGAAAUAGUGGGAUUUUUGCUCGACUAGGUCAUAAAUCCGAAGGGAGAAUACUAUUACCCGCUACCGCCCCCAUGAAAACCACUUCCAAUUGUCAUCGUGCUCCGAAGGCACCAAUUAGGCUAAUGCCACUGGCUCCGAAGGCAACAUGCAUAUGUAGGAGAAAUUGUAUAUAGCUAUACAUGUGUGUAUGUGUGAAUUAAUUAAUAUGAUGGUUUGUGAGACAUUGAUGAUAUAUAUAUGCAUNNNNNNNNNNNNNNNNNNNNNNNNNNNNNNNNNNNNNNNNNNNNNNNNNNNNNNNNNNNNNNNNNNNNNNNNNNNNNNNNNNNNNNNNNNNNNNNNNNNNNNNNNNNNNNNNNNNNNNNNNNNNNNNNNNNNNNNNNNNNNNNNNNNNNNNNNNNNNNNNNNNNNNNNNNNNNNNNNNNNNNNNNNNNNNNNNNNNNNNNNNNNNNNNNNNNNNNNNNNNNNNNNNNNNNNNNNNNNNNNNNNNNNNNNNNNNNNNNNNNNNNNNNNNNNNNNNNNNNNNNNNNUACCAGCAAACGAAAAAGAAUUAAAAUAGAAACACAAAAUUAAAUGAAAAAGAAAUCAUAAAACUAAAAAAACCCCAAAGCUUAUAGUACCGGUUGGUCUUACCAACCGGUACUAAAGGGCUCCAGGCCCCCGGAGCUGGCUCGUGCCACGUGAUUGCCCUUUAGCACCGGUUCGUGCUGAACCGGUACUAAAGGAGGGGGGGGCUUUAGUGCCCACACUUUAGUGCCGGUUACGGAAUCGGCACUAAAGGGCCUUACGAACCGGUGCUAUUGCCCGGUUCUGCAUUAGUGAUUGUCUUAGAUGGGCGAGGGAGAUAGUGUAAGAUUAUCAUGUUUUCAAGCUUCAAUAUGAGAGAUGACGAGUCAAGUGGAGAAAGAGAAAGCAAGUAUACGAACUAUAAGAGUAUAUAUUUAAUAUUAUUAAGUAAUCCGUAUUAAAUUAUAGACGGUCUCCACGAUAAUUGAUGCAAAGUUUAUAUUUAAGAACCGAUGUACAUUUAAUUAUUUGAACGACAUGGAUCAUUAGUCAUACAGAAAAAGAGGCUUAUAUUUUCUGUAGGCAAUAACCAUUGAGCGGUUACAAUUUUAAAAUUUUAACAUUUUAAAAUAUAUUUAUGAAUGAAUCUAAAUUCCAUGACACAUGCUAAAAGAUGCUUUAAACUAUUUAUUUCCAACAAAAUAAAAUUUCACAUUUAAAUACCAAAUAAAAUAAUAAUACAAUCUAGCCGUGCAAAUGCGCAGGUGACCCUGCUAGUUUAGAUUUGAUUUUCAAAAAUUGAUCGUGAUUGAUUCUUUCACAUAAAGAUAUUACUAACUUGGGCCAACAUGGAAAGUUCUUCCGCUCUCUUUUGUUGUGUGAGAGGCUCACACGAAACUAAACCGGUGGGGUGAGGGAGGGGCAAAAAAACUAGCAAAAUAAAAUGGUUGAAAAUGGUGGGACGAAAAUAAAUCGUGGAUACUAUUCUACCAACUCGGACAUUAGAAAUAGAGAUAUUGAUGUCACUGGCAUGUUGUCAGUCAAGCUAGCGUAUCACAUUACAUCACCAAACGUACAUGCCUUGAUUGUACGUAAUAUAUUGUUGUCUGAUCCACGCUAAGAGCAUCUCUAGCAGACCCCAUAUAUCGCCGACCCACAAAACUCAUUUAAAGUUUGCUGAAAAACAGUUUCGCGGGCCGGCGCGGGUCGCGGUCGAGCAGACCCCGCAUAGCGGAACUGUAAAACGGGAUAUUCACGAAUAUUCCGUCUUACAGUUCCGCUAUGCGGGGUUUGCUCGGCGCAGCCCGCGCUAACCCGCAAAUCACAUGUGUUUUUAUCCGAAUUUGACACAGAUGCCACAUAUUCAGAAUUAUUAAUUCAAUAUAAGAUAAAAUUUCAAUAUUACCAUACAACAAUCAUCCAAAUUACAAUAAUUAUUGAAAUCACCUAAGCAAACUAAAUAAUUCAAUAGAAAACUUGCCUCGAAUACAAAUCAGACAUGAAUUAAAUGAAAUGAAUGCAAAAAUGGAAUGUCUUACCGCCAUCCCUUUGUCAAUCACUAGUAGAAAAACACCUAAUAGUCCCGGUUCGUAAGGGUCUUUAGUCCCGGUUCAUGAACCGGGACUAAUGGGUCGUUACUAAUACCUCCACCCAUUAGUCCCGGUUCAAACACGAACCGGGACCAAUGUGCCUCCACGUGGCCCUGUGCGCCGAGCCCAGUCAGGGGGCCUUUGGUCCCGGUUGGUUGUACCAACCGGGACCAAAAUGCAUCCACGCGUCAGCAUUCCAGUGGCUGGGGUUUUUGUUUUUUUUAAAGGAGGGGGGUUGGGGAUUUUGGGGGGUUAAUUUAGGUGUUUCAUAUAUGGUGUUAGCUAGCUAAUUAAUAGAGAGAAGUGUCCUCUCUUACGUCCGUGCUUGAUCGACGCUACGUACUAUAUAUACAUAAGUGAUGAGAGAACCAUUGAGUACAGAAGUUUGUCAUGCAUACCGAGAGAAGUGAUUGAUCGACCUCUCCUUCUCCGAGAGAUUGGUCGAACAACAAGUUUUCGUAUCAUGUAUCCAACGCUACUGGCUACAUACAUGUACAAUAUGUAUAAGAUCUCUUAAUUACAAUCCCCUAGCAAUUGAAUUCAAUUUCCACAUGGUAUUCUCCGACUUUAUUGAUGACGUGGUCAAGAAAGAAUCCCGCCAAUUCCUCUUGAAUUGCUUUCAUGCGAUCUGGUUCUAGGAGUUCAUUCUGCAUCUGCCACAUCUAAUUUGAAGAAGGGGGUUAAUUAAUACAUAUAUAUGAAUGAAACUCAACAGAAAUGAUGGUGUAAUAAAAUGAAAUUGUGAAUAUUAUUGCUUACGCACUUCAUAUUGUCUUUUAGAGUAGCCCCGCUUGUUUUUCAAAGUCGCGUUGUGGAUGAACUCGCACACGUAGUAUCCACAUAAAUCAUUCCCUUCUUCCUGCCACAAGCACUUUACGAGAAAUAGAGGUCAAUCAAACUGAUAAUGAAGCAUUAUAAAUGGCAUUGAUGAAAGUAUAGCUAUAGAAUCAACGGGAGAUGCGUGCAACUAGCUAGCCAGUAGUACUUACUUUCGGGUAUGUAUAUCGCAGCUCCUUCGGCAGUCCCGGAGCUUCUGCGGUGAACUGUUUCCAAACCCUGCAAGACAAAGCAAAUAAUUAUUAUUACUUGAUAUAUCAGGAAAUGAACAAAAAGUUGCCGAUAUGGUGCGAUAACGAUCGAUUGAACUUACUUGUUGAGAAAUUCAGUCAUGUCCGCAUAGGUUUUGGGAUCUUUCCGUCUCGAGUCUAAGACGGUUACUAGUCCCCGCUCAAUAUUAAUCUCCAGAAGAACAUAGUGGUACCUGCGCACGCAUGCAUUACUCAUCAAUUACAUUACUAUAACCACGCUGAAGUAAUAAGGGAAACCGAAUAUGCACACGACAGUAACACUCACUUGCCGUUGUAAGGAAAGAGUAUGGUAUCUUUGUUUUGUUUUUUGAUCAACGAUCGUAGCAAGUUUUCCUCAGCCUCUUUGACGUCCUUUUUAACCAGAAAUUCAUCUAUGAUAUUUGUGUUAAUGAACCCAAUAUCAUAAAUUUCUUGUUUUUUGCACUCGACGAUCUUCAAUCUGCAUAAUAUAUUGAGGAUAAUUAAUUAUAAAUACAUGAAAUGAAAGAGCCGAGCUAUAUAUAGAGACUUAAUGACAGAAAUAGUACUUACAGACAGUAGCAAAAGACCAUUAGUUUAUCGAGGGCCUUUUGAUUGAAGAACGCGAAGAACUCAUCAAAUGGAACAGUCAACAGAUCAGUUGCAACGAGGUCUUGCUCCUCUUUAAUAUUCAGAUACAAAGCAUUCGUACCCCAGACUCUCUGCAGGUUUCCAUGUUCCAAUUAUGGAAUCUUCGCAUCGUUGUUGUCAGAGAUUUUUCAUCUUUGACGAGAGGCUUCCCGUACUCGUAUCUGUGUUCGUCCACCUCCAAGAAAUCAGGAAGUUGAUCGUCAGGAAGGUAAUCUGCAAGAUUGCCAUAACCGGCCACCGUCCCCGGAGCAUUAGACACAUUGAGCGGGGGGCACGAUUGCUGUGCUUGUUCACCGAGCUGGGCAAUUUUUUCCCCUUUGCUCGUUUUUUUAUCCUUUUAGCACUGACAGUAGUUCCCGACCGCUAGGCUUGGAGAUAUGUCUGUUCAGUAAUGCGCUCAUAGUUGGUUCUCGACGGAGACUUUGGUGGUUUCCUCAGGGCAUCGAUAGUGCGCUUUGCUUUCACCGGAUCUACCUUCUCCUCCGGAGGUGGAUGUCUCUUUGCUUUCACCCCUUCAAAGAACUCCUUCACGUGAGUCCGCACAAUCGUAUCGUUUUUCUCCUCGGUCCUCUCGUACGGUAACUUCUCUAGAGGCUUGAGAGGUGGACCGUAUAUGUAUUGCCUCCCUCCUCUGGUUGUGCUGCCAGACGCCGGAGCAGACGGAGCGGCUGCGGCGUCUGUCUUCUUUCGUGCUUGCUUACGAGGCGGAGGAGAAGGAGUACGACGCGCCGGAGCAGCCGGGGCGGCGGUGGGUCUCUUCCGCCCUUGCUGGCGAGGCGGAGAAGAAGGAGGCUGCUAGCUGCUCCGGAGCGCCGGCGUAGGCGGAGAAGGAGGCAGAGUGCCGCCACGCGCCGGAGAAGGAGGCGGAGUGCCGCCACGCGUGCCCUGAUCGUCACUCGCCGGAGGAGGAGGCGGUGGAGGAGGCGAAGUGCCCUGACUCGCCGGAGGAGGAGGAGGAGGUGGAGGCGUCCAGUUCGGAAGGUUGAUGAGCUCCUUCCGCCAUAGGCAUGGAGUCUUCAGAGCAGAACCCAGCCUAGUCUCCCCUUCACCGGUAGGGUGGUCAAGCAGGAGGUCCUCAAAUCCCUCCAUUAUUUCACCCACCAUCACCUUAGCAUAUCCUUCUGGAAUCGGCCGGCAGUGAUAAGUUGCUCCGGAUCCAGUAGGAUAAACAGAGCCAACAGCCUCCUUGACCUUCAAAUUCAUCCAUCACGCCAUAAUGUGGCAAUGUUGAGACUUCGUGAUAGCAUCCACGGGAUAGCUGGCAGGAGCCGUCAAGACAUGCUCCGGCUGAAGCAGCUUGGUGGAAGCCACGCCGCUUCUCCGCUGAGAUGGCGGGGUAGCUUCGGGGGAAGCUUUGGCAGGUCGUUUGCUGCGAUCUGCUGCUUCUCGUUCCUCUUCUCGUUCCUCUAGCCCCAUUACCCUUUCGUGCAGCGCCUGCAGUUGGCCCUGCUCCAGUUUCUUCCUCCUCUCGUGGGUUUUGUAACCCCCUGCGUCCGGAAAACCAACCUUCCACGGAAUGGAGCCUGGCGUGCCUCGUGUCCGUCCAGGGUGCUAAGGAUUCCCGAGGGCCAUUGUGAGCUCGUCCAUCUCCCUGUCUGGUACGAACGUCCCUUUCUGCGCUGCAUUGAUAUAGUGUCGAAGGUUCUUGACUGGUAUUUCCAGUUGCUCGUCCGUCCAACGGCACAUCCCUGAUACGGGGUCCAAGGUUCCGCCAGCCCCGAAGAACCAAGUCUGGCCAUCUCAUUGUCUCUGGUUCGAUCCCUUUUUCAAGCAGAUCAUUCUCCUCCUUGGACCACUUAGGCCGGGCUUUGAGGUAGCCACCUGACCCCGUGCGAUGGUGAAGCUUCUUCUUCGCAGCAUUUUGCUUGUUCGUCGCCGACAUCUUCUUACUCUUUUCCGAUGUCUUGUGGGCCACAAAUGCGGGCCAGUGAUCUUUGAUCUUCUCAUAUUUGCCGAUGAAUUCUGGUGUCUUUUUUUUCGACAAAAAUGUUUCAACUCUUUCCUCCACCUUCUUAAGAGCACGAGACUUGAUUAAUUGCUCUUUAACUGGCUUCUCCGGAUCCUCCUCUGGCGGUAGGGUGAAAUUUGCCUUCAGCUGAGUCCAAAGAUCUUCUUUCUGCAUAUCAUUGACAUAAGACACCUCAGGGUCGUCCUUAGGAUUAUACCAUUGUUGGAUGCUGAUCGGGAUCUUGUCCCCAACAAGAACCCCGCACUGAGCAGAAAAUGCGUUCUUUUUCCGGAUGGGUUCAAUCGGUUCGCCGUCGGGUGCGAUUUCUAUGAUCUCAAACCUUUCAUCCGAGCUCAACUUUUUCUUCGGGCUUGGUCUCCUUACCGAAGUUGUGCUCGAUCCGGAGGGCUAGAAAUGAAAAGGAAGAAAGACGAGAAUAAUUAAUAUGUGUACAUAUACCAAAACAAUGAAUGCAUCAAUUAACUAGUCAGCACGGGCUUAACUUAUAUAUAUAUACCUGGCCGGACUCGGUUCGGUCACCGGAGCAGUCAGCACGGUCUCCUUCUUGUACCUACAUUGGGUCAUCAUCGGAGCCAUCACGAACAUAGCACUCUUCUUGUACCGGCAUUAAUGGGCCGGAUCCAUCAUGAACAUAGCCCUCUUCUUCACCCAGUCCUUCCUGACCAACGACGUCGUUGAAAAAUGACGCAAUGACAUCAGUUCCUUCUGCAAUCAUCUCCCCCAACAUUGCUUCUGUUGCUUCGUCUUGGUAGUGCUCCAUAGUUUCUGCAAAUAUUUACAACAUGUCAAUUAUUAUUCAAACAUGGUACAGAUGGAUACAUAUUAGUGGCAAACAUAGAACUAGCUAGCUAAUCACAAUAAGGAAUCAUGUUAGUGGCCUCGACGCUGCUUCUCUAGGGUUUGGGAUCGCCUUGACACAACGCUUCAAGGGUUUGGGGUGGCCUCGACGACAACGCUCUUUUAACUUGGUAAAUUUGGGUGGCCUCGAGAGUUUUGGUCGAGCGAGAGGGCCGAGGGGGGUGCUGCCGUUGUAUAGGUUAUCACGGUCGAGAGGGGGUAUAUAUAUCGACCGCCCCUCAUGUCGAAGUUAUCUCGAGGGAGCGGCGAGGGCGAAGGCGAGCAGCUUGACGGUGAUAGACCCGAUAAAACAUAAGAAAACGAAGAAGAAAUAAAAAGAGGAGAAGAAGAAAGGAAUAGAGGAGAAGAUCGAAGAAAAAAAAAGAAGAAAAAAAAAGAGGAGAAGAAGAAAGGAAUAGAGGAGAAGAAGAAAGGAAUAGAGGAGAACAAGAAAGAAUAGAAAAAUUCUAUUUUUUCUUCUUCUCCUCUAUUCCUUUCUUCUUCUCCUCUUCCUUUUCUUCUUUUUUGUUCUUCUUAUUUAUUUCUCCUCUAUUCCUUUCUUUCUGCUUCUCCUCUUGCUUCUUUUUCUUCUUCUCCCUCGAGAAAGGAAAACAAUUAAGGAAAAGGAAGAAAAGAGGAAGAAGGAAGAAGGAAGAAGAAGAAGAAAGGAAUAGAGGACAAGAAGAAAAAAUAGAUUUUUUUUCUAUUUUUUCUUCUUCUCCUCUAUUCCUUUCUUCUUCUCCUCUUCUUUUUCUUCUUUUUUCUUCUUCUUAUUUAUUUCUCCUCUUCUUUUCCUCUCCUCUUCUUCCCCUUUCUUCUCUUCUUAUUUUCCUUUUUCCUCUCAUUCUUUUUCUUCUUCUUCUUCCUUCUUCCUUCUUCCUCUUUUCUUCCUUUUCCUUAUUUUACUUUUUCCUCUACACUAACCUAAUUAAAAUGCACUAACCUAAAAUCGAUAUCUACUAACAACCUAAAUAAAAAAUUAAUACAUAUAUGAAAAAACNNNNNNNNNNNNNNNNNNNNNNNNNNNNNNNNNNNNNNNNNNNNNNNNNNNNNNNNNNNNNNNNNNNNNNNNNNNNNNNNNNNNNNNNNNNNNNNNNNNNNNNNNNNNNNNNNNNNNNNNNNNNNNNNNNNNNNNNNNNNNNNNNNNNNNNNNNNNNNNNNNNNNNNNNNNNNNNNNNNNNNNNNNNNNNNNNNNNNNNNNNNNNNNNNNNNNNNNNNNNNNNNNNNNNNNNNNNNNNNNNNNNNNNNNNNNNNNNNNNNNNNNNNNNNNNNNNNNNNNNNNNNNNNNNNNNNNNNNNNNNNNNNNNNNNNNNNNNNNNNNNNNNNNNNNNNNNNNNNNNNNNNNNNNNNNNNNNNNNNNNNNNNNNNNNNNNNNNNNNNNNNNNNNNNNNNNNNNNNNNNNNNNNNNNNNNNNNNNCAGGGGCAACGACGGGGGCGUGCGGACGGCGUCGGGGCGGCGCGUGGACGGUGCUGGGGCGGCGGGCGGCGUCGGGGCAGCGGACGACGUCGAUCUGGGCAGCCUGGCGGCGUCGAUGAGCUCGGCGUCGUCGGGCGGGCCGGGGGAAACUGGCGAUGUGUUCGUCAAAUUUUCCUAAGUGUUGUAUAUAUAGCAAGAGCAUUGGUUCCGGUUCGUGAGACCAAUCGGGACUAAUGCCCCCUUUAGUCCCAGUUGGUACCACCAACCGGGACCAAAGGCCUCAUUUCAGCAGCCCAAAGGGCGGGAAGAGGUGACCUUUGGUCCCGGUUGGUGGCACCAACCCGGACUAAAGGGUGGGCAUUGGUAUCGGUUGGUGCCACGAACCGGUACCAAAGGACCCUGUGCUGCCAGCGUCGGGGCCAAAAUUUAGUCCCACCUCGCUAGUUGAGAGGGGCGCACAAUGGUUUAUAAGCCCCACUGCCGCACCCCUCUCGAGCUCCUCUCCACCGUAGGCUUGCGGGCCUAUUUCCUACUGCUUUGCCUGAUGGGCCUUCUGGGCCUACUGCGGGCUUGAAUCCUGGCCCAUGGUAGGGUUUCUAGUCGUAUUCAGGCCGUGGGGGCCCAGUAGGAGGCAUUUUUUUGUUUUCUUUCUUUCUUUAUUUAUUUAUUUUGUUUCUACUUACAACAAAAUACUUAUUGUUGAUAUUUUAAUUAUUUUCCAGUUUUUUUGUUUUAUUUUCUACAUUAUUUAUUUUCUUUUGUUUUUUGCUUUAUUUUUUAAUUCUUUUUGAUUUUAGUUUUAGAAAAAUUAUAAACUUUCUGUUAGUGCCAUUAGUUUUCAAAUUUGAAAACACUUUUUUUGUUUUUUGUUUUUUUGUUUUCUUUCUUGCUUUAUUUAUUUUAUUUUGUUUCCACUUACAACAAAAUACUUAUUGUUGCUAUUUUUACUUAUUACGAGGGCCGAACCAUAAGACAUUAAAGCAUUUCAAAUGAACUAUGAAAAAGUUGAAAGUUGGCAUGGUAUCAUAAAUUCACCCACAUAGCAUGUGCAUGUACAAAAUGGACAAUGGUAUCAUAUUCGUGUGUUACAAAGUUGGCAUGGUAUCAUCAUAAUAGUUGCGGGAGAAAGUCUUCACUUUUUCUUCGCUUGUGUCAUUUCUUAUUGCGCCGUAACCAUGGAUAAUCUUCACCGCUUAUCAGGAUGCUGGGGUCAGCCUUGACUUUGAAGGGAGGAGUUUCAUGAAACUUUUCAUAAUCUUCAGAUAUGUCUGUCUUGCCUUCCACUCCCACGAUGUCCCUUUUUCCUGAAAGAACUGUGUGGCGCUUUGGCUCAUCGUAUGAUGUAUUCGCUUCCUUAUCUUUUCUUUUUCUCGGUCUGGUAGACAUGUCCUUCACAUAGAUAACCUGUGCCACAUCAUUGGCUAGGACGAACAGUUCAUUAGUGUACCCAAGAUUUUUCAGAUCCACUGUUGUCAUUCCGUACUGUGGGUCUACCUGUACCCCGCCUCGUGACAGAUUGACCCAUUUGCACUUAAACAAAGGGACCUUAAAAUCAUGUUCGUAGUCAAGUUCCCAUAUGUCCACUAUGUAACCAUAAUAUGUGUCCUUUCCCCUCUCGGUUGUUGCAUCAAAGCGGACACCGCUGUUUUGGUUGGUGCUCUUUUGAUCAUGGUCAAUCGUGUAAAAUGUAUUCCCAUUUAUCUCGUAUCCUUUCCAAAUCGUAACAGUCGAAGAUGGUCCCUUGGACAACAAGUACAACUCAUCACAAACAGUGUUGUCACCUCUGAGACGUGCUUCCAACCAACUGCUGAAAGUCCUGAUGUGUUCACAUGUAAUCCAGUCGUCACACUACUCCGGGUGUUUGGAGCGCAGACUGUUCUUGUGUUCAUCGACAUACGGGGUCACCAAGGUAGAGUUCUGUAGAACUAUGUAGCGUGCUUGAGACCAAGAAUAUCCGUCCCUGCAUAUUAUUGAGUCCCUUCCAAGUGUGCCUUUUCAGUCAGUCUCCCCUCAUACUGCGAUUGAGGGAGACCUAUCUUCUUAAGGCCAGGAAUGAAGUCAACACAAAACCCAAUGACAUCCUCUGUUUGAUGGCCCAUGGAGAUGCUUCCUUCUGGCCUAGCGCGGUUACGGACAUAUUUCUUUAGAACUCCCCUGAACCUCUCAAAGGGGUACAUAUUGUGUAGAAAUAAGGGGCCCAGAAUGACAAUCUCGUCAACUAGAUGAACUAGGACGUGCGUCAUGAUAUUGAAGAAGGAUGGUGGGAACACCAGCUCGAAACUGACAAGACAUUGCACCACAUCACUCCUUAGCCUUGGUAUGAUUUCUGGAUCGAUCACCUUUUGAGAGAUUGCAUUGAGGAAUGCACAUAGCUUCACAAUGGCUAAUCAGACGUUUUCCGAUAGAAGCCCCCUCAAUGCAACCGGAAGCAGUUGCGUCAUAAUCAUGUGGCAGUCAUGAGACUUUAGGUUCUUAAACUUUUUCUCUGACAUAUUUAUUAUUCCUUUUAUAUUCGACGAGAAGCUAGUCGGGACCUUCAUACUAAGCAGGCAUUCAAAUAAGAUUUCCUUCUCUUCUUUGGUAAGAGCAUAGCUGGCAGGACCUUCAUACUGCUUUGGAGGCAUGCCGUCUUUUUCGUGCAAACGUUGCAGGUCCUCCCGUGCCUCAGCUGUAUCUUUUGUCUUCCCAUACAUGCCCAAGAAGCCUAGCAGGUUCAUGCAAAGGUUCUUCGUCACGUGCAUCACGUCGAUCAAAGAGCGGACCUCUGGGUAUUUCCAGUAGGGUAGGUCCCAAAAUAUAGAUUUCUUCUUCCACAUGGGUGCGUGUCCCCCAGUGUCACUCGGAACAGCUAGUCCGCUGGGACCCUUUCCAAAGAUUACGUGUAAAUCAUUGACCAUAGCAAGUACCUGAUCACCGGUAUGCAUGGCGGGCUUCCUCCGGUGAUCUGCCUCGCCUUUGAAAUGCUUGCCUUUCUUUCGACAUUGAUGGUUGGUCGGAAGAAAUGGAUGAUGGCCCAGGUAAACAUUCUUCCUGCAGCUUCCCAGGUAUAUACUAUCGGUGUCAAGUAAAUAGUGCGUGCAUGCGUGGUAUCCCUUGUUUGUCUGUCCUGAAAGGUUACUGAGAGCGGGCCAAUCGUUGACGGUCACGAACAGGAACACCUUUAGGUGAAAUUCCUCCUGUUUGUGCUCAUUCCACGUACGUACACUGUUUCCAUUCCACAGCUGUAAAAGUUCUUCAACUAAUGGCCUUAGGUACACAUCAAUGUUGUUGCCGGUUUGCUUAGGGCCUUGGAUGAGAACUGGCAUCAUAAUGAACUUCCGCUUCAUGCACAUCCUUGGAGGAAGGUUAUACAUACAUAGAGUCACGGGUGAGGUGCUGUGAUUGCUGCUCUGCUCCCCGAAAGGAUCAAUGCCAUCCGCACUUAAAGCAAACCAUACGUUCCUUGGGUCACCUGCAAACUCAUCCUAGUACUUUCUCUUCAUUUUUCUCCACUGCGACCUGUUAGCGGGUGAUCUCGACUUCCCGUCUUUCUUACGGUCCUCACCGUGCCAUCGCAUCAACUUGGCAUGCUCUCCGUUUCUGAACAGACGUUUCAACCAUGGUAUUAUAGGAGCAUACCACAUCACCUUCGCAGGAACCCUCUUCCUGGGGGGCUCGCCGUCAACAUCACCAGGGUCAUCUCAUCUGAUCUUAUACCGUAAUGCACCGCAUACCGGGCAUGCAUUCAGAUCCUUGUACGCACCGCGGUAGAGGAUGCAGUCAUUAGGGCAUGCAUGUAUCUUCUGCACCUCCAAUCCUAGAGGGCAUACGACCUUCUUUGCUGUGUAUGUACUGUCGGGCAAUUCGUUAUCCUUUGGAAGCUUCUUCUUCAAUAUUUUCAGUAGCUUCUCAAAUCCUUUGUCAGCCACAGCAUUCUCUGCCUUCCACUGCAGCAAUUCCAGUACGGUACCGAGCUUUGUGUUGCCAUCUUCGCAAUUGGGGUACAACCCUUUUUUGUGGUCCUCUAACAUGCGAUCGAACUUCAGCUUCUCCUUUUGACUUUCGCAUUGCGUCCUAGCAUCGACAAUGACCCGGCGGAGAUCAUCAUCAUCGGGCACAUCGUCUGGUUCCUCUUGAUCUUCAGCAGCUUCGCCUGUUGCAGCAUCAUCGUGCACAUCGUCUGGUUCCUCUUGAUCUUCGGUAGCAUCACCGUAUUCAGGGGGCACAUAGUUGUCAUCGUACUUUUCUUCUUCGCCGUCUUCCAUCAUAACCCCUAUUUCUCCGUGCCUCGUCCAAACAUUAUAGUGUGGCAUGAAACCCUUGUAAAGCAGGUGGGUGCAAAGGAUUUUCCAGUCAGAGUAAGACUUUGUAUUCCCACAUAUAGGGCAUGGACAACACAUAAAACCAUUCUGCUUGUUUGCCUCAGACACUUCGAGAAAUUCAUGCACGCCCUUAAUGUACUCGGAGGUGUGUCUUGAACCGUACAUCCAUUGCUGGUUCAUCUGCGUGCAUUAUAUAUAAUUAAGUGUGUCAAAAAUCAUUACAAAACAUCAUGAAUAGAUAAUUAAGUGACCAAAUUAAUAGAAGUUCAUCAUCACAUUAAAACCAAAGUACAUACAUAGUUCUCAUCUAACAACAUAAAGCUCUACAGAGCAUCUAAAUUAAUUAAACCAUACAUUGAAACUAUGUAAAACAUUUCAAUGCAAAAACAAAUGCGAUCAUAAUCGCAACCAAUGUAACAACUGAUCCAACGGCAUAAUGAUACCAAGCCUCGGUAUGAAUGACAUAUUUUCUAAUCUUUCUAAUCUUCAAGCGCAUUGCAUCCAUCUUGAUCUUGUGAUCAUCCACGACAUCUGCAACAUGCAACUCCAAUAUCAUCUUCUCCUCCUCAAUUUUUCUAAUUUUUUCCUUCAAGAAAUUGUUUUCUUGUUCAACUAAAUUUAACCUCUCGACAAUAGGGUCGGAUGGAAUUUCCGGUUCAACAACCUCCUAGAUAAAUAAAAUCUAUGUCACGUUGGUCGGCAUAAUUGUCAUAAACAAUAGAUGAACCUAUAGUUAUGAAAAUAUAAUAUAUACCUCAUCCGAAGCAUAGACAGGACGAGGGCCGACGGGGGCGGAUACCAAAACCAUCGCACUAUAUAAGAUGCAAUAAUAAAAGUAAGAAAAUUAUACAAGUAUCUAUAUAAACAUACAAGUAAGAAUUUUUUUCCCUUUUAGAAAUAAGAUAAGAACAAGAGCCUCACCACGGAGGUGUCGGCUACGAGAUCGGCGCGGGCGAUCGACGACGGUGAAGACGGGGACGGGACGUGACGGACCGCUAAACCUAGACAAAUAUUGAGGAAAAUGGAGCUUGGAGGUUGAGCUUGGAGAGGAGAAAGCUUAAGUAGUGUGGCUCGGGCAUUCCAUUGAACACCUCUUGUGCAUAGGAGGUGAGCUAGAGCACCACAAAGCUCUCUCCUCGCCGGCCAUGAAAAACAGAGCAGUGAGAGUGCUCUGCUCGAGGGCGAGGGGUAUAUAUAGGCAAUUAAUUGGUCCCUUUUCAUUGCUUGAACCGGGACUAAAGGGAAGCCUUUGGUCCCGGUUCAGGCCACCAACCGGGACCAAUGGUGGUGGGCCAGGACCAAGGCACAUUGGUCCCGGUUCGUCCCACCAACCGGGACCAAAAGGUCCAGAGGAACCGGGACCAAUGGCCCAUGUGGCCCGACCGGACCCUGGGGCUCACGAACCAGGUCCAAUGUCCCCAUUGGUCCCGGUUCUGGAUUGAACCGAGACUAAUGGGCUGACCCGGCCAGGACCAUUGCCCCCUUUUCUACUAGUGAAUGGUGCUCAAUGAGAUCCUCUUGAAGCUGAAAGUGGGUGUUUGCAUCUUCAAUCUUCCGGUAGGUUUGAAGAAAUUCUCUAAUGCGGUUAGAGUCUCUAGCUAGCUUCACACGGCUACCCACAUUGUCGUAGAAGAACUCCAAAUUCAUGCCUCUCUCAUCUUCGAGAAUCAUAUUGUGAAGAAUCACACAUCAUGUCAUGAUGUUUUUGAGGGAUCACUUGUCCCAAAAACGAACAGGACCAUGAACAAUGGCAAACCUAGAUUCCAAAACCCCGAAUGCUCUUUCAAUAUCUUCUCGGGCUGCCUCUUGUACCCUUGCAAAUUCACAAUGUUUCUUAGUUUUGGGCUUUUUGAUGCUCUUGACAAAUGUGCACCAAGAAGGGUAGAUACCAUCUGCAAGAUAGUACCCCAUUGAUAGUGUACUUGCAAGCAGGAGCAUCACCAGUAGCAAGCCUAGCAAACAAAUGAGAUCGUUGCAACAUAUUGACAUCAUUGAGAGUACCCGACAUACCAAAAAAGCAACGCUAAAUCCGUAAAUCAUCAUAUGGUACGGCCUCUAGCGCAAUUGUUGCAUCACGAGACUUGCCACAAUACAUUCCCUGCCAUGCCCUCGGGCAGCUUUUCCAAGUCCAAUGCAUACAAUGAAUGCUUCCUAGCAUGCCAGGCCAACCUCUACUCAUACUUGAUGCCAUCAACUUUUUUGUGUCCUCCUCGUUGGGUGACCGAAGAUAUUCAAGAGUAAAGACAUGGAUGAUUACUUUGACAAACAUAGUCACUGACUUAAUUGUAGUAUCUUCAACAAUGCGAAGGUACUCAUCGGCAUAGUCAGCCGGAAUGCUGUAUGCAAUUACCGGCAUAGUUGCCGAGAUUUUUUGAUAUGCACUAAAUACCUUCAAGCCCACGACAUUUCUUUUUUGAGUAAAAUAGCGACAAUUAGCCUCGCAAACUUGCACUAUUUUUACAAAGAGGGAUCGACGCAUUUGAUACCUUCUCUGGAAGAGGUGCGGCGGAUAUGUUGGAUUGUCUGCGAAGUAAUCGUCCAUCAACAUCUCGUUCCCGAGAUAGCGAUUGCGAGGAAUGCAAAGACGGCUGAUGGCCAAUCCUCGUCAUCUCUUUCAGUUCUCAUCAUUGUGCUCCUUCACGGUAAGGGCCAUCGCCAAGAUCUUCUGCUGAUGGUUCUCAAGAAGCAUCUCAACAUUCGAGUCGUCCAAAUCGGACGAAUCCUCGAGAAAAACCUCUUGCAAGGGCUCAGUUCCAUCUAGAAACAAAAAUAUGAACACCGCAUGAACCAAUUAUGCACAUCGCAUCCGAAAGCACAAGAACAUGUACUCAUCGACGGCUCGAGGCGGUGGCUCUGCGAUGGUCGAUCCCAGGGCGGUGAUGGCGACUCGGGGCGGCUCGGCUCACCGGAUCCGGGGAGCCGGUGAAGCGGCUAGGUGGAACCGGGUGAGGGGCGGCCAGGCGGCGUGAUUCCGUCCGUAGAUAAGGCCGGAAUCACUGGCGGUGUACAGGCAGAACCGAUGGCGGGCGACUGUGGAAGGGGGUGGGGAACGCGCACGGGCUAAAAUGUCCCUCUCGCCAACCGCUUUUCUAAGAUACAGGGCACCGUCGGGUCGAGGGGAAAACCUGUAUUUUUGCGGGUUGGAGGUUGGAUUUUAGCGCCCCCUAAAAUUUUUUCACGGGUCCGACGCGUUUACAGUGUCGGAUCGAGCGGCUUUUUUCACGUGGACCCAUAUUUUAGCGGUUAUUUUGCUAGUCGGGGCAUUAUACGGGGCUGCUAGAGAUGCUCUAGCCAUAGUGGUGGUAUAUAGCCGGUAUCAUGCACUCACAAGGAAAUACACUGAUGUGGCAGAUAAUUAAAUAAGAGAGGGUUAGGCUACUCAUAGUGGGGAAUAUCAUAUACUAGUAUCAUGCACAUGAUAUUAGUGUAUGAUACUAUCUUCAUAGUGCAUAGUAUCAUAGAGUAGUAUCAUAUUUAUUGCCAUGCAUGACUUAAAGUAUCAUAGCAUUUAACAUGAUAUGGUAUCUACCUAUGUUAGGCUGGCCAUAGUUUGUGGUAUCUUAGCGAGUAUCAUGCACUUGGGAAUAGCAAAUAUGCUAAUGUGGCAGAGAGUUAAAGAAGAGAGAGAGGGUUAGAGUAACAUAACUAGAUAUUGUAUCGUAUUAAAUGCUGUGCUACUUUGUGUCAUGCAUGACAAUAAAUAAGAUAAAUAAAUGAUAUGAUACUAUAAACUAUGAAAAUAGUACUUCCUCCAUCUAGGUGAAUAAGUCUUCUUAGGUUGUGCACCGUGACCAAGGUGGAGAGGAAAAUGAGAGAACUUAAUGCUUAUUUGCUAAUUAACACCAUUGCAUGCAACGAAAUGACCACUGCAAGUCAUGUCUGGUAGUCUCAAGUCAUUGAAAGUAUACACGCCCCACGUCUGUUAUUGGUUGAUUCCUUUAUUUAUGUCAAAAAACAAGAAACAAUGUGUCAAUUAAUGCACCAAGCCUAUGUGUUUUGGACUAUUUCGUUUUCGUAAAAUGACUUACUCACCUAGACGGAAGAUCCUUUAUAUUUCCCAUGCAGAUCCAGAUCAUCCCAACUACCCAAUCCACAGACACUGUUGAUCACCAAAUUCUCACCGCAUUAUGUAAAUAUCGCAGGAGCUCCACUGCACCCAUCAACCCUAGAACCUCGAUAAAUGAGGUUUUUCCCUUUCGAAUAGAUGAUGCAAUUAUUUUUUGGGGUUUAGAAAGAGGGUGUGAUUAUUGCACUUGAAAGUUUAAAACCCAGCAUCUCACGGGGGGUACAAAAGGCCAGAAGGCUAAAACAGCCAAAAGGAAAUAAGAUUUUUCUUUUGAGGGAAAAAAGAAAUAAGAUUUUAUGAUGUCGACUGGCACACAGUGCUAUGCAUUAAUUGUGGCCACUGAUGCAGACCUGCUAGUGUGUGGAUCAUGCAGCAGUAUUUCACCAUCAGCCAAGCUUACGUCCAUGACCAAAGUUUUCAAUUAGUAUUGUCUCCAAGGCGGACAUUCAAACGCCUGUUGCAUGUUCGGACCACUUUUACCAUUUAACGGGGAAUUGUCCGCUUAGCAGUCCGGACAUACGGAUUCUGGUAUCUUAGAGACCAACAUGAUAGGCUUUGCCGAAGUCCGGACAUGCACUUGACAAUUCACAUGGAUGCCCCCCCCCUCUUCUCUCCUUCUCCCAACCACAUAUGCAUUGCCCCCUCUCCUCUCUCCUUUCAACCAGACACCAAACCAUUAAUAUCUUAGCACAUGCAUGAUCUCAUCUACUUUCUCCCCUUCCAAUUAAAUUACUUUAUGAUUAGCAUUAGAUGACUCCUUCCGACAUCAUUUCCGCGUGAUGGUGUCCUGGACUAUGGGUACUGACCAUGUCGUCUCCUGACCAGUGGGUCAAGCUGAGGACCCCCAUGGCGGUCCAUUAAUGGGCCAGUUCAGAUAGCCGAUAACAUAUAUGAGGAAGAUUCCACAAGACUUGGUGAUCAAUACAAGGACUCCUAUCCACCGACUUAUUCGACUAGGACUCUUGUUAUCCUAGGCCUCUGGUAUAUUAUAUAAGCCGAGGCUAGGCUAGUCGAUAGAUCAUUAUGAAAUUACUCAACACGCCCCUAGGGUUUAGAACACAACAUAUUAUCUCGAGGUAGAUCAUCUCUGUAAUCAUACACAUCGAAUAUAAUUGAGCAGGAGUAGGGUUUUACCUCUUAGAGAGGGUCCGAACCUGGGUAAACACCGUGUCUCUCGUCUCCUCUUAUCCAUCGAUCCUAGGACACACAGCUUGGGACCCCUACCCAAGAUCUGUCAGUUUUGACACCGACAUUGGUGCUUUCAUUGAGAGUUCCGCUGUGUGAUCGGCAAAGGAUCAAUGGCUUGCCUGCAGAUCAACUGCAAGGUCGGUAUCUUCGUCUCCGGCUCAACUGUUUACCUUGGCUCGACCGAGGACUGUCCUCUGCCACCGAUCGUCAUGUUCGGAUGAGGGCCUUCAACAACAUCAACUCCGAUCUCUAUCAAGAUCGUGGAGGAAUCAUCCAUGCAGCUCGGGGCUCAACUUUGACAUUUCCCUCGAGCAAUCGUGCUGUUUUUUUGGAAAGCGAACUCAUAUCCGCUGGCACCGCCUCCUCGAGCAUCGCUUUGACAAUUACUUUUGUGGAACUGUGUGGAAUUGAGUCUAAUAACCCUGCAAAAUUUCGCCGCGUGCCGAUGAAGCAAUCUUCGUUGAUCUCUGAUAUACCGGAGCCCCGACGAAUCUGGACGAGAAACCAGACCAGUUUGGAGCGUGGUGUCCAGCAUCUAGCUCGGACGUCCUUUGGAAGAUCCAACCGUUUAUCGGCUGCGGAAUUCCGAUAUGUACCGCCCCUCAAAAUUUCAGCUCGAUCUGACCGUUCAAACUCCGAGGAACCUCCGAUGAGCGCACCAAUUUUCAGAUAUGUUUACUGCGCGAAAAUGAAUCCAACCCAAGUUCAUCUUUCUUCAUGAACAGGAUAUUGGACAACCUUUUUUGAGGAAUCUCUUUCUAGGGUAUUGUGUUUUGUUUCUGAUAACAUGCUCAUAAUUUUUUCUCCUUUUCGGAGGUAACAUUCACCGUUGCGCCGGUGUCAAACCAGCCCGACAACGUUGCUGGCCGGCUGCCGACCUACGCUAGAGGGGUCGUCGCUUCAUCAACUGGACUUAACCUCUUCGGAUCAUUAUCUCGGCAAGACGAACAAGAGUUCGGCAUUGUGAAGGGUAAAUCAUCACCAAAUUAUGCGGAGCGGGCACACUGGCAUCAUUGCAUGGCCACUUCAUCAAGUGGGCAUCGACCGCGUCGCAAGAUAUGGUCCGCGUCGGCAUCGUUGCACUAUUGCUUCUUCAAGCCUGGAUGGACCUCUACGUCCGAAGAUCGGGAGUCACUUCCGGCCGGACUCGCCUCUCUUAUCCCGUAUCCAGCUUCAAUCCUGGACGAGACUUCGGUGUCCGAACACCAGGAGUCAACCCUGGCCGGACUCGCCCCUUGCACCAUAGUACAUGAGGACGAUUCCGAAGAAAUCCCGAAUACUAAUCCGGCUGACCAAGCCGAUGUCCACCAUGCCGACUUGCUUCGACACCUUGGCCGGCAUGGGGUUGCAAACAUCAUAAUACCGACCUGCCCCGUCACCUCGGCUAGAUCGGGGCUUCGCCAUCUCUUCAUCAACUUACUCCGGUGACUUCCGCGUCACCAGCCGACCAGCUUCGUCACGUUAGCUGGACCAGGGGAUUCGCCUCGCCACAUCGACCGUGUGGCAUCACCACCUCAUCAAGUCGAACUCCUCGCUCGGUUACCUCGGGCUUGGGGGCUGGGACCUUGGCUAGGCUGCGGACUACGUCUUCGUCCCGCCAUGAUCUUGGACCUCGUCAACAAUACCGAGCAUAUUAACCAGCUAAGUCGCCUCCAUGCUCUGGUUUUUUCUUUAAUUUUUUUAUUUCUUGUUCGGUUCAACCAAACAUUAUAUUUGUGUUAAAAAAAGUUGUUCAUUCAAACAUUGAUUGUUAAACACUUCUUUUUUCCGCCAAGCUCUUCAUCACCUCUAUCAUGAGGGUUUUUGUCACCUCGGCUGGACCAGGGGCUUCGGCUCGCCACGCUGAUCUUGCGCCAUCGCCACUUCAUCGAGUCGAGCUCUUCGCUCGGGCACCUCGGGACCGGCUUGGGGGCUAGGACCUCGACCCGCCGCAAGCUCGGCCCACAUCAUCAACACCGAACCCAUUAACCAGCUAAGUCGCUUUCAUGCUCAAAGCUUUUUCAUUUUCAAUUUGUGUUCAGUUCGACCAUGCUCACAUUCGUUGUUUGUUAAGACACUUCCUGUCAUAGGUUAACUGGGGGCUCUUAAAUUUAUACGAGCCAUUUUAUAAUGAAUGUUUUUCUUCUCAGUCGUUGCAAAGUCUUUUUCUACCACUCCUUUCUCGGCUCGAGUGUGUGGUCAAAUGCCGGAUAGCCUGGUUUCUCCAUAAAGCCGCUCGAUUUUAGUUUUCUAAAGUGGCCUAACGAGAAGUACUCCGCCUUCGGGAUAGGAGGUUGAAGCUGUAGGCUGACCCACUUGAAGUCUUGAGAUCGGAUGUGUCAUGUUACAACACGACAGAAGCACAAACUAAUUUAAGACCAAUCUUCGGAUUGGCACCAAAAAACCUGAUUUAGUUCGGCGUCAAGUUUUUGCAUAAGUUUUUUGGCUUUUCGAGCUUAUGGCACUUUUUAGCUAUUUGUAUAUUUUUCUUUCAGGAAGCAGGAUAUCCUCAUGAUCGAGGUUCCCUGCACAAUAAUUCUGCUCGGGAGAUCUUUUCUGACCCAUAGCUCGACAUCUUUCGCACCAAACUAUACCUCGGGCGCCACAUCAGGACUACUUCCUGAGUAGUGCAAUGGUAGACGCCUUUAAAACAUUGGCAAUAUUAACGGGGGGGCUGCAACUGAAGCUGAACCCACCAAAAGCCAAGGUGCUCCAUGGACUCCUCGGCAAAAUGUUCUCGGGUAUUACUUUGUAUGCAUCGGUUUCGAAUUGUGUCUUUGGUCAAUAUUUGGAUUGUCUGACUCCUGUUCUUGCCUUCUACGUUUCGCUUUGUUCCGCUAGGUGUGCAAAGGAGAACCACUGUGAUUGUGCUUCCAUCUGCAUGGUUAAAGUGCCUCAUUGGAGAAAGCCGAAAACUGUCUGUCACAAUAAGCACAAACUGGUCAGCGAUCCGAUGACAGUGUUAAACUAUAAGAUCGAUAGGGGUCACUCCGUGUUAAAUGAUGGGCAGAUCAUAGCAUUGGCCGAAGUGUUUACAACUUGACUUCGGUUGUCUCCGAACACUAACCGGGGCUAGUAACUGGCCUCCCAACUUUACGCUCCUAUGACUAAGUGAAAGUUAUAAAGCCCGCAUAUAUGAUUGCCUCGUUUCCGCUAACACAACCGCCUUCGGGCACCGAGACGUCGGCUAAGGGUUCUUUUUUUUAUUGUGUAUACACCCUACAUAGCAUCUACAAAGGGGUAGAAGCCGACGAUGGUCCACUUUCAACUGAUAAGCUGUCACAACGGAGUCAAAAUAAGCAUAUCAUCAACAUUUGCUUUCAGUAUGGAAGCGUUGCCUUCCGUAAUUAUCGUUAUAAAGCCAUAAAUAUGCAUCAAUUUGACUUAAGAUUUUGGACAAGCUGGGUUGCCUGGCUGCUGUGCUUACCCCUACAUUCCCGAUUGUUCGGCUAGGCGGUAAAGGGAGCUCCUCUAUGAUUGUUACUAUCGGGUCAUUCGAGUUAGUACCUCAGACUAGGUGAAGCCAAAAGCUAGCCAUCUUAAAGGAUAUAAUUGGUCGACAACGGCGGAAGUGAAAAUCUCGGUUCAUUAGACCAUAGAGUUUGGGAACUUUCCCCAAACUAAAUCCUCAAUAUUUUUCUCACACAUUGAUCGGAGGUGAGGUUUCAUUAUCAUGGUCAGCAUGACAAGCCAAAGAAAGGAACCGAUAGUGGGACUAUUUUCUUUGGAAGAUGUUUCUUACGUUAGUAGUAAUAUAACAUAUCUCUCCAUGUACCUUUGUUUAUAAAACCAUAUCGCCGGAUUGCCUUGUUUGCUGUAAAUCUUUGCCCUUAUAAAGGCUUUGUAAAGUAGGACAAACACUCCUCGGCUACUGACCCAGGAGGUUGAUUCCAAUGGUCGGUCAACAAAGUUUUGUAUUGUGCGGAUCCGAGCAUUAAUGAUGUAGAGUACUUGGAUACAUAGAAUCAUUGAACAUAAUUUGUGAUUUUACUCCGGAUAUCAAUCCUUCAUUCGGCCACCCAUGCCCACAUUAAGGCUCGGGGGCUAUUGGGCUUCGCACUUAUCAUUUAAAAGUAGUAAAUGGACUAGUGUUUGGGGGCUACUGCAUUGCCUAUUCAAUGGAGAAAAUUCAAAGUGUCUGUUGUUCGGCUUGACUGAACUAUGGGCAAACGUGUCUUCGAACAACAAUAGAUACCAUCUGGACCUAUCCGGCAUGAAGCUAAUAUAUUACGGAACUUCUCAAGACCCUCUCUCAAAGGCCCGUUCGCUGAUCGCUAUUUCCUCUAAUAUAUUGCAUCGCAUUUCUAUUGCUAAGUAUGUUGUCGAGAUGGGAAUUGGUCCUCGGGCCGAUUUCAUGAAUGACUCAGUGCUAUUGGGGUCUGCAGUUUGAUUUUAUCCUUCAGGUGCAUCCCAGAUAUUAGGCCAACACGCACCUUGAGGGCUACUGGCUAUACAUCUCGGCAGAAAAUACAUUGCACAAAUUGGAAUUAAAUUCAUAAAAAUCAGCCCAAACCCGAGAUGGUGCAUCACCUCGGAAGCAGUCCGGCAUAAAGCUUGGUUGCAAGUGGCUGGCCACAUAGAGGGCAUCUCGAGCAUUAAGCUCGUUUGAACCCUUUUAACUCUUUCAAGAUCGAGGUAAUCUAUGACACCUUGGAUACAGUCGGGCAUUGGAGCUCGGAUACAUUCCGACAUUGGAGCUCGGAAGCGGUCUGGCGGUUGUACUUGGCUCCAAAAAGAUACCUCAAAUGCAGCCCGACGUUGGAGCUCGGAUGCAAGAGGACACUGCCGCACGAGAAACACUUCGAACCCAAGGUGUGGCCUAAAAAAUAAUAAAGACAUUGAUAAAGGCCGAUAACUUAAAGGGGCUCCUCGGAUACCUGGCGUGUAAGCUCUUCGGAUUCACUUCUGCGAUCCUCAAGAUCGAAGAUGAGAAGAUUUGUUGAACCAGUUUUCAAGACCGACGGCCGAAGAUGAAGAAUAGUUCGGAAGAAUCGAGGAGCGUCCCCAACUUGAAGACCGGUUCAGGGGGGCUACUAAUAGUGUCCUAGACUAUGGGGUACUCACCAUGUCGUCUCCUGACCAAUGGGUCAGGCCGGGGACCCCCAUGGUGGUUCAUUAAUGGGCCAGUUCGGGCACCCGAUGACAUAUACGAGGAAGAUUCCACAAGACUUGGUGAUCAAUACAAGGACUCCUUUCCACCGACGUAUUCGACUAGGACUCUUGUUAUCCUAGGCCUCUGGUAUAUUAUAUAAGCCGAGGCUAGGCUAGUCGAUAGAUCAUUAUGACAUUACUCAACACACUCCUAGGGUUUAGACCACAACAUAUGGACUCGAGGUAGAUCAACUCUGUAAUCAUACACAUCGAAUAUAAUCGAGCAGGAGUGUGGUUUUACCUCCUAUAGAGGGCCCGAACCUGGGUAAACACCGUGUAUCUUGUCCCGUGUUACCCAUCAAUCCUAGGACACACAGCUUGGGUGCCCCUACCCGAGAUCUACCAGUUUUGACACCGACACCGCGGACCACGCCUAGACAUAAAAACUAACAUAUACCGAAGACAUUUGCGUGUCAGCUUUGGAGAUGCCCUUGUGAUCAAAAUUAGACUUGAAAUAUGAGAGGCACAAUAAACCAAGGAGGAAGUAUGUGUCAGUGUGGAUCACAUAAUAAGGUAUUAGGCCAACUCUAAUGAACGACCCCAGACGGACGCCCGUUUUGUCCGGAUUCUGUCCAUUUAGUUUGGCUAGAGGCGCAUUGUCCGGCCGCGCCUGACCAAACCUGGUCAGUGCGACCAACCGUCCGACGUAUUUCGUCGGGCGCCAGAAUUAUUUGCAAUAAAAUAAAAUCUGAAAUUAGGGCUCGCGACCAUAGUCAUGCCAAGAGCCGUCAUUCAUGCUAGCCUACAACAAGAUCACCCCUAGCUCGCGUCGAAACACUUGCCAGCAACCGCACACUUACCAUCGCACAUAAAAUGACCAUAGUUUUUGCAUUGCGGCCCUAGUUCAUGACGGCCAUACAAAAUGAUGUCGCUCUCGGCCAUAGCUCAAUCAUCUAGCUCAAGCAUUUCCUUCUGCUUCUUCUAAAACCAAACUCUUCUCCUGAGGGACACCUUUCUCAAGUCCCCUCCACCUCCUUCGCCAAAAAAGCGAGUGCCAGCUCUUUUACUUUGGUCUUCGCAUUGGUUGACUCAAUCACAAGCUUCUUGGUUUGGACGUUCUCCUCCAUCUUGAGUUUCUUCUUUUGUAUCUCUAUGUAGGCCUUCAUUUGCUCCUAUUUCUCUUGGCGCUUCCUCUCCUACCUUGCUUCCUUUUGGGUCAUCAUGCCUUGCAAUGUUUCUUGGAAGGCGAAUAUCUCCACAUCACCCUUCUCAUCCACCUUGGACUUGGUCUUGCCCCUCGUUCGCUUCUCCCCUUCUUCAUUCUCAAUGAUGGUCGUUAGCCUUCCAUUCUUCUUUUGGGUGACAUAUUGCUCCUUGAACUAGGGGCAAUUGCAAAUGAUCGUCCAACAGUGGGUGAUGUUGAAUGGCUUGUUCCCAUGUUGGGAUUUGAAGGCUUCUAAAGUUUGGAAUGCCUACAAAUAAAAGGGAAGGCCACAAUGUAAUAGUGAAGGGCACAAUGCAACAAACAUGAAUAGGCAUAUGAACAAAGAGAAGAAAUUGUAUACCAUAUGGCUCAUGCCUAGGCCACUCAUGGGACAGCCUUGGAUGCUCUCAAGGGCGACACAAAACUUGUUGCAUUCUUAUUGGAUGAAACCCCCACCACUUUUGAAUUGAACCAAACUUGGUCAGUAUCUUUCAUACUAGAUAGGUUAUUCUCACAAUGAGUGUUUAUUCACUUGUCAUUGCACGAGAAAGUGGUAGGUAAUAGGGAUUUUCCAGUCUCAUAAUCAAUCAAAAAAUAUAAAAAAUAAAUACCCCCCCAUUGAAAGUUUGGAAGGCACCUGUGGAUACGGCUAGCCAUGAAUUAUGGAAGAAUGGUGGAGGGGGAGUAAAACUUUAUUUUCUGUUUGAGAACUGCAUAUAAUGUGUCUAGCCUGGGAGAUAUUGGAAACUUUUGGUCAUGACAUUGACAGGAAAAGCAUGCCUCUCAAAAUAAUUCCUCUCUGAUAUAGGGUGUGAGCUCUAGCACCUCUAUAAAUCGAUGCUUCCCUCUGCGUAGGACCCAUCUCACUAUUGCAGGAAUGCCUAGCAGUGGCGGGUGGGAAAACCCCAGUAGUGGCGGGCAAGGCUCUGAGGGCUGCCCGUCACUCCUAGAAUGCCAUCAGUGGCGGUCGCCCACCCGCCAUUGUUAGGCCAUGAUCAAUGGUGGGCUCUAGGUCGUGCCCUCCACAACACUCCGUGUUGCCCGCGAAAUGAUUUUCAUGCUGUCAUGGUGGUCCUUUUCUACCGCUUGCCACUGCAAUUGUUGCAUGUCGACAUGAUUCAAUUACAACAUAUUGCAGCUGGAUCAUAUCAUCAGGUUACAUUUGGUACAUAAAUUCUGGUUUGAACCUUCAUCCACAUAUAUGCACCACAUUACAAUGAUUUCAGUUUAAUGAAAUGUAGUAGUCAUAAAAUAUAACAAGUGCAUUAUAGUAAUUAAUAAGCAUAUAUAUUUCGCGAUCAUCACAUAAUGAAUGGUUUGAUGAGUUUUUUUGGAGUGAAGUGAGUGUUGGCCAAUGUUCGUCAUGUAGACUGUUAGUAUAAGCCGCACAUACUACAUGAAUUAGUACUUGAUGGAAUGAACGGGGACCAAUGGGCCGCCGGCUCUAGAAUUGGAAUUUUUUCUUCUCGAAGAGGCCAUUGCACAACCUCGGCGGGCGUGGGUACAGUGGUUGGACUCAUACCCAGCCAGAUCCUCAGUAUCUCAUCCAGGGUCGCCUCCACAAGGAUGCACACUAGGAGGUCAGUGGGCCGCCUCUCUACAAUCUUGUCAAUCGCUGGGAGAGAACAAUGGGCCAUUGGAACACUUUUGACCCAAGCUAACAUCACCUCCUUGAGGUGCUCUAUGGGUCCAUAGCUAGUAGCUAGAUGGCUUCUUCUCUCUCUUUGAUUCUCAAUACCAUGUUCUCCGCGAUGUUCUUGGAGAUCUAUCUGAUGAAAUAUUCUUUUGCGGUGUAUUUGUCGAGAUCCGAUGAAUUGUGGAUUUAUGAUCAGCUUAUGUAUGAAUAUUACUUGAAUCUUAUCUGAAUUCUUAUAUCCAUGAUUUUAUAUCUUUGUAAUUCUCUUCAAACUAUCUGUUUAGUUUGGCCAACUAAAUUGUUUUUUCCUGCAAUGGGAGAAGUGCUUAGCUUUGGGUUCAAUCUGGCGGUGUCCUUUCCCAGUGACAGUAGGGGAAGAAAGGCAUGUAUUGCAUUGUUUCCAUCGAGGAUAAAAAUAUGGGGUUUACAUCAUAUUGCUUGAGUUUAUUCCUCUACACCAUGUCAUCUUACUUAAUGUGUUACUCUGUUCUUUAUGAACUUAAUAUUCUAGAUGCAGGCAGGAGUCAGUCGAUGUGUGGAGUAAUAGUAGUAGAUGCAGGCAGGAAUCAGUCUACUUGACACAGACAUGAUGCCUAUAUUUCAUAAUCAUUGCCUUGGAUAUCGUCAUAACUUUGCACUUUCUAUCAAUUGCUCGACAGUAAUUUGUUCACCCAUCGUAUUAUUUGCCUUCAUGAGAGAAGCCUAUAGUGAAACCUAUGGCCCUCGGGUCUAAUUUCCAUCAUAUUAGUUUCUGAUCUACUAUUUUGCAAUCUUUUACUUUCAGAUCUAUCAACCAAAAAGACUCAAAAAUAUUUUAUCUUUUGUUUAUCUAUCUCUAUCAGAUCUCACUGUUGCAAGUGAUCAUGAAGAGAUUGACAACCCCUUUAUCGCGUUGGGUGCAAGUUGUUUGAUUAUUUGUGCAGGUAUUGGUGGCUUGUGCGUUGUCUCCUACUGGAUUGAUACCUUGCUUCUCUAACUGAGGGAAAUACUUAUCUCUACUUUGCUGCAUCAUCCUUCCUCUUCAAGGGAAAAACCAACGCAAUAUCCAGAAGUAGCAGACAACAUACUUAGUUCCAUUUCUCCGUCGGUGUGUUACUUUAUCUCGGUAUCGGCAAGUCUCUUUCCUCUUUCCAUAAUAGAUUAUCAUGUAACUAACUCCUUAGUCAUUUCAUGAUGUUGUAUUACCAAGAGGGCCCAGAGAUACCUCGUACAGAGUGAAAAAUCCCAGUCUUGACCCAUGCCGACUCAACAAACACCUUCAGAGAUACCUGUAGAGCACCUUUAUGAUCACCCAGUUACAUUGUGAUGUUUGAUAGCACACAAGGAACCUCCGGAGUCCGGAGUUGCAUUAUCUAGUGGUCGAAGAAACAUCUAUUUGAAAUUACGAAAGUAGUAGCAAUAAACUGAAAGAUCAUAUGCUAUGCUAACGGUUGGGUCUUGUCCAUCACAUCACUCUCCUAAUGAUGUGGUCCUGUUAUCGAAUGACAACUCAUGUCUAUGGUUAGGAAACCUUAACCAUCUUUGAUCAAUGAGAUAGUCUAGUAGAGGCUCACUAGGGACAUGGUAUCUGUUUAUGUAUCCGCACAUGUAUUUAAGUUUCGGGUCAAUACAAUUCUAGCAUGAAUAAUAAACCUUUAUCGUGAAUAUGGAAAUAUGAUAAUAACAACUUUAUUAUUGCCUCUAAGGCAUAUUUCCAUCAUUUGAAUUGAUCUAUGAGUGCUAAGUUUGAUCUCCACCAGAAAGAGCCAACCUUAUGAUAUCCUGGGAGUUGUCCAUUACUAUAGUCUCUCUCCCAAAUUAAAUUAACCGAGGGUAUGUCAUGCCUAUUGAAGAACUUAUGAAGGUUUGUUAUGAGCAGAGUCUUGUUUUGUUUGUAGAUAUCCAUAACUCCUAGGCCUCCUUGAUAUUUGGGUCUACAAACAGUGUGCCAUGCAACUAAAGCUGGUCUGUGAUCUUCCAAAUCAGGGCUUCUCCAUAGACAGUGUCUCAAGUACUUAAUGAUCUGUUCCUUGAUGGUAAUAGGUAUGUCCAGGCAACACUUGCAGAAAAUUGGUAAUGAUGCAAGCACUAAUUUUGACUAGGAGCAACCUUCCUACGUGAGUCAUAAAAGUAGAAAUACCUGCUAAUCUCUUAGCAAUUCUGUUGACUAGGGGCAAACAUUGUUCCACAGUUGGUUUAUAGAUUCCUAAAGGAAGGCCCAAGUAAGUAAAAGGGAAUUGUCCUCUUACACAUUGCAGUGUGUGAGUGAAAAUAUUUAUUCUGUCUUCUGCAAUGUUUAUGGGCACCAUGAUUGAUUUCCAAUAAUUGACUUUUAGUCCAGCGGCUGAGGCAAAUGUGUUUAACAGGGCUUUGAGACAUAUCAGCUACUUUGCAUUUGCUUGCAUAAGAACCAGGGUAUCAUCUACAUACUGUACUACUCGAGAAUUAGGACAGGAGUAGACUUGCAGUGGUGGAGUAAUUAUACUCAGUAUGCUGGCCUUAUUAAGUAUUGAUUGUAGGAGAUCAGCAGACAACACAGAAAUCAAUGGGGAAAGGGGAUCACCCUGCCUCACUCCUCUUCUAUAGUAGAAUUUUAUUGGCAUGGAAUCCAUUCAACAUCACAGCAUAUGUGGCAGAUGUGAAAACUAAGUGCAUCCAGAAAAUCUACUUGUCUCCAAAUCCCUUUACUCUGAGUAUAUCAACAAUUUCCUGAUGUUCGAUAGUGUCGAAAGCUUUCUCAAAAUCCAUUUUAAUCACCAGCAUCACUUCUUUUGAUUUAUGACAUUGAUGGAUAUAUUCAUAUUGUUGGGGAACGUAGCAUGCAAUUUCAAAAAAAUCCUAUGCUCACGCAAGAUCUAUCUAGGAGAUGCAUAGCAACUAGAGUGGGAGAGUGUGUCCAUGUACCCUCAUAGGACGAAAGCAGAAGCGCUAGCUUAAUGCGGUUGAUAUAGUCGAAAAUCUUCUCGAUUCAACCGAUCAAGCACCGAACGUAUGGUACGUCCGUGUUCUGCACAUGUUCAGCUCGAUGACGUCCCUCGAACUCUUGAUCCAGCAAAGUGUCAAGGGAGAGUUUCGUCAGCAUGAUGGCAUGGUGACUGUGAUGGUGAAGUGAUCCGCGCAGGGCUUCGCGUAAGCACUACGACAAUAUAACCAAAGGAGUAAACGGUGGAAGGGGGCACCGCACACGGCUAAGAACAAUUGAUGUCCGUCGAGGUGCCUCCCCGAACCCAUAUAUAAAGGAGGGAGAGGGGAGGAGGCCGGCCUAGGGCGCGCCAAGUGGAGAGGAAUCCCACUUGGACUCGUAGUCCUGUUCGCCCCCACCCCUCUUUCCUUCUAUCAGAGGGGAAAAGAUGGAAGGAGAGGGAGUAGGAGAAGGAAAGGGCGUGACGCCCCCUUCCCUUGUCCAAUUCGGUCUCCUUUCUUGUGGGGGCACACCAGCCCCUUGUGGGCUGGUUAGCCUCCCUCCUACGGCCCAUAUGGCCCAUAUCUUCCACCGAGGGGUUCCAGUAACCCCUCCGGUACUCCAGUAUGUACCCGAUACACUCCGGAACCCUUUCGGUGUCUGAAUACUACCUUCCAAUAUAUCAAUAUUUAUCUCUCGACCAUUUAGAGACUCCUUGUCAUGUCCGUGAUCUGAUCCGGGACUCCGAACAACCUUCGGUCACCAAAACACAUAACUUAUAUAAUAUAUAUCGUCAUGUCAACAUACGUUAUUCCCUUUGUCAUCGAUAUGUUACUUGCCCGAGAUUCGAUCGUCGCUAUCUUCAUACCUAGUUCAAUCUCGUUACCGGCAAGUCUCUUUACUCGUUCCGUAAUGCAUCAUUACGCAACUAACUCAUUAGUCACAUUGCUUGCAAGGCUUCAUAUGAUGUGCAUUACCGAGGGGCCCUAGAGAUACCUCUCCGAUACUCGGAGUGACAAAUCCUAAUCUCGAUCUAUGCCAACCCAACAAACACCUUUGGAGGUACCUGUGGAGCAUAUUUAUAAUCACCCAGUUACGUUUUGACGUUCGAUAACACACAAGGCAUUCCUCCGGUGUCCGGGAGUUGCAUAAUCUCAUAGUCAGAGGAAUAUGUAUUUGACAUGAAGAAAGCAGUAGCAAUAGAACUGAACAAUCAUUAUGCUAUGAUAACGGAUGGGUCUUGUCCAUCACAUCAUUCUCCUAAUGAUGUGAUCUCGUUCGUCAAAUGAAAACACAUUUCCAUGGCUAGGAAACUUAACCAUCUUUGAUCAACGAGCUAUUCAAGUAGAGGCAGACUAGGGACACUAUGUUUUGUAUGUGUAUUCACACAUGUAUCAAGUUUCUGGUUAAUACAAUUCUAGCAUGAAAAAUAAACAUUUAUCAUGAAUAAGGAAAUAUAAAAUAACAACUUUAUUAUUGCCUCUAGGGCAUAUUUACUUCAGUCUCCCACUUGCACUAGAGUCAACAAUCUAGUUCACAUCGCCAUGUGAUUUAACUCCAAUAGUUCACAUCUUUAUGUGAUUAACACCCAUAGUUACAUCGCCAUGUGACCAACACCCAAAGGGUUUACUAGAGUUAAUAAUCUAGUGUCACACCCUGAUUUUCAUGGCACCACACUUAAGCUAAUAAAUCAUGAUAAAUUGUGGUUUGACUAAAAACUUUUGUGUGUUUUGGUCUUUGUUUGAUUUGAUUCUUUUCUGUUGUUUGCAAGUGCUCUAAAAAUCAAAUACAUCCUCCAACUCUUAUACUCCUUCUCCUUGAUCCAGAAACCUUGCCCAGUGAACAUGCCAUGUGUAUAGGACAUAAAAAUAAUUUCUUAUAAAAAUAAUUUGGCCAAAUAGUAUUUUCAAAAAUUAGUUUUCCAAAAACCCCUGAAUUGAGAUUUGCACUGCAAGUACUUAAUUAAGGGCAGUAAAAAUCUUUACAAAAAUAUAUUUGACUCCUAUGAGGUAUAGGACACCCAUAAACCCCAAAAAUAUAAUUUUAAAACUUAUUUUAUUAUUUUAUUUAAAGGAUUUUUCUUUAGGCCAGAAAUGAUCUUUAAUAGGUUAAAAUUGUUUUAAUGGUUUAAAAAUAUUUGUGAAAAUUUAGGGAAACGAAGUGGACAUAUAUUGUCCAGAUAUAAGAGUUUCAAUAUAGGGUCAUGUUCAAAAUAUUGGUCAAAUCUCUCAAAAACCCUUUCUGGAUAUUUCAAGCUUUUGAAAUAUUUACAAAGGAAAUAUUCUCCAAAAAUUCCAAGAAAAUUCUAUCAUGUCACAUAUGACACGUUGGAUGAUCUUGACAAGUCUCAUGUCAUGCAGAAUAGUAUAACCCCAUGAAACCCUCUCAAAACCAUUUCUGCCCUUUUUCAAGUUUGAACAACUUUGCAUUAGAAAACUUGUCCAAAUACUCUCAAGCUUGGUCCACAUGCUACAAUGGUCCAAUAAAUAAUCUAGACUAAGUAUAAAAAGUUGGAGAACAAGUUAACUUGCUCAAAGUGCCCUAAAACCCUUCCUAUCCAGAACCAAAUUUGAACAACUCAACAUUGGAAACUAUCUCUUUUUGAUCUCAACUUUUGUGGACAUGUUCAGAAUCUCAAAUGAUGACACUACACCAAGUAGUGCACCAAUGAGAAGAGUUUAGCUUAGCUAGAUCUAAGCAAGUCCAUUUUUGUUAAUUUCUAGAGUUUACAAAAGUUGCAUUGGCAACUUUGCCCAAAUGGACUCAACCUUGGUGGAACCUAUUAUUAUAUCAUGCCAUUUGACCCUGUCAAUCCUCAUGACAAGAGGAGUUCAUCUUAUUUCCCAAACCAGCAACAAACACCUUCUCCCAUUUUAUUAAAACCCCUGUUUUGACCAUUUCCACUCUUCUCCUUCCUCUCUCUUCAUCCACUGGCCACCCAAAGCAUCCAAGGAGAAGAUCCCUUCCUUAGCACCCCCAAAGACUACUGGACAUGCAAGGGCGCGCCCACAAGCAUAGAAAAUGGCCUGGACAGCCAUAUGGGCGCUCUGGAGCGCGCUACAGUGCGCCCUUGCACUGUAGCCGCUCUCUGCCCAAGCCACCCGACGACCUCGGGGGCCGGGAGCGUGUCCCUCGAGUCUGUCUCGGCGUGCGUGACACGCCUAGCUGUCGGGCCCGUCGCCCAUCGGCCUCCUUUGCCCCUGUCGAGCUCACCCGAAUGCCGCCCAAGCUCACCGGUCGUUGCACUCGUGCGGGACCUUCUCUGGCGUCGCCCCGCUCCCCCUCUCACCUUACUCGCUCCUGGAUGAACUCCACGAGUGCCACUGACCCAUCCAAGAACCCUCCCUCGACCACCACCAUGAUUUCCGCGAGCACCCGUGAGCUUGGCUCACGGUGCACCAUGGCCUCGCCUUAUAGGGCCUCCCCUGGUCUCUCCCUCGUCUCCAUUCACUCUCCCCCUCCCCUAGUCCUGCUGGACCAACCCUCUCUCUCUCCCGCGUCCCCUAUCCUCCCCCACAGCCAAAGAAUCGCCGCCGGCCGCCGCCAAAAUUCGUGGUAUCCCGAGCUCCUCCGCGGGUGUGAAGCACAUGGACGGGAUCGGCGCAUUGCGCUGAGUCCUCCGGUGUGCUGGGCACCGUCGCAGGUGACCGGAGCCGCUGCAACGGGCACCGGUGCCGCUCGGCCGCGCCUCCCCUGUCGCUCCUCUCCCUCAGGUGCAAGGUAGGGCACGACCACUCCGCCAGCUCGCAGGGGGCCCGCCCGUCAGCGGCAGAGGUGACCGAGCCGGCCCACCAGUCGGGUUAAGUUGAAACGGCUUCGGGCCGACCCGCUUGCCCCGCUGGGUGGCGCCCUCCUGCAGUGCGCCUUCGACGUCACCUCCUCCCUCGCGCAGCUGAGCCACUGGGCCGAGCCCAGUAGGCGCUGUUUAGCUGGGCUUCGCCCAUGCGCUUUAUAAGCUUGACAUCUUUUCUUCCUUUUUCUUUUUUUAAAUAUUGUAAAAUCUCUAGAGAAUUCAAAUGGACUCCAUAUUUGAUGAUUCAAAUUUCUGGUAGCUCAUAAAAUCAUGGUGUAUCUUAUGGUGCAACUUGCACAUUUUUCCAGAAACCUUUUUUUCACAAAUAUUUAUAAUAUCCUAUUUUUCCUAUUUUUGUGAUAAACUUUAGAAAAUCACAGAGAGCUCAAAAUUGAUUCAAAUGCCUUGAUUCGAAUUCCUAGAUGCUUCUAAGUUCAUAACUUAGUUUAUGAACAUUUUUAUUAAUAUUUUCUGUGCCCCACAAAAUAAUGAGCCAUUUCUUCAUAUUAGCCAACUUUGCCAAUUCCUAGGAAAAUCAUUUGAACUCCAAAUCCAGUAAAACCAACUCCGAGAGGCUUCUAAAAUCAUGCUUUGUUAAAUGGGUGCCUUUGCUCAUUUUUCAAUAUAAUGUUUCUAUGCACUUAUUGCAAAUGCAUAAACCCCUUGAUUCCAUCAUAUCGAAAUGUUUCGAAAUAUCCAUUGAUCCACUUCCAAUGAAACCACCUUGGUCAUUCCUCAUAUGACCAGAGGUAUCCUAGAAAAGUCCAACUCACAUUUUUUUAGAGCACUUUUAUUUUGCCUGGUCGUGUUGCUUAUUAUGGUUGUUUUCGGCGAUAUUUGACGAAGUAGAUGAAAUGCUCGGAGUUAGACCAGAGAUAUUUGAAGACCUCGAAGACUUUGUUAAAAUAGGAAAGCAGCCCUUUGACCAUGUCUAUGAUACCCUUUUUAUGCAUGUCAUAUAGCACUUUUAUUGCUUGCAUCAGAGACAUGAUACUGUGGUAACCACAUGGGGUGGUUUGCCACCGUUACUUCCUCGUUGAUACUUGCAUUGUGCAUGACCCUACCUUCUUAUGAGGGUUAUGCCGGUGGGAGUAGAUAGGAUGCUAAAGUAGAUGCUACGCAAAAAGGGACGGGUAUAUGCAUGGUGAAGGAGACAAAGUAUUUUCAAAAGACUUUUCGAAAACCCCGUCGGGUGCCACUUAUGCCCGAGGGAGAUGAUGAGAUGGGUAACCACUUGAUGACAAAGUGGUGUACCGAGGCAAGUGUGUUUUGUUUUCGAAAACGGAUUAGAUUUAAGAUUUGUCGACUGUCCCAACCUUACAUGCGCAACCACUCUACCCUUGUAUGGGAAAGGGCAUUAUUGAUUUCCUAGGCCGAUACUAGCUUGGAGCCCGCAUUACUAGUGACGGCGGAGAGUUGGUGCUCUCCCUCGGGACGGGGUCGUGCCAGGUAGGGCGGCCAUGACUGUUUUCAUAGGGCACCAGAUACACCGUUGUGUCCCCUCUCGGAUGUUACGAUCUCGAGUGACUCUCGUAUGAUGUACAUCGUGAGAAUACGGAACAACGAGUGGACUGCUUGUUAGUGUCGUCUAGGGAAAGAUAGUGAUCGGGUGCUUACUCCGGGUACUUGAGGUAUCGCGGGUCGUGGAUGACACGGAAGUUCCCCGGAUCUUGUGGGUAAAGUGUGCAACCUAAAACUAUUCGAAUAGCCGUGUCCACGGUCAAGGACAGUUGGGCGGUGCUGCUUAAACUACAUCCAGAGCUUCACAAACCAGUGUGUGUGUUCGGAUAAUUGGGGAAAACUACUUGGGUCAAGUCAAGGGACUUGACAUGAUUGAGUUGGGUUGAUGCCCACUCUAUUUAUGUUGAUAUCUGUAACCUGUCCUCAUGGUUACUUGAAUUCUCCUGAUGCAUGUCUUACAAGUUGUUGAACAUGUCAUUGCACUCAAAACUAGCUUUCUGCAAAAUUUACCUAUAUCAUGCAUUGUUACAUCUUGGACCAAAACAUGGGUUGCUUGCGAGUACAUUCAAAGUACUCAUUGGCCUGCCACUAGUUAUUUAAUUGGCCAGGCAUGGAAGAACCAGAGUUUGAAGAAGAGUUCUUUGGAGACGAACAUGCUUUAACUAGGAUGUUUCCCAGUCAGAAUACCUUUAGGGUUAAGGCAGAUGGCAUGGGUUCUACUUAUCGACAAAGAGUUCCGCUGCUUAUAUUUCAUUUGAUGCUCAACCCUUAAGGCUUUAUCAAUGUAAGACUUGACCAUAAUGGUCAUAAUUUGUGUAAGACGGUAUGAAUGGAUGUAAGACUCUUGUUAUUCAGCUUCUGUGUGUUCAGUGAGCAUUGAUCUCUGGGAUCACUGUACACUUGCAUUCGGUGAUCAUGACUUAUGAGUCGGGGUCCCCACUAGUUCACAUCGCUAUGUGAUUAACACCCAAACAGUACUAAGGUGUGAUCAUGUUUUACUUGUGAGAGCAGUUUAGUUAACGGGUCUGCUACAUUCAGAGCCGUAUGUAUUUUGCAAAUUUGAUACGUCUACAUUUCUCUACAUGGAUAUAGUCUAGCUAAUUGCUCCCACUUUCAAUAUGUAUCCAUAUUGAGACUUAGAGUCAUCCGGAUUGGUGUAAAAGCUUGCAUCAACGUAAGUCGUUACGACGACCUCUUUAUCACCUCCAUAACGGAGAAAUAUUUCCUUAGUCCUCUUAGGUAACUAAGGAUAACUUUGACCGCUAUCUAGUGAUCCACACCUGGAUCACUAUCGCACCCCCUUGCCAAACUCAUACCAAGACACACAACUGGUCUGGUACAUAGCUUGGCAUACUUUAUAGAACCUAUGACUGAGGCAUAGGGAAUGACUUUCAUUCUCUUUCUAUCUUCUACCAAGACACACAACUUUACACCUUGUAAUACAGGCAAGAACUCCUUCUUUGACUGGUCCAUUUUGAACUCUUUCAAAAUCUUGUCAAGGUAUGUACUCAUUGAAAGUAUUAUCAAACGUCUUGAUCUAUCUCUAUAUUUUCUUGAUGCCCAAUAUGUAAGCAGCUUUCACCGAGGUCUUUCAUUGAAAAACUUUUAUUCAAGUAUCCUUUUAUGCUAUCAACAAAUUCUACAUCAUUUCCAAUCAACAAUAUGUCAUCCACAUAUAAUAUUAGAAAUUCUAUAGAGCUCCCACUCACUUUCUUGUAAACACAAGCUUCUCCAAAAGUCUGUAUAAAACCAUAUGCUUUGAUCACCUCAUCAAAUCGUAUAUUCCAACUCUGAGAUGCUUGCACCAGUCCAUAGAUGGAUCGCUGGAGCUUGCACACUUUGUUAGCACCUUUAGGAUCGAGGAAACUUUCUGGUUGCAUCAUAUACAACUCUUCUCAGAGAUAUCCAUUCAAGGAUGUAGUUUUUGACAUCCAUUUGCUAGAUUUCAUAAAAUGUGGGAAUUGCUAACAUGAUUCAUGCAGACUUAAGCUUUGAGAUGGGUGAGAAAGUCUCAUCAUAGUCAACUCCUUGAACUUGUCGAAAACCUUUUGCAACAAGUUGAGCUGUGUAGACAGUAACACUAUCAUCAGCGUCAGUCUUCUUCUUGAAGAUCCAUUUAUCCUAUGUGGGUCGCCGAUCAUCGGGUAGAUCAACCAAAGUCCACACUUUGUUCUCAUACAUGGAUCCUAUCUCAGAUUUCAUGGCUCAAGCCAUUUAUCGGAAUUUGGGCUCAUCAUAGCUUCUUCAUAGUUCGUAGGUUCAUCAUGGUCAAGUAAGAUAACCUCCACAACAGGAUUACCAUACCAAUCUGGUGCGGAUCGUGCUCUGUUUGACCUACAAGUUUCUAUAGCAACUUGAUCUCAAGUUUCAGGAUCUGUAUCAUUAUUUUCCUCUGCAUUUGGUGUAGGCAUCACAAGAACUGAUACGUCUCCAACAUAUCUAUAAUUUUUUAUUGUUCCAUGCUAUUAUAUUACCCAUUUUGGAUGUUUAUGGGUUUUACUAUACACUUUUAUAUCUUUUUGGGACUAACCUACUAACCGGAGGCCCAGCCUGAAUUGUUGUUUUUUGCCUAUUUUAGUGUUUCGCGGAAAAGGAAUAUAAAACAUAGUAAAAAUGGAAUGAAACCUUCGGGAGCAAUCUUUUUGGAACAAACGCAAUCCAAGAGACUUGGGGUGGACGUCAAGAAGCAGUCAAGGCGGCCACGAGGGUGUAGGGCGCACACCUAGGGGUGGGAGCCCCCUGCCUCGUGGGCCUCCCGUGCCUCCCCUGACCGACCUCCUUCGCCUAUAUAUAUCUAUGUACCCCGAAAACAUCCAGGGGCACCACGAAAAACUAUUUCCACCGCCGCGACCUUCUAUACCCAUGAGAUCCCAUCUUGGAGCCUUUUCCGGCGCUCCGCCGGAGGGGGAAUCGAUCAUGGAGGGCCUCUACAUCAUCAGCAAGGCCUCUCCGAUGAGUUGUGAGUAGUUUACCACAGACCUUCGGGUCCAUGGUUAUUAGCUAGAUGGCUUAUUCUCUCUCUUUGAAUCUCAAUACAAAGUUCUGCUUGAUCUUCUUGGAGAUCUAUUCGAUGUAACUCUUUUUGCGUUGUGUUUGUCAAGAUCCGAUGAAUUGUGGGUUUAUGAUCGAGUUUAUCUAUGAGAAAUAUUUGAAUCUCCUCUGAAUUCUUUUAUGUAUGUUUGGUUAUCUUUGCAAGUCUCUUCAAAUUAUCAGUUUGGUUUGCCCUACUAGAUUGAUCUUUCUUGCAAUGGGAGAAGUGCUUAGCUUUGGGUUCAAUCUUGUGGUGUCCUUUCCCAGUGACAGUAGGGGAAGCAAGGCAUGUAUUGCAUUGUUGCCAUCGAGGAUAAAAAUAUGGGGUUUACAUAAAAUUGCUUGAGUUUAUUCCUCUACACCAUGUCAUCUUACUUAAUGCGUUACUCUGUUCUUUAUGAACUUAAUACUCUAGAUGUAGGCAGGUGUCGGUGUCAAAACCGGCGGAUCUCGGGUAGGGGGUCCCGAACUGUGCGUCUAGGCGGAUUGUAACAGGAGACAAGGGACACGAUGUUUUUACCCAGGUUCGGGCCCUCUCGAUGGAGGCAAAACCCUACUCCUGCUUCAUUAAUAUUGAUGAUAUGGGUAGUACAAGAGUUGAUCUACCACGAGAUCAGAGAGGCUAAACCCUAGAAGCUAACCUAUGGUAUGAUUGUUGUUCGUCCUACGGACUAAAACUCUCCGGUUUAUAUAGACACCGGAGAGGGCUAGGGUUACAUAGAGUCGGUUACAAUGGGAGGAGAUCUUCAUAUCAUAUCACCAAGCUUGCCUUCCACGCCAAGGAAAGUCCUAUCCGGACACGGGACGAAGUCUUCAAUCUUAUAUCUUCAUAGUCCGAGAGUCCGGCCAAAGGUCAUAGUUGGCCAUCCGGACACCCCCUAAUCCAGGACUCACUCAGUAGCCCCUUAACCUGGCUUCAAUGACGACGAGUCCAACGCGCAAAUUGUCUUCGGCAUUGCAAGGUGGGUUCCUCCUCCGAAUACGUCAUAGAAGAUGUUGAACACAAGGAUAGUGUCCGGCUCUGCAAAAUAAGGUCCACAUACCACCGUAGACAGAAUAAUAUCUGCACAAAUCUAAUCUGUUGACGUAUUCUGCAGCGUGACAUCACGCCACGGCCAGGCCUUUAUUUGAAUCAUUUUACUGUUCCACCUCAGCGCGUUUAGCGAGGCGGUUUCCUAGGCACGUCUUGUCAAAGCAGAGAUCGUGUCCCCUUAUUCCGGGAUUCUCAUCAAUACGAGCGUGGGUAACCCAACCGUGCCUUUGGUAUGACUCCCUAAUUGAAAGUGCGUCCCAAACGGUUACGGGGAGGGCUCUUGGUAUUCAACCCCUAUAUAAAGAGACCAAGGCUCGACUCCUUUCUUUUCAAUUCAAUCGAAUCCGCCCCUCGCCUCGAGUUCCAACACUCAAAGCUCCAGUUUUAGGCGCUUCGGACCUUCGAAGAUGUCCGGCUCCGACCUUCAAGGCCGGUGGAUGCCUUCCUCCGUUACGAAAGAAGACGUGCGAAAGCUGAGAGAUCCCAGGUAUCUAACCGGCGAAAUCUCGCAUAGGCUGCCUGCUCAAGGGCAGGCCAUUCCCACUCCCCAGCCCGGUGAGAGCGUGGUGUUCACAUCUCACUUCCUUCGGGGGCUAGGCUUCCCGAUUGAUUCCUUUGUGAGGGGGCUUAUGUUUUAUUACGGGCUGGAAUUUCACGACUUAGCUCCGGAGUCCAUCCUCCAAAUCUCAUCGUUCAUUGUCGUGUGUGAGGACUUUCUCCAUAUUACUCCUCACUUCGGAUUGUGGCUUAGAACCUUCAAGGUGGAACCGAAGAUGAUCGAGGGGCAGCACGCUGAGUGCGGAGGAGCUAUCAUAAGCAAGAUGGCCGACGCUCCAUGGCCCGAGGGCUCUUUCCAAGAGAGUUCGGCUUAUGGCAACGGGACUAGUUUUACAUCACAGCCCCCAGGGGCACCACAUGGGUGGCGCCACCUGCUUUUCGGUCGGGUCCCCCACCACGGCUAGCGUCAUGGGUCAAUGAAGGGCUUAUCUGGGGGACGUCCCAAGACGUGCCCUUGCUGCAGGACCGCAUUCGAGAUCUCCUAGAAAGAGAUAUCAACUUGACCGUAGUGGCGCAAGUUAUGCUGAUUCACCGCAUGCUUCCCUACAAACGUCGCCCUCUCCGCCUGUGGGAAUUUAAUCCGGAGGGACCGCGAGUCCUUCAACACUUUAUGGGCACGACGCCCAUGGAGAUGUACAAAUUGUUCUUCGGAACAGAAGCAAGGUGUCCGGACUUGUCCGAGGACGCAGGUCUGAGCUGCAAUCGCCCGGAUGCUCAAGUAAGUCGCCCCGUAUUUGGACACGCCAUCCGUAUUUUCAUCAUAGAAUUGCCCUUAACAGAGCUAUCCUUUGAACAGGAGUGGAUAGCGAAGGCAAAGCUUAUCAGGUGUCCAGCCCCCCUGCCUGAGACCGUGCCGGAUCCCGUGUUAACCAGGAUGCUGGAGAUUGUGCUUUCGGCAAAAGGAGAAGAGGGGAACCAAGGAGCUACCGCCUCCAUGAAGGAGGCUGUCAGGAAGGGAGGAAUCGAGAAUUCCCCCAACCCGGGAAAGAAAAGGACUGCCUCUGAAGACCCGGAGGGGAUGGCCUCAAAACGGGGGAAGAAAUCUUUGCCAGAGGAUCCGACGCCGGAGAAUGCCCCGGCUGCAUUGCGCCCUCAAGGGGAUCAGCUCUCCUUCGAGACGUUAGUAAAGAGAGGGGUUCCAAAAUGAGUGGCAUCCCUGUUUUAUUUCUGAGGAAGAUAACUGAAAUAUUACCUUGCAGUUCGGAUCUCAACCCUUCUCAACAGAGGUCAUCUUCAGGGGAUCUUCGUCCAGAGAUGAUGGAGAGCGAAACGUCUCCCCUAGCUGCACCAUCUUACGAGGCAGGCGACCCUGAGGUGUCGUCCCGGGGGGGUUUUCCAAGUCCGGACCCUAAAAAAGGUCGUCAGGCUAGUCCGGCACCCUCUGGUGCGCGGUCGGAGGGGCUGAAGGGUAUGCUCGGGCGAGCGUACAUCUCAGAAGAACACCGUAUGUUGAUGAACAUGGUGAUAGGAAGGAUUUCAUCCGCGGAAAGCGGAUUGUACGAGGCCGCCAGGAGUUUACUGACAGGCUUUGAGGUACGUGGAAAGGUGUACCUUUUGGUGGAGCCGCAUAUAUAAAAUGCGCCCUGUAUAAAUAGUAGCCCCUGAGACUCUGUGUGUCGUCAAAAGUGACGGCGCACAGAGGAUCAUAACCCCAGGUAUAAUAUGUCACCUUUUUAUGAAAGUGGCGAGGCGUUCGGUGGCUAGCCGGACUGAUGAAUCUGUCGAGCUAAAGCGGCAACUUAAUGUGGCAGAUGCCGACAUCGCGCUUGUAAAUAAGUGGCUAGACGAGGCACAAGGUAUGUUCCAAAUACAUCUGAUAAGAGGAGUUCGAUUCUCGUGCCUUAUAGGAUAUGUGCUUAAUGUAGAUGGUGCUGCUGCCGUGGAGAACCUUUGGGCCGAACUUGCCCGAGCCAAGGAGCAAGCCAGGAAAAGUGAUGCGGCUGCCAUUAAGGCGGCUGAAGAGCUAAAAGCCGAACAGGCUGCUCACUGCCAGAGCAAGAAAGUAAUAGCCGAGAUGGCUAUAAAAUUGAAGGAUGCUGCCGAUCGCUGUAAAUUUCUUGAACAAGAAGAUAGGGCGGCUCAGAAGGACCUUGAAAAGAUCACUGCCGAGGCCAAGGAUACUCGGUCUGCAAUAAGAGUUAUGAAGGAGGAGCUACGUCAGGCCGGAGAUAUCAUGGUUGGAAAGCCCUAUAUGCUGCGGAUGAAGUUCGGGGAUCCUAAGUAUGUCCGUUAGACCGGCAGUGGAGUGCGGAAAACACUUAUCUGGAUUUGGCAGCGAGUGCGGCAGACGCAACCGAACACUUCCGAGGUCGAGGUGACCAUGAAUUGGUAGAACUUUUUUGGUCGUAGUUCCACAAUCCAGAACACCCACUUUCGGUAUCCGACCGUUUGGCCGCCUGGGCGGAGCUAAACAGGUUAUCCGGACUCGCCACGAGGUAUGUUGCGAGUCGUUUGUGGCCGGAAGAGCCAGAGCCGAAGAGUUAGUUUAGCUUGGUGCAGCAGUUCCUUGGUUCGGUGCCGCAUGUUGAUGCAAUGAAGAGGUCGGCGUGCAUAGAGGGUGCAUAAAUGGCUCUUGCCCGUGUCAAAACAUACUGGGCGGAUAUGAAGGCCAGUGUUGUUGCAUCCCGGGAUUCGGACGAAAGCCGAGUACCUUCCAAGCACUACUUUGAGGAAGUUCUUCCUGGCGCUCGUUUAAUAGAGGCGCAGUGCUCGAAGGAUGUUGUGUUCGAAUAGCAUGUGCUAUUGUAAAAUGAAUAUUUUGAUAGAAUAUAAAAGCUUUUUAUACUUGUGCUUGCAAGAAUUAUAAUACCUCCUGCGCGGCCGUUAAUGUAUAUGUGUAUAUAACCUGAAAGAUGGCAGUCGUUGGCUUCAGCCCCCACGCAUAUAAUGCAGGGGUGUUUGCAAAAAGGCGUCUUUUCACACAUAAUAGAACGUCUUGGUCCUACAAAGGAGGUGAUAGCGCAGCGAACUAGGCAACCGGACUAUAAUGCUUUAUCACUUUCACUUAGCCAUAGGAGUUGGACAGUGGGGCUACUUAAUAGCCCCUAGGGGCACCGCGCUCGCCCGAAUUCAGGGCGCGUGUGUGCCUGACCGGAAAGCGGCCCUUCGUUAAUGCGGAGGAAUCCUAAAUAUUCCGAGAGUCAUCGAGUGGUUGACCAGUCUCUCGCUAUAUCAUGACAGUCAGUUUUCGGCUUUUCUCUACUGAGGUGCUCGCCUGGCUGAACCGGGGCACAAUCGCAGUAGUUCUCCUGGUGCCGCCUUAGCCAAUAGAGCGCAACGUAAGGUAGCAAAACACAGGAGCCGGGCAAACCCAACAUUUGACCAAAGACAUGUUUCGGAGCUGAUGCAUAUAAGGCCAAACUCGCGACGCCGAACACUCCCUAAGGUAUUCGGUCUUUAUGAAGACGGGCCGAACCAAAGCCCUUGGUAAAAAAGCCCCUGGUGUCCAGGUACGCGCAAAAUUCUGGCAUGGCCACAUGCCAAGACGCCAGCCUCCUCCUCGGUUAUAGUGAAAACCAGGGGAUUUCAUCAACAAGAGAUAGUAAAAAAGGUUUACACAGGAUCUUAAUCUGAAAAGAAUCCUUAAAACGGGUCCCUACUGCACGUCUGUGCCUGUGUCUCCGUUGUGCCGUAUCCUGGACGGGCGUAGCACGGUGUUCAUCUGCGAAAGAGAGGAACUUAGUAAAAAGUAAUCAUGCGAGAAAUCUGUAUUAAAAUAAACAAAAUAUAAUCCAGAGACAUGAGCAAAAUUGAGCUGUGUUGUCUCCUGGUGUAAACACGCGGAGCCCCUUGUACAGGGUUAUGCGGCUAUUAAGCCUUUGUAUGUUUACGCCGGACUCGUCGAGCCGUGUCCGGGGUAGUAGGGCUGGAUUAGUGUGCGGGUGUUCAGGCGGCCGCACCAUUACCCGUACUUUGGGGAUCAAUUGAUAUUUCCCUUUAAAGAGAUGAUGCCUCGUGGACCGGGCAUUUUGAGUGUAAGGGAUGCAUAAUGCAGUAUUGCGUUAAAGCGGGCGAAAGCUUCACGUCCCAGUAGUGCUUGAUAGCGACUUAUGAAUGGGGCGAUAUGGAAGGUUAGCUUUUCGCUUCGGAAGUUGUUGGGUGAGCCGAACAUGACUUCUAACGAAAGGGAACCCAUAAUCUGGAUAUCUCGGCCCGGCGUGACUCCUUGAAAGGAUGUGUUGCCAUGGCGAAUUAUUGCUGGGUUUUGUCGCAUCCCUAGUUCUGGUAUGACCUAGACUAGCUAGCCAGUUGUGCAUCAUUUUUAAAUUCCUUUUAAUUUUGAAAUGAGGACUUGUGAAACCCUCAGAAUCAUCUCUGAAAAUGACCCAAAUAAAAAAUUGUUCCAAAAAGGUCCAAGAAAAUGUUCAUGUUGCUCUCUGAAAAUAUUGGUCAGAGGUAAAAUUCAAACAAAUAUUUUAGGAGCUCAUGGAUAUUUAUUUUGGCCAUUUGGAUUAAUCCGAUAAUUAUUUGCAUUGGAUAUAUAUAUGUCAUAUAUAUAAUAUAUGUCCAAAAAUUAUGCCAUUUGCUGAGGAGCUCUGGAAUAAUAUAGUUAGCUCCUGCAAAAAUUGGCAUAAGGUAAUAAAAUGAUUUUGUAUUUUAAUUAAAGCAAAACAAAUGUCAGAAAAAUAGAAAAAGAAAUAAAAGAGGAAAACCCUACCUGGACUUACCCGCGGCCUGGCACUGUGUGGCCUGGCCUAGCGGGCCAGCAGGCCGGCCCAGCCAGCUGGCCGACGCCAGUCGCCCCCUUCCUCGCGCCAGUCGUCCCCUUCCAACGGCUGGGGCCACGUCUCCCCGCCACCUCCUGCUUCUCCCCCUCGUCGUCUGGAUGCCCUGGGCGACGCCACGUGCCCUCCCGACCGCUCUCACUCUCCCCCUGUUCACUCCCUCGCCGUUUCCCACCGUGCCCGAACGCUGCCGUCGCCGCCGCACGCCGUUGCCGUAGCCACCGCCUCCCCCUCGCCUCUCCGACACGCGCAGGAGCUCCGCCUCCUCGCUCUGAAGCUCUCCGCCGAGCCACACAAGCCGGAGCGCCUGUGGAGCCGUCGUCGUCGCCUUCAUCACCUCCGGCCGCCGCAGAUCGCCAUCGCCGCUUUGUCGCCUCCCGCGCGUCCCUGGCCACAACGAGCAGCCCUGCAAGUCCACCGUGAGCCCUGCUUCUUCUCCCCUCUCUCCCCUGGUCGCGCUCUCCCUCUAGCUAUCGUCUCCACCGUGGCUGAACCUUCGCCGCCACUGAGCUCGCCGUCGACGCAGCUCCGGUGACCAUUUGGUCACCCCGGCGAGUCCAACAAGCUCGUAAGGCCCCGUAGAGCAUCCCUAGCGCUUUGCUUCUCUCGUCUUCGAGCUCCAAACGCGCUCUCGUGCACGACCAAACUCCGGCGCCCGCAACCGAGAUCGCCGCCGCCGACUCCGGCCAUCCCAGGCCCAGCCACGGCCACCGGCCGACACGCCAUCGAGCUGGCUCACCAACGCGCCUAGCCGCGCGUCAUUUGGAGCACCACAGAGGAAACCCGGGGCCCAAGUACGCCGCGGAUCUCGCCGGCGACUAACCGCCAGCGGGUUUGACUUGUUUGACCUGGGGUUUGACCCGCCCAGGGUCACUGACACGUGGGCCAUGCCCCUGUUUAGUUUAGGUGUUAGUUUAGUUAGCGCUAAUUAACUUAGUUAAUUAGUUGUCUCUCUGACAGGUGGGCCCAGGCCCUAAUUAACCUAGGUUAGUGCUAACCUAACACAAACUAACUCUGUUAGUUAGAUGUUCCACUGACAUGUGGGUCCCAGCCAUCAGGUUUGACCUGGUCAGCACCGUUGACCUGCUGACGCAGGCAUGACGUCAUGCUGGCGCAAUAAUAUAUUUUCUGGAAUUAAAAUAAAUCAGGAAAUUCCAGAAAAUGUUCAAAACUUCAAAAAUUCAUAUCAAUUCCACUGUAGCUCAGAUUGAAAUAAAUUAUAUAUGAAAAAUUAUCAGAAAAAUGCAACUUAUCCAUCUGUACCAGUUUCAUGCAUGAAAAACCAAGUUAUACCUGCUGGAUAAGUGAAACACUAAAAUGGCUUAUAUGAAGAGCUUAUUUGGAGAUGCAUUUGAACCUUUGGUUCAAAUGGACUUCAAACCAAAUGAAUACUAGUUGCAUUAGCUCAAACAGCAUCACAUCUUCAUGCCAUGUUCAUGCAUCAUAUUGUUGCAUAUGCUUGUGUAUUGAUUGUUGGCACCGUUCCUUCUCGAUAGGUCCUGCUCCGGAGACCGUUCCAGAGUACCUGUCUGAGGAGCAGUGCCCCCUUGUUGAUCUACCAGGCAAGCAAAGCCCCUUGUUCAUUCCGAUACAAUCCUACUCUCUCGCUCCUGCUCUUAGUUAUUGCAUUAGGACAACAACGAUUCAUCUGCUACUUUGUGCUGCGGUAGUUGAACCCAUUCCUCUGCAUGACCCGUCAUUGCCAGAGUAAAUAGUUGAAACCCACUAGCAUGUGUAGGAGUUGAUUGAGCCAUGUUGUGUUCCUACCAUGCUAUGCCUGCUAUUGCUUAGAGUUGUGUCAGGUCUGGUUCAUUGGGAAUGAAUUGGAGUGUUACGAUAUGUUCUGAUGCUGAGAGUUAAGUGUGUGAACACGAUUUGGUAAAGGUAGCGGUGAGAGGCCAUGUAGGAGUACAUGGUGGGUUGUCUCACUGGAACCGUCCUUAAGCACUUAGUUCUGUGUAUGUUGUCCAAUGACCAGCUACUACCACACAUUGGAAUGCUUAAGUGCCCCUCUCGACUUGUUAACCAACUUGGUCUCUGUCCAGGAGUCGCAACUAGUUUCUGGUGUUUGUAGGUAGUGUUAGUAGUCUACCAAGUGGCACACGGCCAGGUGGGCUUGGGACAAACUAGGCACAGUGGCAUGGUGUACCAAGUGGCACCCGGAUGGUGGGCUUGGGAACCCUGCACACAUCGUUUGGGGCCAUGAGCGACACCCCGGCCGGAUCUCCUUGCGGAUAGAACCCGAAUAGGCGAUAAACCUGGACUAGAGUCUUGUGUGGUUAGUCAGGUCAUGGCCGACACCCUCGCCAGGCUUCCGCUUGAAGGUUGCCGAGAUACAUGACGUGUACAUGGUGGUAAGUGGCGAGAGCGUGUGUGAAGAAGUACACCCCUGCAGGGUUAACAUGAUCUAUUCGAAUAGCCGGGUCCGCGGUUAUGGACUUCUUGGAUGCUUACAUGGUACAUAGACAACUUGUAGUGGAUACUCUAAAAUGCUCAAGACAAGUGUGUGUACUAUGGAUGGCCUUCUCGUAGGGAGACGGGGAUGAAUCCAUAGUAGUGUAUUGCAUGGUGAUUAGUGGACUCGUGUGUGCCAUAUCACCUCAAAGAAGUUCUGGUAGUCGUAGAACAGGAUAGCCACAGAGUCAAAGCUGGCUUGCUGCAACUAAACCCCACAUUACCCUCUUGAUACAAAUGCAUGUAUGAUAGGAUCUGAUGUAAGUCUUGCUGAGUACCUUUGUACUCAUGUUGCUUUAUUUAUGCUUUUGCAACGGAGACUUCGGUCUUACUAGUGUUCUCGUGGACUUCAACGAGUAGCUUGUACCUCAGCUACGAUCUUGAUCGGAUGUUGUAGAUAGCCAGACUCUUCAGCCUUUUUCAUUUGUAGAUGUAUGUACUCAGACAUGUAAUGCUUCCGCUUGUUGCUUGAUUGCUCUGAAUGUUGGGUCAUGUGACCCCUGUUUGUAAUAAAUGCUAUGAUGGUUCUUUGAGCCUUAUCUAUAUGAGUUGUUGAGUUAUGUGGUGAUGCCAUGUUGUACAGCACAUACUUGCAUGUUAUGCGUACGUGUAAUGUGUAUUGCUAUGUGUGGGAUCUAACUAUCUAGUUGUUUAUCCUUAGUAGCCUCUCUUAUCGGGAAAUGUCUCCUAGUGCUUCCACCGAGCCCUGGUAGCUUGCUACUGCUCCGGAACACUUAGGUUGGCCGGCAUGUGUCCUUCUUCGUUCCUGUGUCUGUCCCUUCGGGGAAAUGUCACGCGGUGUCUACUGGAGUCCUGUUAGCCUGCUACAGCCCGGUUUACCGGAGUCCUGCUAGCCCAGUUGCUACAGCCCGGAUUCACUUGCUGAUGACCGACACGUUCGAUGUUGGGUCAUGUAUGCCUGUCCCUGUAAGUUAGUGCCACUUUGGGUUCACGACUAGUCAUGUCAGCCCGGGUUCUUUAUCAUAUGGAUGCUAGCGACAUUAUCAUAUACGUGUGCCAAAAGGCGCAAACGGUCCCGGGCAUGGUAAGGCGACACCCGUGGGAAUACCGUGCGUGAGGCCGCAAAGUGAUAUGAAGUGUUACAUGCUAGAUCGGUGUGGCAUAGAAUCGGGGUCCUGACAGCUUUGGUAUCAGAGCCUGACUACCUGUAGGAUUACCAAGCCAAACUGGUCGAAGUUGAGUCUAGAAAUUCUUUAGAUAUGUAAGGGAAUUGAUUGUGGGAAGGAACGUAAGGCUCUUUUUACUCCUUAUACCUCAUGGCCUUCUGAUCUGAGUCAUCCUAUCUUUCCUACGGGGUUAAGGAAUUAGGCAUUCUCUUCCGUCUAUCAGGAUCACGUGUUACUACUCCAUAGUCCCAUAGGAUUGGUUGAUCAGAGUCUUACCCCAGUUUCGAGUACUUCCGGUGUAGCCUGUUUAGUAGGAUCUUAGAACCUUGAGUGAUGAUGUUGAGUAUGUUACUACCCCAUCUUAGCAGGAUGUCUCAUUCUGAGCAUUUUACUGCCGUUAUGCCGCCGGAAUUGCCCUAGGAGUUCGAGAGAUACUAAUUUCCUUGUCCUACAUUCUGUAGCCUAUAGUUGAUGCUGAUUCCGUCCUUGGUUUCGUUUCUCAGGAUGUCAUCAGCUAAGAGAAGUUCCAUUGCUCGUAAACAGAACCGCGGAGAUGGUAGGGAUGAGGAUCCUCCCGACCAGCCUUCGUUGGCAGAAUUCAUGUUAGAAAUGGAGAGGAACAAGCGUGAGUCUAACCGCUUGUUGGCACGUAUCGAGGAGAACACCGCACAUCAGUUCAAAGGGCCUGCUAUCAUUCAUGACUUCAUUCGCUUGCACCCACCCACCUUUCAUCAUUCUAUUGAGCCACUCGAUUUAGAUGACUGGCUCCGUAGCAUCACUCAUAAGUUGCGUUCCGCAAACGUAUCUGAAGAUGACAAGGUCACCUAUGCCACGUUCCACCUGGAAGGUCCUGCUAGUCUUUGGUGGCAGAACUAUGAGGCUAUGCUUCCUGCUGGUCAGAUUCCUACCUGGAGAGAUUUCACUGAGGCUUUUCGCGAGCAUCACAUUCCUGAAGCCCUCAUCGAUCGCAAGAGAGAAGAGUUCUGUAGUUUCACCCAGAGUAAGAUGGCUGUUGAUGCUUAUAGUAGAGAGUUUGAGAACCUCGCCCGCUAUGCCACAGAAGAGGUGUCCACGGACGCCAAGAAGCAAGCUAGGUUCCGGAAGGGUCUCAACCCCAAGUUGCGUCGUGAUCUCCACCUGCAUCAUUGUGAUACAUUCCAAGCCCUUGUGAACAAGUCCAUUAAUGCAGAGACAACUCAGCUCACUUACGAGGAGUCUCAUAAGCACACCCGUGAUCUGGGAUCUUCCUCCGGUUCUAGUUCUUAGAAGCGCCGGAUUUGGGUUCGAAACUCCGCUCUUCCUUCCAGAUAUGCACCGAGACCAUCUUAUGUGGUGCCAUCCCCAGCUCAGUCAUAUGUUCCACCCAGGCCUAUUGGUAGACCGCUUGUCAGUGCGGGUCAACGUCCAACUUCAGGGACUUGCUUCACAUGCGGGAAGCCAGGACACUAUGCACGUGACUGCUCUCAGACUAGUUAUUCUCCACCCCAGCCCGAGAAGUCUGUUGACUAUGUUAAGCCAUCACGCAAGAUGAUCAAUGUUAAGUCAGCUCCCACUGAACGUGGGCGUGUGCAUCACGUCUCAGCUAAAGACGCUCAUGAUGAUCCGGAUGUCGUUCUUGGUACACUCCUUGUCAACUGUCAUCCAGCAUCAGUUUUGUUCGAUACUGGAGCGUCUCACUCCUUCAUUUCUGAAAGCUAUGCUAACUUGCACAACAUGUCUUUUUGUGUUAUGCCCUCCCCACUAGUCAUUCAAACUCCUGGAUCCAAAUGGCAAACUUCUAGUGUAAGCCAUGGUAACGGAAUCCUUGUAGACAGACUUGUAUUCCUUGCAUCUCUUAUAGCCCUCAAGUCUACAAAUAUUAACAUCAUCUUGGGUAUGGACUGGAUGACAGCUCAUUAUGCCAAGAUUGAUUGUUACGCCAGGUCCGUUCAGCUUACACACCCAUCUGGCCAGAUAGUCACUGUCUCCACUAGAGUUGCAAGGCGUCAACUCUAUUCUGUUAAUGCCAGCCCUCUUCCAGACCUUGAAGAUAUCCCGGUUGUCCAUGACUUUCCGGAUGUCUUUCCAGAAGAACUGCCAGGUGUUCCACCUGACAGAGAUGUAGAGUUCAUCAUAGAUCUUAUCCCAGGAACUGCUCCAAUCUCUAGGAGACCUUACAAGAUGGCACCCUUAGAACUAGCCGAGCUUAAGAAACAACUUGAUGAGUCCUUGCAAAAGGGUUUCAUCCGCCCUAGUUCUUCCCCUUGGGCUUGCCCCAUCCGCUUUGUCAAAAAGAAGGAUGGUACGGACCGGAUGGUUGUAGAUUAUCGUCCCGUUAAUUUGGUCACGAUAAAGAACAAGUAUCCGCUCCCCAGGAUCAACGACCUGUAUGAUCAGCUCGCUGGAUCCUCAGUCUUCUCCAAGAUGGAUUUGAGGUUAGGCUACCACCAAAUCAAGAUCAGAAAUGGGGACAUCCCCAAGACGGCCUUUGUCACUCGUUAUGGCCAGUACGAGUACACCGUCAUGUCCUUUGGUCUAACCAACGCUCCAGCUACUUUCUCCCGCUUGAUGAACUCGAUCUUCAUGGAGUACCUAGAUAAAUUUGUCGUGGUUUACCUCGAUGAUAUUCUUAUUUACUCGAAGAAUGAGGAAGAGCAUGUGGAACAUCUUAGACUUGUGUUAGAAAAACUCAGAGAGCACCGUCUUUAUGGCAAGUUCUCCAAGUGCGAAUUUUGGUUGCCAGAAGUGACCUACCUAGGCCACGUAAUCUCUGGUAAGGGCAUUGCUGUCAAUCCCGAGAGAGUUAAGGCCGUUCUCAAUUGGACUCCACCUGAAACAGUCAAACAAGUUAGGAGUUUCCUUGGUCUAGCCAGUUAUUGUCGCCGCUUUGUUGAAAACUUCUCUAAAGUGGCCAAACCUCUCACGGAACUUCUCAAGAAAGAUAAAAAGUUUGAGUGGUCCCCACAGUGUGAGUACAGUUUUCAGGAACUGAAAAGACGCCUGACUUCUGCUCCCAUACUUGUGCCACCGGAUUUCACUAAAGACUUUGUUAUCUAUUGUGACGCCUCACGACAGGGACUAGGUUACAUUCUUAUGUAGGAUCGUCAUGUGAUUGCCUAUGCAUAUCGGCAGUUGCAUCCACAUGAGGAGAAUUAUCCUUCACAUGAUCUAGAGCUUGCAGCCGUAGUCUAUGCACUAAAGACUGGCCUGGCGACAUUACCUCCUUGGUAAACGUUGCGAGAUCUACACUGAUCACCAGAGUCUCAAGUAUAUCUUCACCCAACCAGAUUUGAGCCUUAGGCAAAGACGUUGGUUGGAAGUGAUCUCAGAUUAUGAUCUAGGGAUUACUUACACUCCAGGCAAAGCUAAUGUCAUGGCUGAUGCGCUAAGUCAUAAAUCCUAUUGCAACAAUCUCAUGUUGCAGCAGGGCCAACCACUUCUGCAUGAGGAAUUCUGUAAGCUUAACCUUCACAUUGCUCCUCACGGAUUCCUUUCUACCUUGGUGGCGAAACCUACCCUCAAGGAUCAGAUCAUUACUGACCAGAAGUUUGAUAGGGGUGUUAUCCGCAUCAAGAGAAACAUUAAGAAGGGAGUUGGUGGAUGUUUUUCUAUGGAUGAUCGAGGUGUUGUUUUCUUUGGGAAUCCCUUGGUGGUUCCCAAAAAUCAACAUCUGCGACAAUUGAUUCUUAAGGAGGCGCAUGAAUCCCCUCUCACGAUUCAUCCCGGUAGUACGAAGAUGUAUGAAGACCUACGCCAAAGGUUCUGGUGGACUAGGAUGAAGAGAGAAAUCGCUGAGUUCAUUGCUAAAUGUGAUGUCUGUCGUCGCGUUAAGAUAGAGCAUCAAAGACCUACUGGCACUCUUCAGCCUCUAGCCGUUCCUGAGUGGAAAUGUGAUAAAGUUGGUAUGGACUUCAUCACCGGCUUUCCCAGGACCAAAAAAGGGAAUAAUGCUAUCUUCGUAGUCAUUGAUCGUCUCUCCAAAGUGGCUCACUUCCUUCCUGUUUGAGAGAGUAUCACUGCUAGUCAGCUCGGUGACUUAUAUAUUUCUCGAAUAGUGUCACUUCAUGGUGUUCCAUUAGAGAUCAAUUCAGACCGUGGCAGUCUUUUCACUUCUCAUUUCUGGGAGAGUUUCCAAACUGCCAUGGGAACCCAUCUUUCCUUCAGUACCGCUUUCCACCCUCAGUCGAGUGGUCAGGUGGAAAGGGUCAAUCAAAUCCUGGAAGACAUGCUUAGAGCUUGCGUUAUCUCAUUCGGUAUGGAUUGGGAGAAAUGUCUUCCUUUCGCCGAGUUUGCUUAUAACAAUAGCUAUCAAUCCAGUCUCAAGAAAGCUCCUUUUGAGGUUCUCUAUGGACGAAGAUGUCGAACACCUUUGAACUGGUCAGAAACCGGUGAAAGACAAUUCUUUGGACCGGACAUGAUCCAGGAGGCAGAAGAGCAAGUUCGCAUCAUUCGUGAGAAUUUGAAAACAGCCCAGUCUCGUCAAAAGAGCCAGUAUGAUCGUCAUCAUAAGGAUAUGACUUAUGAAGUUGGCGACAAAGCUUACCUUCGGGUUACUCCUUUGAAGGGUACCCAUCGUUUCGGUAUCAAGGGCAAGUUGGCUCCUCGUUACAUUGGUCCUUUUCGUAUUCUCGCUAAACGAGGAGAGGUUGCCUACCAGUUGGAACUACCCACACAUCUUUCUCGAGUUCAUGAUGUCUUCCACGUCUCUCAACUCAGGCGUUGCUUCUCGGAUCCUAUCCGCGGAGUGGACCACGAAACGCUUGAUCUCCAAGAUAACCUCACAUACCGAGAGUACCCGGUUCGCAUUCUUGAUCAAGCAAAGCGUGUUACCCGACGUCAGAAAAUCAAGUUUCUCAAGGUUCAGUGGUCUCAUCAUUCCGAGAGAGAAGCUACUUGGGAGCGAGAAGAUCGUCUUCGAUUGGAGUACCCCACCUUCUUUCCGUCGACCCCUGAAUCUCGGGACGAGAUUCUUUCAAGUGGGGGCGAGUUGUCACAUCCCUAGUUCUGGUAUGACCUAGACUAGCUAGCCAGUUGUGCAUCAUUUUUAAAUUCCUUUUAAUUUUGAAAUGAGGACUUGUGAAACCCUCAGAAUCAUCUCUGAAAAUGACCUGAAUAAACAAUUGUUCCAAAAAGGUCCAAGAAAAUGUUCAUGUUGCUCUCUGAAAAUAUUGGUCAGAGGUAAAAUUCAAACAAAUAUUUUAGGAGCUCAUGGAUAUUUAUUUUGGCCAUUUGGAUUAAUCCGAUAAUUAUUUGCAUUGGAUAUAUAUAUGUCAUAUAUAUAAUAUAUGUCCAAAAAUUAUACCAUUUGCUGAGGAGCUCUGGAAUAAUAUAGUUAGCUCCUGCAAAAAUUGGCAUAAGGUAAUAAAAUGAUUUAGUAUUUUAAUUAAAUCAAAACAAAUGUUAGAAAAAUAGAAAAAGAAAUAAAAGAGGAAAACCCUACCUGGACUUACCCGCGGCCUGGCACUGUGUGGCCUGCCGACGCCAGUCGUCCCCUUCCUCGCGCCAGGAGGACAGGGGCACGCGCCGGCGCACGCGGCCACGCGUCCGGCUGGGGCCACGUCUCCCCGCCACCUCCUGCUUCUCCCCCUCGUCGUCUGGAUGCCCCGGGGGACGCCACGCGCCCUCCCGACCACUCUCACUCUCCCCCUGUUCUCUCCCUCGCCGUUUCCCACCGUGCCCGAACGCUGCCGUCGCCGCCGCAUGCCGUUGCCAUAGCCACCGCCUCCCCCUCGCCUCUCCGACAUGCGCAGGAGUUCCGCCUCCUCGCUCUGAAGCUCUCCGCCGAGCCACACAAGCCGGAGCGCCCGUGGAGCCGUCGCCGUCGCCUUCAUCACCUCCGGCCGCCACAGAUCGCCUUCGCCGCUUCGUCGUCUCCAGCGCGUCCCCGGCCACAACAAGCAGCCCUACAAGUCCGCCGUGAGCCCUGCUUCUUCUCCCCUCUCUCCCCUGGUCGCGCUCUCCCUAUAGCUGUCGUCUCCACCAUGGCCGAACCUUCGCCGCCGUCGAGCUCGCCAUCGACGCAGCUCCAGUGACCAUUUGGUCACCCCGGCGAGUCCAACAAGCUUGUAAGGCCCCGUAGAGCAUCCCUAGCGCUUUGCUUCUCUCGUCUUCGAGCUCCAAAUGCGCUCUUGUGCACGACCGAACUCCGGCGGCCGCAACCGAGCUCGCCGCCGCCGACUCCGGCCAUCCCAGGCCUAGCCACGGCCACCGGCCGACGCGCCAUCGAGCUGGCUCUCCAACGCGCCUAGCCGCGCGUCAUUUGGAGCACCACAGAGGAAACCCGGGGCACAAGUACGCCGCGGAUCUCGCCGGCAACUAACCGCCGGCGGGUUUGACUUGUUUGACCUGGGGUUUGACCCCCCAGGGUCACUGACGCGUGGGCCAUGCCCCUGUUUAGUUUAGGUGUUAGUUUAGUUAGCGCUAAUUAACUCAGUUAAUUAGUUGUCUCUCUGACAGGUGGGCCCAGGCCCUAAUUAACCUAGGUUAGUGCUAACCUAACACUAACUAACUCUGUUAGUUAGAUGUUACACUGACAUGUCGGUCCCAGCCGUCAGGUUUGACCUGGUCAGCACCGUUGACCUGCUGACGCAGGCAUGACAUCAUGCUGGCGCAAUAAUAUAUUUUCUGGAAUUAAAAUAAAUCAGGAAAUUCCAGAAAAUGUUCAAAACUUCAAAAAUUCAUAUCAAUUCAACCGUAGCUCAGAUUGAAAUAAAUUAUAUAUGAAAAAUUAUCAGAAAAAUGCAACCUAUUCAUCUGUACCACUUUCAUGCAUGAAAAACCAAGUUAUACCUGCUGGAUAAGUGAAACACUAAAAUGGCUUAUAUGAAGAGCUUAUUUGGAGAUGCAUUUGAACCUUUGGUUCAAAUGGACUUCAAACCAAAUGAAUACUAGUUGCAUUAGCUCAAACAGCAUCACAUCUUCAUGCCAUGUUCAUGCAUCAUAUUGUUGCAUAUGCUUGUGUAUUGAUUGUUGGCACCGUUCCUUCUCGAUAGGUCCUGCUCCGGAGACCGUUCCAGAGUACCUGUCUGAGGAGCAGUGCCCCCUUGUUGAUCUACCAGGCAAGCAAACCCCCUUGUUCAUUCCGAUACAAUCCUACUCUCUCGCUCCUGCUAUCAGUUAUUGCAUUAGGACAACAACGAUUCAUCUGCUACUUUGUGCUGCGGUAGUUGAACCCAUUCCUCUGCAUGACCCGUCAUUGCCACAGUAAAUAGUUGAAACCCACUAGCAUGUGUAGGAGUUGAUUGAGCCAUGUUGUGUUCCUACCAUGCUAUGCCUGCUAUUGCUUAGAGUUGUGUCAGGUCUGGUUCAUUGGGAAUGAAUUGGAGUGUUACGAUAUGUUCUGAUGCUGAGAGUUAAGUGUGUGAACACGAUUUGGUAAAGGUAGCGGUGAGAGGCCAUGUAGGAGUACAUGGUGGGUUGUCUCACUGGAACCGUCCUUAAGCGCUGAGUUCUGUGUAUGUUGUCCAAUGACCAGCUACUACCACACAUUGGAAUGCUUAACUGCCCCUCUCGACUUAUUAACCAACUUGGUCUCUGUCCAGGAGUCGCAACUAGUUUUUGGUGUUUGUAGGUAGUGUUAGUAGUCUACCAAGUGGCACCCGGCCAGGUGGGCUUGGGACAGACUAGGCACAGUGGCACGGUGUACCAAGUGGCACCCGGAUGGUGGGCUUGGGAACCCUGCUCACAUCGUUUGGGGCCGUGAGCGACACCCUGGCCGGAUCUCGUUGCGGAUGGAACCCGAAUAGGCGAUAAACCUGGACUAGAGUCUUGUGUGGUUAGUCAGGUCGUGCCCGACACCCUCGCCAGGCUUCCGCUUGAAGGUUGCCGAGAUACAUGACGAGUACAUGGCGGUAAGUGGCGAGAGCGUGUGUGAAGAAGUACACCCCUGCAGGGUUAACAUGAUCUAUUCGAAUAGCCGGGUCCGCGGUUAUGGACUUCUUGGAUGCUUACAUGGUACAUAGACAACUUGUAGUGGAUACUCUAAAAUGCUCAAGACAAGUGUGAGUACUAUGAAUGGCCUUCUCGUAGGGAGACGGGGAUGAAUCCAUAGUAGUGUAUUGCGUGGUGAUUAGUGGACUCGUGUGUGCCAUAUCACCUCAAAGAAGUUCUGGUACUCGUAGAACAGGAUAGCCACAGAGUCAAAGCUGGCUUGCUGCAACUAAACCCCACAUUACCCUCUUGAUACAAAUGCAUGUAUGAUAGGAUCUGAUGUAAGUCUUGCUGAGUACCUUUGUACUCAUGUUGCUUUAUUUAUGCUUUUGCAUCGGAGACUUUGGUCUUACUAGUGUUCUCGUGGACUUCAACGAGUAGCUUGUACCUCAGCUACGAUCUUGAUCGGAUGUUGUAGAUAGCCAGACUCUUCAGCCUUUUUCAUUUGUAGAUGUAUGUACUCAGACAUGUAAUGCUUCCGCUUGUUGCUUGAUUGCUCUGAAUGUUGGGUCAUGUGACCCCUGUUUGUAAUAAAUGCUAUGAUGGUUCUUUGAGCCUUAUCUAUAUGAGUUGUUGAAUUAUGCGGUGAUGCCAUGUUGUACAGCACAUACUUGCAUGUUAUGCGUACGUGUAAUGUGUAUUGCUAUGUGUGGGAUCUGACUAUCUAGUUGUUUAUCUUUAGUAGCCUCUCUUACCGGGAAAUGUCUCCUAGUGCUUCCACCGAGCCCUGGUAGCUUGCUACUGCUCCGGAACACUUAGGUUGGCCGGCAUGUGUCCUUCUUCGUUCCUGUGUCUGUCCCUUCGGGGAAAUGUCACGCGGUGUCUACCGGAGUCCUGUUAGCCUGCUACAGCCCGAUUUACCGGAGUCCUGCUAGCCCAGUUGCUACAUCCCGGAUUCACUCGCUGAUGACCGACACGUUCGAUGCUAGGUCAUGUAUGCUUGUCCCUGUAAGUUAGUGCCACUUUGGGUUCACGAAUAGUCAUGUCAGCCCAGGUUCUUUAUCAUAUGCAUGCUAGCGACAUUAUCAUAUACGUGUGCCAAAAGGCGCAAACGGUCCCGGGCAUGGUAAGGCGACACCCGUGGGAAUACCGUGCGUGAGGCCACAAAGUGAUAUGAAGUGUUACAUGCUAGAUCGGUGUGGCAUAGAAUCGGGGUCCUGACAGGUUUACCCCCAGUUUGCGGAUUGUGUCCUGAUAUAACAGGUUUAGGUCACUGUUGCCGUCGAUUAGGACUUGUGUAUAUUGGAGUCUGUCAAUAAUCGAAUCCAAGACCAAGUCAGUCCAGCCUGUGUUCCGGACCCCUCUGGAGUAAUCAUGAUGAUCGAAGAUGAUUGGUUGUAACAACCAGUGGCGGUGCUCCUCUGGGGCAGGCCGUAUGGUGCGUAUCUUCGCAAGCGCCGUUCUGUUUUUCCCUUUUGUCAUCUGAAGUGAAUUUACUGUUUUGACUUCGCGUGGGAACUUCUUUUGUUCUCUGGUGUUCUGCUUGUGGGGUGUGUCGUCAUCCUCGUUUGGUGUGUCGAGCCCCUUGUGUGCGGCGUGAAGUUUGCCGGACUGCUUGAAGACCCAACAAUCUCUGUAGGUGUGGUUUGCAGGUCUCCCGGGAGUACUGUGGAUUUGAAAUAUUUUGUCCAAGAUUUUGUUGGGGUUAGAUAGCUCGUCCCUGUCAUCUUUGGGGGGUGGCUUUUUCUGAUUUGCCGAGAGCUUUUGAAUCCGGCAUUGACUGUCGUGCUCAUUGGGCUGUUAUCCUUGAUCCGGCGCUGUUCUUUGUUACGGCACGGUUUCCCAUUUCCAUCUCUGAGUUCGGAUGUACUUGGGUCGCUGGUGCUGCUUCUUGCCAACCAGCUAUCCUCUCCUGCGCAAAAGCGGGUCAUGAGGCUUGUUAAUGCGGCCAUUGUUCUUGGCUUUUCUUGGCCGAGGUGUCUGACGAGCCAUUCGUCUCGAACGCUAUGUUUGAAAGCUGCUAGGGCCUCGGCGUCCGGACAGUCGACUAUCUGAUUCUUUUUAGUAAGAAAUCUGUUCCAGAGUUCCCGGGCUGACUCUCCGGGUUGGUGAGUUAUAUGACUCAGAUCAUCUGCAUCCGGAGGUCGGACAUAGGUCCCUUGAAAAUUUGCCCGGAAAGCAUACUCGAGCUCUUCCCAACUUCCCAUGGUGUUUUCGGGAAGACUUUUAAGCCAAUGCCGGGCUGGCACUUUGAGCUUAAGGGGUAAGUAUUUUAUGGCGUGAAGGUCAUCUCCUCUGACCAUGUGUAUGUGGAGGAUAUAAUCCUCAAUCCAGACUCUAGGGUCUGUUGUUCCAUCGUAUGCUUCUAUGUUUACGGGCUUGAAUCCUGCUAGAAAUUCAUGAUCCAGUACCUCAUCGGUAAAACAUAGGGGAUGUGCGGCGCCCCUGUAUGUUGAUGUGCCGCGAUGUUCGGAUAUUUUUUGCGUUGCAUUGCUCACUAGAGCUUGCUUUCUUGGCCCAUAGAUGGAUCUGGUUGGACCGGUUUUUUGAUGCGAAUCCUUGGGCGGAUCGCGUGCCGUAUUGAGUGCGGCGCCCUUUGUCGCUUGAGAUCGAUCGUGGGGUCAUCUAUCCGACCUGGUGGCUUCCUUGUUUUUUGACUGUGGGGCCUCUAAGGCCUCUUCAUCAAAUUCCGGUAGUAAUUUCCGCUUCGGAUAGCUCUUUGUGUGAUGACUGUUGCCGUACUUGUGUGCGGUAUUGAGUACUUUCCCCCAUCUAAUUCUGAGUGCAUCUUCCGCUGCCUUGAGCUUCCGCUUCUGCUUUUUCAGGCUACGUGUAGUGGCGACGAGCCUUUGGUGGAGGUUCUGGUGUUCGAGCGACUUGUCCGGCGUGAGGUCGUCCGGACUAUUAUCUUUCCCGGGGACGGAUUGUUCGGUUUGUCCGCCCUGUUUGGACGGUUGCUCAAUGGCAUGUUCGUCUUCCGUUGAUUCGCCCUGCUCUAUGGCUGGGUCUCUGUCAAGGUGGGGCUUGGCGCGGUGCUUACGCCGCCGCUUUGAUUGUUUUUCGAGGGAGCGAUCCCUGGUUGCGCCCUUUUGAUCCUCGUCGUUGCUUCUUUCAGGUGUGUCCACCAUGUAUACAUCAUGUGAUGAGGUGGCUUUCCAGUGCCCUAUAGGUGUUGGUUCUUGGUCGUCUCCUUCAUCGGCGUCCAUACCGUCGAUGUCUUUGGAGUCGAAGUCGAGCAUGUCGGUUAGAUCGUCGAUAGUGGCUACAAAGUGGGUGGUGGGUGGGUUUCGAAUUUCUUUGUCGUCCGCAUCCCAACCAUGCUGACCGUAGUCCGGCCAGGGCUCUCCUGACAAAGAGAGAUACUUUAGUGAAUUCAGGAUAUCGCCAAAGGGAGAGUGCUGAAAGACGUCCGCGGCGGUGAACUCCAUGAUCGGAGCCCAAUCGGGUUCGUUCGGAAGGGGUGCGGAAGAUUCGGAGUCUGGAACGAAGUACGGCACCUUGGAGUCACGGGCCUCGCGAAGGACUAGGCUAGUAUUUGGCUCUAUCGCCGUAGAGAUUGCGGCUCCUGGGACGGCGUCCAACCGUCCGUCUCCGACUGCCGCAGUCGACUCCGAGCUAAUGGUCGGAGCGGGCACCUGAUCGGUGCUCUGGGCGCUGUCCGGCGGCACAGCUAGAUCAUGCUCAUCGUGACAGUGCGGCGCACUCGGCCGUGGCUUGAAUCCAUCGGAGAUCAAGUCCCCGCGGAUGUCGGCCGUGUAGUUUAAGCUUCCAAACCUGACCUGAUGGCCAGGGGCGUAGCUUUCGAUCUGCUCCAGAUGGCCAAGCGAAUUGGCCCGCAGUGCGAAGCCGCCGAAUAUGAAGAUCUGUCCGGGGAGAAAAGUAUCACCCUGGACCGCGUCGUGGUUGAUGAUCGAAGAAGCCAUCGGGCCUAAAGGUGAGGACACAUAGGAACUCUCAAUGAAAGCACCAAUGUCGGUGUUAAAAUCGGCGGAUCUCGGGUAGGGGGUCCCGAACUGUGCGUCUAAGCGAAUGGUAACAGGAGACAAGGGACACAAUGUUUUUACCCAGGUUCGGGCCCUCUCGAUGGAGGUAAAACCCUACUCCUGCUUGAUUAAUAUUGAUGAUAUGGGUAGUACAAGAGUUGAUCUACCACGAGAUCAGAGAGGCUAAACCCUAGAAGCUAACCUAUGGUAUGAUUGUUGUUCGUCCUACGGACUAAAACUGUCUGGUUUAUAUAGACACCGGAGAGGGCUAGGCUUACAUAGAGUCGGUUACAAUGGGAGGAGAUCUUCAUAUCAUAUCGCCAAGCUUGCCUUCCACGCCAAGGAAAAUCCUAUCCGGACACGGGACUAAGUCUUCAAUCUUGGAUCUUCAUAGUCUGGGAGUCCGACCAAAGGUCAUAGUCCGGCCAUCUGGACACCUCCUAAUCCAGGACUCCCUCAGUAGGAGUUAGUCAAUGUAUGGAGUAAUAGUAGUAGAUGCAGGCAGGAAUCGGUCUACUUGACACGGACGUGAUGCCUAUAUUUCAUAAUCAUUGCCUUGGAUAUCGUCAUAACUUUGCGCUUUUCUAUCAAUUGCUCAACAGUAAUUUGUUCACCCACCGUAAUAAUUAUGCUAUCUUCAGAGAAGCCACUAGUGAAACCUAUGGCCCCCGAGUCUACUCUUUAUCCUAUAAGUUUCCAAUCUACUUUAUUUUGCAAUCUUUACUUUUCAAUCUAUAUCAUAAAAAUACCAAAAAUAUUUAUCUUAUCAUAUUAUCUCUAUCAGAUCUCACUUUUGCAAGUGGCCGUGAAGGGAUUGACGACCCCUUUAUCGUGUUGGUUGAGAGGUUCUUGUUUGUUUGUGUAGGCGUGAGGGACUUGUGUGGAGCCUCCUACUGAAUUGAUACCUUGGUUCUAAAAAACUGAGGGAAAUACUUACGCUACUUUGUUGCAUCACCCUUUCCUCUUCAAGGGAAAAACCAACGCAUGCUCAAGAAGUAGCAAGAAGGAUUUCUGGCGCCGUUGUUGGAGAGGUCUUCGCUCAAGUCAAGACAUACCAAGUACCCAUCACAAACUCAUCUCCCUCGCAUUACAUAAUUUGCCAUUUGCCUCUCAUUUUCCUCUCCCCCACUUCACCCUUGCCGUUUUAUUCGCCCUUCUUCCGUUUGAUCUUAUGUUUUCUUGUCUCUCCAUGUGCCUACUAUGUGCUUCCAUCUUUGCUUGCUAAAAAUCUACUGAUAAGGAUCCGCUUAAAGUGUUCUACUUGGAUCAUCUUCAAUCCUUAUGCGCUCGUGCUGAAACCCCAACUAGCCUAGUUGAUGGAAAAUCUUUAGAUGAGCAUGCUCAUUUUGUGCGUCAUCGUUUGUCUGAAAAAGGGAAGCUCUUAUGGUAUCACAUAAGUAGUUUGAUUUGCUAUGAUUGGAAUCUUUGUGAAAUUUAUGAUUAUACUUGUUGCUCUAAGAACCCUAAAAAACACUUUCCCUACCUAUGUGAGCUUAAUGAAAAUGAAAUCUUAUCUUCUUAUGCAAUGGGUGUUUAUAGUUACUAUGAUGUUAAACAAAUUGAAGAAUUUCUUGCUUUUAAGGGUUCUUAUGAAGUUGCUUCUUUGAUGGAAAAGUAUGAUAUUACUCUCUACGAAUCUGAAAAUUAUGACAUACUUAAAUAUUGCUAUGAAAACUAUGCUCAUAAUGCCUAUGUCAAAGAAUUUAUUGAGAGAAUGACUGUUGCUUUGGAAGAAAAUAAUGAUAUGCGUGAAUCUAUAGAUAAUGAUUCCAUUGAUUUGAUCGAAAUAUCCCUUGAUGAACAUGAUGCUUGCUAUUCUUGUGGCCAGGAUGCUAAUAUUUAUGAAGAUGAAUUUGCUAUAGUUCCUUAUGUUAAAUAUGAGAUCGUUGCUAUUGCACCCAUACUUGGUAGUUCCUUCAAUGAAAAGCAUGAUUGCAAUGAUGUUAAUAUAAAUUCUCUUGAUGUCAAUUGUGCUAAUAAUAUGCAAAACCCUAAGCUUGGGGAUGCUAGUUUUGCUAUGUCUACUACUUGUUGCAAUGAUCAUGAUUGGGGUGAUUCUUCUUUUGGUCUUGACAAUUUAUUUAAGCCCCGUGAUGAAUAUGAGAUUGAUAAUAGUGUUGGCAAUAAUAUUGGAAGUGGGUUUGGAGAGGUCAUGACUUUAGUUAAUGUUAAUCCCACUAUUUAGGAAGAGUGUCAACUUUGCAUGCAUGUGGAUCGUGUUGAAAAUAUUUUAUGUGAUAGCUAUUUUGUUGAAUUUGCUUAUGAUCCCAUGUGUAAUUAUUAUGAGAGGAAAAUAUGAUUGUAGAAAUUUUCAUGUUACAAAAUUUCCUCUCGUUAUGUUGAGAUUGCUAUUGUUCCUUUCUUCUUCCUUUCAUAUGUUAGUUUUUAUUUGCCUUGAUAAUUUGUUUGCUUAUAAAAUACCUAUGUAUAGGAAUUAUGUUAGACUUAAGUAUGUUUGUCACAUGUUUUAUGAUGCUCUCUUUGUGCUUCAGUUCUUGUCUUUCAUGUGAGCAUCAUUGAAAAUUUAUGCCUAGCUAGGGGCGUUAAACGAUAGCGCUUGUUGGGAGGCAACCCAAUUUUAUUUUUGUUCCUUGCUUUUUUCUCCUGUUUAGUAAUAAAUAAUUCAUCUAGCCUCUGUUUAUAUGUGGUUUUAUGUUUUAAUUAGUGUUUGUGCCAAGUAGAACCUAUAGGAUCAUCUUGGGUGAAAGUUAAUUUGAUCUUGCUGAAAAACAGAAACUUUUGCGCUUACGAGAAAAAAAUCUAAUAAAUCACAGAAACGUGAUUUUGAGUUGAUUAUUUUUGAAGUAGAUCAGUAGGAAACAUACCUAGGACUCCCUAUUUUGGUACGAUUUGUAGAGUUCUAGAAGUAUUUGAAAGUUAUAGAUUGCUACAAACUAUUCUGUUUUUGACAGAUUAUGUUUUUCCUGUGUUGUUUGCUUAUUUUGAUGAAUCUAUGGCUAGUAUCGGGGGGUAUGAACCAUAGAGAAGUUGGAAUACAGUAGGUUUAACACCAAUAUAAAUAAAGAAUGACUUCAUUACAGUAACUUAAGUGGUGGUUUUCCUUUCUUGCACUAACAGAUCUCAUGAGAUUUCCUGUUGAGUUUUGUGUUGUGAUGUUUUGAAGUUUUGGGUAAAGAUUUGAUGGACUAUGGAAUAAGGAGUGGCAAGAUAAUAAGCUUGGGUAUUCCCAUGCCCCCCCCCAAGAUAAUUCAAGGACAACCAAAAGCCUAAGGUUGGGGAUGCCCCGGAAGGCAUCCCCUCUUUCGUUUUCGUCUAUCGGUAACUUUACUUGGAGCUAUAUUUUUAUUCACCACAUGAUAUGUGUUUUUCUUGGAGCGUCUUGUAUGAUUUGUGUCUUUGAUUUUUAGUUUACCACAAUCAUCCUUGCUAUACACACCUUUUGGGACAGACACACAUGAUUCGGAAUUUAUUAGAAAUACUCUAUGUGCUUCACUUUUAUCUUUUGUGCUAUACAAUUUUGCUCUAGUGCUUCACUUAUAUCUUUUUAGAGCACGGCGGUGGUUUUAUUUUGUAGAAAUUAUUGAUCUCUCAUGCUUCACUUAUAUUAUAUUUAGAGUCUUUUAGAACAGCAUGGUAUUUGCUAUGGUUAUAAAAUUGGUCCUAAUAUGAUGGGCAUCCAAGUUGGGUAUAAUAAAAACUAUCAUAGAAAGUGAAUUGAAUACUAUGAUCAACUUGAUGCUUGAUAAUUGUUUUGAGAUAUAAAGGUGGUCAUAUUAGAGUCAUGCUAGUUGAGUAAUUCUGAAUUUGAGGAAUACUUGUGUUGAAGUUUGUGAUUCCCGUAGCAUGCAUGUAUCGUGAACCGUUAUGUGAUGAAGUUGGAGAAUGAUUUAUUUUUUGAUUGUCUUCCUUAUGAGUGGCCGUCGGGGACGAGCGAUGGUCUUUUCCUACCAAUAUAUCCCCCUAGGAGCAUGCGCAGAGUACCUUGUUUCAAUAACUUGUUGAUUUUUGCAAUAAGUAUAUGAGUUCUUUAUGACUAAUAUUGAGUCCAUGGAUUAUACGCACUCUCACCCUUCCACCAUUGCUAGCCUCUCUCGUGCUGUGCAACUUUCGCCGGUACCAUACACCCACCAUAUAACUUCCUCAAAACAGCCAUCAUACCUACCUAUUAUAGCAUUUCCAUAGCCAUUCCGAGAUAUAUUGCCAUGCAACUUACCAACGUUCCGUUUAUUAUGACACGCUCCAUCAUUGUCAUAUUGCUUUUGCAUGAUCAUGUAGUUGACAUCGUAUUUGUGGCAAGGCCACCUUUAUAAUUCUUUCAUACAUGUCACUCUUGAUUUAUUGCAUAUCCCGGUACACCACCGGAGGCAUCCACAUAGAGUCAUAUUUUGUUCUAAGUAUUGAGUUGUAAUUCUUGAGUUGUAAGUAAAUAAAAGUGUGAUGAUCUUCAUUAUUAGAGCAUUGUCCCAAGUGAGGAAAGGAUGAUGGAGACUAUGAUUCCACCAUAAGUCGGGAUGAGACUCCGGACUUUAUUGAAAAAUAAAAGAGGCCAAAGAAGCCAAAAUAAAAAAAGGCCAAAGAAGCCCACCAAAAUAAAAAAUGAGAUAAAAUGAGAGAAGGGACAAUGUUACUAUCCUUUUACCACACUUGUGCUCCAAAGUAGCACCAUGAUCUUCGUGAUAGAGUGUCUCCUCUGUUGUCACUUUCAUAUACUAGUGGGGAUUUUUCAUUAUAGAACUUCGCUUGUAUAUUCCAAUGAUGGGCUUCCUCAACAUGCCCUAGGUCUUCGUGAGCAAGCAAGUUGGAUGCACACCCACUUAGUUUAUUUUGUUGAGCUUUCAUACACUUAUAGCUCUAGUGCAUCCGUUGCAUGGCAAUCCCUACUCACUCACAUUGAUAUCUAUAAUGGGAAUCUCCAUAGCCCGUUGAUACACCUAGUUGAUGUGAGACUAUCUUCUCCUUUUUGUCUUCUCCACAACCACCAUUCUAUUCCACAUAUAGUGCUAUGUCCAUGGCUCACGCUCAUGUAUUGCGUGAAAGUUGAAAAAGUUUGAGAACAUCACAGUAUGAAACAAUUGCUUGGCUUGUCAUCGAGGUUGUGCAUGAUUUAAAUAUUUUGUGUGAUGAAGAUAGAGCAUAACCAGACUAUAUGAUUUGUAGGGAUAGCUUUCUUUAGCCAUGUUAUUAUGAGAUGACAUGAUUGCUUUGUUAGUAUGCUUGAAGUAUUAUUGUUUUCAUGUCAAUAUGAACUUUUAUCUUGAAUCAUUUGGAUAUGAACAUUCAUGACACAAUAAAGAAAAUUACAUUGAGAAAUAUGCUAGGUAGCAUUCCACAUAAAAAAUUCUGUUUUUAUCAUUUACCUACUCGAGGACAAGCAGGAAUUAAGCUUGGGGAUGCUUGAUACGUCUCCAACGUAUCUAUAAUUUUUGAUUGUUCCAUGCUAUUAUAUUACCCGUUUUGGAUGUUUAUGGGCAUUACUAUACACUUUUAUAUCAUUUUUAGGAUUAACCUACUAACCGGAGGCCCAGCCCAAAUUGUUUUUUUUCUUAUUUCAGUGUUCCGCGGAAAAGGAAUAUCAAACGGAGUCCAAACGAACUGAAACCUUCGGGAGCGAUCUUUUUGGAACAAACGCAAUCUAGGAGACUUGGAGUGGACAUCAAGAAGCAGUCGAUGCGGCCACGUGGGUGUAGGGCGCGCUCUAGGGGGGCGCCCCCCUGCCUCAUGGGCCCCCCGUGGCUCCCCUGACCUAUCUCCUUCGCCUAUAUAUAUCUAUGUACCUCGAAAACAUCCAUGAGCACCAUGAGAAACUAUUUCCACCGCCGCAACCUUCUGUACCCGUGAGAUCCCAUCUUGGAGCCUUUUCCGGCGCUCCGCCGGAGGGGGAAUCCAUCACGGAGGGCCUCUACAUCAUCACCAAGGCCUCUCCGAGGAGUUCUGAGUAUUUUACCACAGACCUUCGGGUCCAUAGUUAUUAGCUAGAUGGAUUCUUCUCUCUCUUUGAAUCUCAAUACAAAGUUCUCAUCGAUCUUCUUGGAUAUCUAUUCGAUGUAACUCUUUUUGCAGUGUGUUUGUCGAGAUCCGAUGAAUUGUGGGUUCAUGAUCAAGUUUAUCUAUGAGAAAUAUUUGAAUCUCCUCUGAAUUCUUUUAUGUAUGAUUGGUUAUCUUUGCAAGUCUCUUCGACUUAUCAGUUUUGUUUGGCCUACUAGAUUGAUCUUUCCUGCAAUGGGAGAAAUGCUUAGCUUUGGGUUCAAUCUCGCGGUGUCCUUUCCCAGUGACAGUAGGGGCAGUAAGUCCUGUAUUGCAUUGUUGCCAUCGAGGAUAAAAAGAUGGGGCUUACAUCAUAUUGCUUGAGUUUAUCCCUCUACACCAUGUCAUCUUACUUAAUGCGUUACUCUGUUCUUAUGAACUUAAUACUCUAGAUGCAUGCUGGAUAGAGGUUGAUGUGUGGAGUAAUAGUAGUAGAUGCAGGUAGGAGUCGGUCUACUUGUUGCGGACGUGAUGCCUAUAUACAUGAUCAUGCCUAGAUAUUCUCAUAACUAUGCACUUUUCUAUCAAUUGCUCGACAGUAAUUUGUUCACCCACCAUAAUAAUUAUGCUAUCUUGAGACAAGACAUUAGUGAAACGUAUGGCCCCCGUGUCUACUAUUUAUCAUAUAAGUUUCCAAUCUACUUUAUUUUGCAAUCUUCAUUUUUCAAUCUAUAUCAUAAAAUAGCAAAAAUGUUUAUCUUAUCAUAUUAUCUCUAUCGGAUCUCACUUUUGCAAGUGGCCGUGAAGGGAUUGACAACCCCUUUAUCGCGUUGGUUGCGAGGUUCUUGUUUGUUUGUGUAGGCGCACGGGACUUGUGUGGAGCCUCCUACUGGAUUGAUACCUUGGUUCUCAAAAACCGAGGGAAAUACUUACGCUACUUUGCUGCAUCACCCUUUCCUCUUCAAGGGAAAAACCAACGCAUGCUCAAGAGGUAGCAGGAACAUGUUUCUCGGAUGAGCUACCUUCCAAAUUGAGAGUAGGUACAAUUACCUCAUCAAGUGUUACUUUCCUCCCACUCACUUCUUUUGAGAGAAACUCCUUCUCUAGAAAUGUUCCGUUCUUAGCAACAAAAAUCUUUCCUUUGGACUUGUGGUAGCAGAUGUAACCAAUUGUCUCCUUAGGGUAUCCUAUAAAGACACACUUCUUCGAUUUGGGUUCGAGCUUAUCAAGCUGAAUCCUUUUGACAUAAACAUCGCAUUCCCAAACUUUAAGAAACGACGGCUUAGGUUUGUUGCCAAACCAAAGUUCAUAUUGUGUCGUCUCACCAGACUUUGGUGGUGCCUUGUUUAAGGUGAAUGCAGCUGUCUCUAAUGCAUAACCCCAAAUCGAUAGUGGUAAAUUAGUAAGAGACAUCAUAAAUCGCACCAUAUCUAAUAAAGUGUGGUUAUGACGUUCGAACACACCAUUACGCUGUGGUGUUCGAGGUGGCGUGAGAUGUGAACCUAUUCCACAUUGUUUUAAAUGAAGGCCAAACUUGUAACUCAAAUAUUCUCCUCCACGAUCAGAUCGUAGAAACUUUAUUUUCUUGUUACGAUGAUUCUCCCGUUGAGGGAGUCCUGGAUUAGGGGGUGUCCGGAUGACCGGACUAUAACCUUUGGCCGGACUCCUGGACUAUGAAGAUACAAGAUUGAAGACUUCGUCCCGUGUCCGGAUGGGACUUUCCUUGGCGUGGAAGGCAAGCUUGGCGAUACGGAUAUGUAGAUCUCCUCCCAUUGUAACCGACUCUGUGUAACCCUAGCCCUCUCCGGUGUCUAUAUAAACCGGAGGGUUUUAGUCCGUACGACAAACAACAAUCAUACCAUAGGCUUGCUUCUAGGGUUUAGCCUCUCUGAUCUCGUGGUAGAUCUACUCUUGUACUACCCAUAUCAUCAAUAUUAAUCAAGCAGGAGAAGGCUCGAACCUGGGUAAAGACAUCGUGUCCUUUGUCUCCUGUUACCAUCCGCCUAGACGCACAGUUCGGGACCCCCUACCGGAGAUCCGCCGGUUUUGACACCGACAUUGGUGCUUUCAUUGAGAGUUCCUCUGUGUCGUCAUCUUUAGGCCCGAUGGCUCCUCCGAUCAUCAACAACGAUGCAGUCCAGGGUGAGGCUUUUCUCCCCGGACAGAUCUUUGUAUUCGGUGGCUUAGCACUGCGGGCCAAUUCGCUUGGGCAUCUGGAGCAGGUCGUAAGCUACGCCCCUGGCCAUCAGGUCAGAUUUGAAAGUUUGAACUACACAGCUGACGUCCGCGGAGACUUGAUCUUCGACGGGUUCGAGCCACAACCGAGCGCGCCGCACUGUCAUGAUGGGCAUGAUCUAGUUCUGCCGCCGAACAGUGCCCAGGAGGUUGCACCACUGUCCUCUCCGACCCUUAGCUCAGAGCCGACUGCGCCAAUCGAGGACGGGUGGUUGGACACCACCUCGAGGGCUGCAAUCUCUACGGCGAUCGAGCCGAACACCAGCCUUGUCCUCUGCGAAGCCCAUGAUUCCAAGGUGCCGGACUCCUCCCCGGACUCCGAACCUUCCACGCCCCUACCAAUCGAAUCCGAUUGGGCGCCGAUCAUGGGGUUCGCUGCCACGGACAUCUCUCAAUACUCGCCCUUCGGCGACAUUCUGAAUUCACUAAAGUCUCUCUCUUUAUCAGGAGAGCGCUGGACGGACUAUGGUCAGCAAGGAUAGGAUGCGAAUAACGAAGAAAUUCAAAGCCCACCCACCACCCACUUCGUAGCCACUGUCGAUAAUUUAACCGACAUGCUCGACUUCGACUCCAAGGACAUCGACGGUAUGGACGACGAUGUAGGAGAAGAACAAGAACCAGCGCCUAUUGGGCACUGGACAACCACCUCAUCUCACGAUGUAUACAUGGUGGGCACACCUAAAAGAAACGACGACGAGGAACAAAGGGACGCAACGAGGGAUCGUUCCCUCGAAAAGCAGUCAAAGCGGCGGCAUAAGCGCCGCUCCAAACCCCACCUCGACAGAGAUAGCAGCCAUACAGACCCAGCCACAAAGCAGGGCGAACCGGCGAACGACGAACACGCCAUCGAGCAACCGUCCAAACAGGGCAACUUGGGUAAACAAACCGAACAACCCGUCUCCGGCAAAGAUAAUAGUCCGGCGACCUCACGCCGGACAAGUUGCUGGAGCAGAAGAACCUCCACAAAAGGCUCGUCGCCACUGCGAGUAGCCUUAAAAAGCAGAAGCAGAAGCUCAAAACAGCGGAAGAUGCACUCAGAAUUAGAUGGGGCAAAGUACUCAACACCGCAGACAAAUACGGCGACAGUCGCCACACAAAGAGCUAUCCGAAGCGAAAAUUACUGCCGGAAUUUGAUGAGGAGGCCUUAGAGCCCCCGCAAUCAAAAAAUAAGGAAGCCACCAGGUCGGAUAAACAACCCCAUGGCCAACAUAGAGCAGCAAAUGGGGACGCACACAAGAUGGCACGCGAUCCGCACAAGGAUUCGCAUCAAAAAGACGGCCCUGCCAGAUCUAUCUACGGGCCAAGAAAGCAAGCUCUAGUAAGCAACGCAACGCAACAAGUAUCCGAACAUCACGGCACACCCAAAUAUAGGGGUGCCGCACACCCCCUAUGUUUCACCGAUGAGGUGCUGGACCAUGAAUUUCCAGCGGGAUUCAAGACCGUAAACACGGAGGCAUACGAUGGAACAACAGACCCUGGAGUCUGGAUUGAGGAUUAUAUCCUCCACAUACACAUGGCUAGAGGAGAUGACCUCCACGCCAUAAAAUAAUUACCCCUCAAGCUCAAAGGGCCAGCCCGGCAUUGGCUUAAAAGCCUUCCCGAAAACACCAUCGGAAGUUGGGAAGAGCUCGAGGAUGCUCUUCGGGCAAAUUUUCAAGGGACCUACGUCCGACCUCCGGAUGCAGACGAUCUAAGUCAUAUAACUCAACAACCGGGAGAGUCAGCCCGGAAACUCUGGAACAUAUUUCUUACUAAAAAGAACCAGAUAGUCGACUGUCCAGACGCCGAAGCCUUAGCAGCUUUCAAACACAGCAUUCGAGACGAAUGGCUCGCCAGACACCUCGGCCAAGAAAAGCCAAGAACAAUGGCCGCAUUAACAAGCCUCAUGACCCACUUUUGCGCAGGCGAGGAUAGUUGGUUGGCAAGAAGCAGUACCAGCGACCCAAGUACAUCCGAAGUUAGGGAUGGAAACGGGAAACCACGACGUAGCAAGGACCAGCGUCGGACCAAGGGAAACAGCCCGAAGAGCACGGCAGUCAACGCCGGAUUCAAAAGCUCUCAGCAGAAUCAGAAAAAGCUGCCCCUCAAGGAUAACAGGGACGAGCUAUCUAACCUAAACAAAAUCUUGGACAAAAUAUGCCAAAUCCACAGUACUCCAGGGAAGCCUGCAAACCAUACCCACAGAGAUUGUUGGGUCUUCAAGCAAUCCGGCAAACUCAACGCCGAACACAAGGGGCUCGACAUAUCAAGCGAGGACGAUGACGAACCCCACAAGCAGAACACCGGAGAACAAAAGAAGUUCCCACAAGAGGUCAAAACAGUAAACUCACUUCAUGUGACAAAAGGGAAAAAUAGAGUGGCGCACAUAGAGAUACGCGCCAUACAGCCUGUCCCAGAGCAGUCCCGCCACUGGUUGUUAAAACCAAUCACCUUCGACCAUCAGGAUUACUCUAGAAGUAUCCGGAACGCAGGCUGGACUGCCUUGAUAUUAGAUCCGAUAAUUGACGGACUCCAGUUUACAAAAGUCCUAAUGGACGGCGGAAGUGGUCUAAACCUGCUAUAUCAGGACACAAUCUGCAAAAUGGGGAUAAACCCAACAAAAAUUCGCCAUGGCAACACUUCCUUUCAAGGGGUAACGCCAGGCCCAGAUACCCAUUGUACAAGUUCUCUCCUGUUAGAAGUUAUGUUCGGCUCCCCCGACAACUUCCGCCGCGAAAAGCUAACCUUCCACAUCACCCCAUUUACAAGUGGCUAUCAAGCACUACUAGGACACGAAGCUUUCGCCCGCUUUAAAAUGCCCGGUCCGCGAGGCAUCAUCUCAUUAAAGGGAAAUAUCGAGUGUUCCUCAAGCGCGGAAGACUGUGCGGCUGCCUUGCCAGCCACACACUAAAUCGGCAUCACUAAUCAAAGCACCUAAACAGGUCGUGCAGACCCAGACAUGGCUAGACGAGUCCGGCGUAAACAUACAAGGGCUUACUAGCCGCAUACCCCCGUACAAGGGGCUCCGCGCGUGUACAACAAGAGACAAUAAAACUCAAUUUUACCCAUUUUCUAAAUUAUACUUUGUUUAUUUAAUAUAACAUAGAUUUUUGCAUGAUCUUUUUCAACUAAGUUCCUCUCUUUUACAGAUGAACAUCGUGCUACACCCGUCCAGGAUACGGCACAACGGAGACACAAGCGUAGACAUGCAGUAGUUACCCGUUCCAAGGAUUCUUUUCAGAUUAAGACCCUGCGUAAACCUUUUUCACUGUCUCUUGUUGAUACACAUCCCCCGGUUUCUUGUUAUAACCGAGGAGGAGGCUGGCGUCUUGGCAUGUGGCCAUGUCCGAAUUUUGCGCUUACCUGGACACCAGGGGCUUCUUACCAAGGGCGUUGUUCAGCCCGUUUUCAUAAAGAACGAAUACCUUAGGGAGUGUUCGGCGUCGCGAGUUUGGACUUAUAUGCAUCAACUCCGAAUCAUGUCUUUGGUCAAAUGUUGGGUUUGCUCGGCUCCUGUGUUUUGCUGCCUUACGUUCCGCUCUAUCGACUAAUGCGGCACUAGGAGAACUACUGCGAUUGUGCCCCGGUUCGGCCAGGCGAGCAUCUCAGUAGAGAAAGCCGAAAACUGACUGUCAUGAUAUAGCGUGAGACUGGUCAACCAAUCGAUGACCCGCCGGAAUCUUUAGGAUUCCUCCGCAUUAACAAAGGGCUGUUUCCCGGCCAGGCACACAUGCGCCCCGAAUUCGGGUGAGCGUGGUGCCCCUAGGGGUUAUAUAGUAGCCCCACUGUCAAACUCCUAUGGCUAAGUGAAAGUGAUAAAGCAUUAUAGUCUGGUUGCCUAGUUCGUUGCGCUAUCACCUCCUUAAUAGUACCAAGACGUUGGAUCAAGUGUGAAAACGCGCCUUCUGUGAACACCCCCGCAUUAUAUGCGUGGGGGCUGAAGCCGAAGACUGCCAUCUUUCAGGUUAUAUACACAUAUACAUUAACGGCCGCACAGGAGGUAUUCUAAUUCUUGAAGGCACAAGUAUAAAAAGCUUUUAUAUUCCAUCGAAACAUUGUUUUACAAUAAUACAUGUUAUUCGAACAUAACAUCCUUCGAGCAUUGCGUCUCUAUUAAAUGAGCGCCCUGUAGAACUUCCUGAAAAUAGUGCUCGGCAGGUACUCGUCUCUCGUCUGAAUCUUGGGAUGCAGCAACAAUGGCCUUCAUCUCCGCCCAGUAUGUCUUGACACGGGCAAGAGCCAUCUGUGCACCCUCUAUGCACGCUGACCUCUUCAUUGCAUUAAUAUGCAGCACCACACCCAAGAACUAUUGCACCAAGUUAAAAUAACUCUUCGGCUCGGGCCUUUUCGGCCACAGAUGACUCACAACAUACUUCAUCGCGAGUCCGGAUAACCUAUUCAGCUCCGCCCAUGCGGCCAAACGAUCUGUUAAUGGAAGUGGGCGCUCUGGGUUGUGGAACUGCGACCAAAAAAGCUUUUCCACUUUGUGGUCCUCUUGAUCGCAGAAGUGUUCGCCGCACUCCACUGCCGGUCCAACGGAGCAUAUUUAGGAUCCCCAAACUUCAUCCGUAGCAUAAAGGGCUUUCCAGCCGUGAUAUCUCCAGCCUGACGUAGCUCCUCCUUCAUAGCUCUCAUCGCAGAGCGAGUAUCCUUGGCCUCGGUAGUGACCUUUUCUAGGUCCUUCUGUGCCACCCGAUCUUCUUUUUCAAGAAGCUUGCAGCGGUCGGCAGCAUUCUUCAACUUUACAGCCAUCUCAGCCACUUCCUUCUUGCUUUGGCUGUGAGCAGCCUGUUCGGCUUUUAGCUCUUCAGCUGCCUUUAAGGCAGCCACAUCGCUUUUCCGGGCCUGCUCCUUGGAUCGGGCAAGUUCCGUCCGAAGGUUCUCCGUGGCAGCGGCACCAUCUGCAUCAAGGACACAUGUUGUAAGGUACGGGCAUCAAGAUCCUCUUACCAGGUGUCUUCGGAGAAAUUACAUACCUUAUGCCACGUCCAGGCGCUUGUUGACAAGCGCGAUGUCGGCAUCUGCCACGUCAAGUUGCCGCUUUAGCUUGGCAAAUUCAUCAGUCCGGCUAGCCACCGGACACUUCGCCACCUAGAUAGGAAAGGCGGCAUAUUAUACCUGGGAUUAUGAUUCUCAGUGCACCGUCAUUUUUUGACAACGCACAGAGUCUCAGGGGCUACUAUCUAUACAUGGCGCAUCUUAUAUAUGCGGAUCUGUCAAAAGGUACAUCAUUUUGUGUACCUCAAAACCUGUCAGUAAACUUCUGACGGCCUCGUACAACCCGCUCUUCGUGGAUGAAAUCCUUCCAAUCACCGUAUCCAUCAACGCACGGUGUUCUUCUGGGAUAGACGCUCGCCCGAGCAGAUCCUUUAGCUCCUUCGACCGUGCACCGGACGGUGCCGGACUCGUACGAUGGCCUUUUUCGAAGGCCGGACACGGAGGGCCUUGGGGGGGCAUACGACUGCCUUCCGGCCCUGCCGGAUUUGGAGAAACCCUCUGUGACGACACCUUAGGGCCGCCCGCCUCGCAAAGCGGUACGGCAGGGGGAGGCAUUCCGCUCUCCAUAAUCUCCGAACGAAGAUCCCCUGAAGAUGAGCUCUGUUGAGAAGGGCUGAGAUCCAAACUACAAGGUAAAAUUUCGGUUAUCUUCCUCAGAAAAUAGAACAGGGAUGUCUCUCAUUUUGAAACCCCCCCUCUUUACUUACGGCUCGGUAGAGAGCUGAUACCCUCGGGGGCGCAAUGCGACCGAGGCACCCCCCCGGCGCCAGACCCUCUGACAAAGAUUUCUUCCCCCGCUUUGAGACCAUGGCCUCCGGGUCUUCAGAGGCGGUCCUCUUCUUCCCCUGGUUAGAGGAAUUCUCGAUUCCUCCUUUCCUGACAACCUCCUUCGGGGAGGCGGUAGCUUCCUUGCUCCCCUCUUCGCCUUCGUUCAAAGGCGCAACCUCCAGCAUCCUGGUUAACACGGGAUCCGAUGUAGUCUCAGGGAGGGGGGCCGGACAUCUGAAUAGCUUUGCUUUCGCUAUCCACUCCUGUUUAAGGGACAUCUCUUUUAAGGUCAAUUUCAUGAUAAAUACAUGGAUAGCGUGUUCAGGUACAGGGCUACUUACUUGAGUAUCCGGGCAAUUGCAGCUCAGACCUGCAUCCUCGGACGAGUCCGGACACAUUGCUUGUGAUCCGAAGAACAAUUUGUACAUCUCCAUGGGCGUCGCAGCCACAAAAAGUUGGAGGGAUCAUGGUCCUUCCGGAUUAAACUCCCAUAGGCGGAGGGGGCGACGUUUGCAGGGCAGGAUGCGGCGAAUCAACAUAACCUGCAUCACUACGGCCAGAUUGAUAUCUCUAUCUAGGAGAUCUCGAACGCGGCCCUGCAACAAGGGCACGUCCUUGGAUGACCCCCAGUUAAGCCCUUUAUUGACCCAUGAUGCUAGUUCUGGUGGGGGACCCGAGUGAAACGCAGGUGGCGCCACCCAUUUGGUGCCCCUGGGAGCUGUGAUAUAAAACCACUCUCAUUGAAAAGAGCCCUCGGGCCAUGGAGCGUCGGCAUUCUUGCUUAUAACAGCACCUCCGCACUCUGCGUGCUGCCCCUCGAUCAUCUUCGGCUCUAAUUUGAAGGUCUUAAGCCACAAUCCGAAGUGAGGAGUAAUACGAAGGAAGGCCUCGCACACGACAAUGAAAGAUGAGAUAUGAAGGAUGGACUCCGGAGCUAAGUCAUGAAAUUCCAGCCCGUAAUAAAACAUGAGCCCCCUCACGAAGGGGUCCGUCGGGAAGCCUAGCCCCCGAAGGAAGUGAGACGAGAACACCAUGCUCUCACCAGGCUUGGGAGUGGGAAUAACCUGCCCUUGAGCAGGCAGCCUAUGCGAGAUUUCGCCGGCUAGAUACCUGGCAUCUCUUAGCUUUAGCACGUCUUCUUCCGCAACGGAGGAAGGCAUCCACCGGCCUUGAAGGUCGGAGCCGGACAUCGUCGGAGGUCCGAAGCGCCUGAAUCUGGAGCUUUGCGUGUUGGAACUCAAGGUGAGAGGCGAAUUUGAUUGAGAUUGAAAGAAAGGAGUCGAGCCUUGGUAUCUUUAUAAAGAGGUUGAAUACCAAGAGCCCUCCCCCUGGCCGUUUGGGACUCGCCUUCGAUUGAGGAGACAUACCAACAGGCACGAUUGGGUUACCCACGCCCGUAUUGGUGAGAAUCCCGGGAUAAGGAGACACGAUCUCUGCUUUGACAAGACGUGCCAAGGAAACCGCCUUGCUAAACGCGCUGAGGUGGGACAGUAAAACGAUUCAAAUAAAGGCUUGGUCGUGGCGUGAUGUCACGCUGCGGAAUACGUCAGCAUAUUAGAUUUGUACAAAUAUUAUUCACUCUACGGUGGUAUGUGGAACUUAUUUUGCAGAGCCGGACACUAUCCUUGUGUUCAAAAUCUUCUAUGAAGUAUUCGGAGCAGGAACCCGCCUUGCAAUGCCGAAGACAAUCUGCGCGCAGGACUAUGAAGCCUGGUUCAGGGGCUACUAAGGGAGUCCUGGAUUAGGGGGUGUCCGGAUGACCAGACUAUAACCUUUGGCUGGACUCCUGGACUAUGAAGAUACAAGAUUGAAGACUUCGUCCCAUGUCCAGAUGGGACUUUCCUUGGCGUGGAAGGCAAGCUUGGCCAUACGGAUAUGUAGAUCUCCUCCCAUUGUAACCGACUCUGUGUAACCCUAGCCCUCUCCGGUGUCUAUAUAAACUGGAGGGUUUUAGUCUGUAGGACGAACAACAAUCAUACCAUAGGCUAGCUUCUAGGGUUUAGCCUCUCUGAUCUCGUGGUAGAUCUACUCUUGUACUACCCAUAUCAUCAAUAUUAAUCAAGCAGGAGUAGGGUUUUACCUCCAUCGAGAGGUCCCGAACCUGGGUAAAGACAUCGUGUCCUUUGUCUCCUGUUACCAUCCGCCUAGACGCACAGUUCUGGACCCCCUUCCUGAGAUCCACCGGUUUUGACACCGACACCCGUUCACUCUGAAAUUCUUGGAACUAUUCAAAUGUUUCAGACUUGUGUUUCAUUAAGUUGAUAUACCCAUAUCUGCUCAAAUCAUCUGUGAAGGUCAAAAAAUAACGAUACCCGCCACGAGCCUCAACACUCAUCAGAACGCAUACAUCGGUAUGUAUUAUUUCCAAUAAGUCAUUGAAUUGCUCCAUUGUUCUGGAGAAUAGUGUUUUAGUCAUCAUGCCCGUGAGGCAUGGUUCACAAGUAUCAAAUGAUUCAUAAUCAAGUGAUUCCAAAAGUCCAUCUGCAUGGAGUUUCUUCAUGCGCUUUACAACGAUAUCAGAAACGGCAGUGCCACAAAUAUGUUGCACUAUCACUAUCAACUUUGCAUCUUUUGGCUUCAAUAUUAUGUAUAUGUGUAUUACUACGAUUGAGAUUCAAUAAACCAUUCACAUUAGUUCUACGACAAUGGAAGAUUUUAUUCAUGUAAACAGAAUAACAAUUAUUCUCUAACUUAAAUGAAUAACCGUAUUGCAAUAAACAUGAUCUAAUCAUAUUCAUGCUCAACACAAACACCAAAUAACAUUUAUUUAGGUUCAAUACUAAUCCCGAAAGUAUAUGGAGUGUGCGAUGAUGAUCAUAUCAAUCUUGGAACCACUUCCAACACACAUUGUCACUUCACCCUCAACUAGUCUCCAUUUAUUCUGCAACUCCUGUUUCGAGUUACUAAUCUUAGCAACCGAAUAAGUAUCAAAUACCUAGGGGCUACUACGAGCACUAGAAAGGUACACAUCAAAAACAAGUAUAUCAAAUAAAACCUUUGUUCACUUUGUCAUCCUUCUUAUCCGCCAAAUAUUUGGGGUAGUUCCGCCUCCAGUGACCACUUCCUUUGUAGUAGAAGCACUCAGUUUCAAGCUUGGGUCCAGCUUUGGGUUUCUUCCCAGGAGUGACAACUUGCUUGCCAUUCUUCUUGAAGUUCCCUUUCUUUCACUUUGCCCUUUUCUUGAAACUAGUGGUCUUGUUUAAGUACCAACACUUGAUGCUUUUUCUUGAUUUCUACCUUCGUCGAUUUCAGCAUCACGAAGAGCUUCGGAAUCUCUUUCAUCAUCCCUUGCAUAUUAUAGUUCAUCAUGAAGUUCCAGUAACUUGGUGAUGGUGACUAGAGAACUCUGUCAAUCACUAUCUUAUCUGGAAGAUUAACUCCCACUUGAUUCAAGCGAUUGUAGUACCCAGACAUUCUGAGCACAUGCUCACUAGCUGAGCUAUUCUCCUCCAUCUUUUAGGUGAAUUCCUUGUCAAAGGUCUCAUACCUCUCGACACGGGCAUGAGUCUGAAAUACCAAUUUCAGCUCUUGAAACAUCUCAUAUGCUCUGUGGCAUUCAAAGAAUUUUGAAGUCCCGGUUCUAAGCUGUAAAGCAUGGUGCACUAAACUAUCAAGUAGUCAUCAUAUUGAGCUAUCCAAACAUUCAUAACGUCUGCAUGCGCUCCUAUAAUAGGUCUGUCACCUAGUGGUGCAUCCAGGACAUAAUUCUUUUGUGCAACAAUGAGGAUAAACCUCAGAUCAUGGAACGAGUCCGCAUCACUGCUACUAUCAUCUUUCAACUUAGUUUUCUCUAAGAACAUAUCAAAAAAUAUAGGGGAGCUGCAAUGCGAGCUAUUGAUCUACAACAUAAUUUGCAAAUACUAUCAUGACUAAGUUCAUGAUAAAUUAAAGUUCAAUUAAUCAUAUUACUUAAGAACUCCCACUUAGAUAGACAUCCCUCAAGUCAUCUAAAUUAUACGUGAUCCAAAUCAACUAAAUCAUGUCCGAUCAUGACAUGAGAUGGAGUAGUCAUCAAUGGUGAACAUCUCUAUGUUGAUCAUAUCCACUAUAUGAUUCACGUUCGAUCUUUCGGUCUCCAGUGUUCCGAGGCAAUAUGCAUAUGCUAGGCUCGUGAAGUUUAACCUGAGUAUUCUGCAUGUGCAAAACUGGCUUGCACCCAUUGUAUUUGAACAUAGAGCUUAUCACACCCGAUCAUCAUGUGGUGUCUCAGCACGAAGAACUUUCGCAAUGGUGCACACUCGGGGAGAACACUUAUACCAUGAAAUUUUAGUAAGGGGUCGUCUUAUAAUGCUAUGGCCGUACUAAGCAAAAUAAGAUGCAUAAAGAUAAAUAUCACAUGCAAUCAAAAAUAUGUGACAUUAUAUGGCCAUCAUCAUCUUGUGCUUUUGAUCUCCAGCACCAAAGCAAAGUCAUGAUCUCCAUUGUCACCGGCUUGACACCUUGACCUCCAUCAUAGCAUCGUGGUCCUCUCGCGAACUAUUCCUUCUACGACUAUCGCUACCGCUUAGUGAUAAAGUAAAGCAAUUACAUGGCGUUUGUAUUUCAUACAAUAAAGUGACAACCAUAAGGCUCCUGCCAGUUGCCGAUAACUUUUAACUUUCACAAAACAUGAUCAUCUCAUACAACAACGUAUAUCACAUCAUCUCUUGACCAUAUCACAUCACAACACGCCCUGCAAAAACAAGUUAGACGUCCUCUACUUUGUUGUUGCAAGUUUUACGUGGCUGCUACGGGCUUCUAGCAUGAACCGUGCUUACCUAUGGCACAAAAGCCACAACGGUGAUUUAUCAAGUUUGUUGUUUUAACCUUCACAAGGACCGGCUGCAGUCAAAUUCGAUUCAACUAAAGUUGGAGAAACAGACACCCGCCAGCCACCUUUAUGCAAAACUAGUCGCAUGUCUAUCGGUGGAACCGGUCUCAUGAACUUAGUCAUGUAAGGUUGGUUCGGGCCGCUUCAUCCAACAAUACCGCCGAAUCCAAAUAAGACAUUGCUGGUAAGAAGUUGACGAUCACUGCCCACAACUCUCUGUGUUCUACUCAUGCAUAUCAUCUACGCAUAGACCUGGCUCGGAUGCCACUGUUGGGAAACGUAGCAUGCAAUUUCAAAAAAAAUCCUACGCUCACGUAUGAUCUAUCUAGGAGAUGCAUAGCAACAAGAGGAGGAGAGAGUGUCCACGUACCCUCGUAGACCGAAAGCGGAAGCGUUAGCUUAACGAGGUCGAUGUAGUCGAAUGUCUUCUCGAUUUAACCGAUCAAGCACCGAACGUAUGGUACCUCCAAGUUCUGCACACGUUCAGCUCGAUGACGUCCCUCGAACUCUUGAUCCACCAAAGUGUCAAGGGAGAGUUACGCCAGCACGACGGCGUGGUGACGGUGAUGGUCAAGUGAUCCACGCAGGGCUUCGCCUAAGCACUACGACAAUAUGACCGGAGGAGUAAACGGUGGAGGGGCACUGCACACGGCUAAGAACAAUUGAUGUGCUUAGAGGUGCCCCCCGCCCCCAUAUGUAAAGGAGGGAGAGGGGAGGAGGCCGGCCUAGGCCGCGCCAAGUGGGGAGGACUCCCACUUGGACUCCUAGUCCUAUUCGGUCCCCUUUCCUUCUAUCGGGGGGGGAGGAGGGGGGAGGAGAGGGGGUUGGAGAAGGACAGGGGGUGGCGCCCCCUUCCCUACUCCAAUUCGGCCUCCUUCCUUGUGGGGGGCGCACCAGCCCCUUGUGGUCUGGUUAGCCUCCCUCCUAUGGCCCAUAUGGCCCAUAUCUUCCACCAGGGGGUUUCGGUAACCCCUCCGGUACACCGAUAUGUACCCGAUACACUCUGGAACCCUUCCAGUGUCUGAAUAGUACCUUCCAAUAUAUCAUUCUUUACCUAUGGACCAUUUUGAGACUCCUCGUCAUGUCCGUGAUCUCAUCCGGGACACCGAACAACCUUCGGUCAGCAAAACACAUAACUCAUAUAAUACAUAUCAUCAUCGAACGUUAAGCGUGCAGACCCUACGGGUUUCAGAACUAUGCAGACAUGACCGAGACACCUCUCUGGUCAAUAAAUAACAGCGGAACCUGGAUGCUCAUAUUGGUUCCCACAUAUUCUACGAAGAUCUUUAUCGUUCGAACCGCUAUGUCAACAUAUGUUAAUCCCUUUGUCAUCGGUAUGUUACUUGCCCAUGAUUCGAUCGUCGGUAUCUUCAUACCUAGUUCAAUCUCGUUACUGGCAAGUCUCUUUACUUGUUCCGUAAUACAUCAUCCCGCAACUAACUCAUUAGUCACAUUCCUUGCAAGGCUUCAUGUGAUGUGCAUUACCGAGAUGGCCCAAAGAUACCUCUCCGAUACUCAGAGUGACAAAUUCUAAUCUCAGUCUAUACCAACCCAACAAACACCUUCGUAGUUACCUGUGGAGCAUCUUUAUAACCACCCAGUUAUGUUGUGACGUUAGAUAGCACACAAGGCAUUCCUCCGGUGUUCGGGAAUUGCAUAAUCUCAUAGUCAGAGGAAUAUGUAUUUGACAUGAGGAAAGCAGUAGCAAUAAAACUGAACGAUCAUUAUGCUAUGCUAACGGAUGGGUCUUGUCCAUCACAUCAUUCUCCUAAUGAUGUGAUCCCGUUCAUCAAAUGACAGCACAUGUCCAUGACUAGGAAACUUAACCAUCUUUGAUCAACGAGCUAGUCAAGUAGAGGCGUACUAGGGACAUAGUGUUUUGUCUAUGUAUUCACACACAUGUGUAAAGUUUCCGGUUAAUACAAUUCUACCAUGAAUAAUAAACAUUUAUCAUGAAAAAGAAAAUAUAAAAUAACAACUUUUAUUAUUGCCUCUAGGGCAUAUUUCCUUCACAUAUGCCCAAUCAAGGCAGUCCUGGAUAAUUCUAGCUUUGAGGAACCCAUGUUGAUUGAUAUGUAGCAUCUAGAGAAUAACUCUUUGUAAUCUAUUGGCCAACAGUUUGGUAAUUAUCUUAAGUACUCCAUUGAGUAGUGAGAUUGGUCUGAAAUCAUUGGGUGAUACUGGCACUUGCUUUUUUGGAAUCAAUGUAAUGAAGGAUGUAUUGAUGCUUUCAAGAUUUAUAUUACCAUCACGAAAAGCCAUGAUAAGCUCAGUGAUAUCCACUUUAAUGAUGUACCAACAAGCUUUGAUGAACUCAUUAUUAAAUCCAUCAUGACCUGGAGAUUUAUUUGUAGGAAUGUUUUUUACCACUUCAUCACUUUCCUCCUGUGUAAAAGGCUUCUCAAGAUCUUGCAAGAUCUCAGGCUCAACUCUAUGUUCAUCUAGAUCAUUCAAAUCAAAGUGCAUUGUGUGACCAUUAGAUUGUCCCAAUCUUUUUUUAAAAGCCUCCCAAAGAAUAGUUGUUUUUUUCUUCAUGGUCAAUAAUUUUCACUUGAUCAUCAUUCAGUAGUAUAGCAAUUUUAUUAUGUCUAUGAUUAAUAGUGGCUUUGGUAUGAAAGAAUUUGGAGUUCUCAUCACCAAACUUAUGACCUUUUAUUUUCCCUCUUUGCUUCCAAUAAAUCUUCUGGCUAUUAAGUACUGGUAAUAGGAGUUCCUUCAGCAUAGUUCUAAAAUUCCCAUCAAAUACUGAGAGAUAUCUAUAUUCCUCAAUCAAGUCCCAAAGGAAAAUACAAGCAUUUAAAUCCUCAAACUGCUUUUUAAGACAUGACAAACUCUUAGCCCACAAUUUUAAAGAUCUUCUCAAAUUCUUAAACUUUGCGUUGAUUUUUUUGGCAGGAUCAGUGUAACAAACAUGAAUAUUCCAUGCUACUUGAACAAUGUCUUUGAAAGAGCUGUGUUUCAACCAAUAAUUUUCAAACCUGAAUACCUUGGACUUGGGAAUGCAAACCAAACCAAUAUUCCACAGUACACAAUUUUUAUUUGCAGACCGAUUUCAAAAUUGUCGCCUCUAUUCAUUUCCGUUGUCUAAUCUACUAGCCAAUUAAGUCUGAACCGAGAACCGAACCUAAAUCUCAGUCGACCGAAUCUUUGGUUAGGAAUUUUCCCAAAUGACCAAUCGGCCGUCUUUUUUUGAAAACUGAAUUUCUUCAAAAGCUGAAGAACCAAACAAAACGGUUCGGUUACACAGAAUGCCCAGCUCUCCAAACGCCUCCACUUUCUCCCAGUUGAACAUGUGAUAUUUCUUACACCGAGUCUUCUUGCCAAAGCAAUCUUCUCCCAAAACAAUCAAAUAUUUUCUUUACUCCUACUAGCACAUAUGCCCUUGCGUUGCAACGGGAAAAAUUGAUAUUUUAUGCAAACAUAAUGUCCCAUAAUAUCAGAUUCACUAUGAAGAACAUGCUGCAACGCAACAUCGUUCUACAAAAUGAACAUAAAAAAUACGUUGCAAUUUAGCCGUGUUCAUAUUUUCUAUGUCGGGCAUAAUCUCCCACUGAUUUCAUCUAAGUUUUAUCCCUUUUAAUGGCAUUUAAGUAUUAUCCUUUCGUUAGUUACCAUGACAUCCUGAUCUGUUUUAGUCGGGAAUCGGAUCCUUACUUUUCUAAUUUAGUAGCCCCAACACAUUGAAGCCUACAAUUUUUUUUAAUUAUCCUACCUUUUUACCUCAAAUCCUUCAUGUAAAAUUUAUUAAGAUCACAAUCUUUCUUUUAUUUAUUCCACCGGUUUACCCAUAGUCCUUUCUUUAAUUAGCCACAUCCAUUUAAAUAUUCUAUUCAAGCCCACAAUCCUUCCUUUAUUAGCUCAUUCACUUAGUUAGAUCGCUGUAAACAUGAUGAUUGUCACUCGUAUAUUUAGAGCGAGUUUGGAUUAGUAAAUGUGAAAGACGCAUAGGUCGUUGGUAGUUACAUCGAAGAGCCAGACAUGAGAUCACGUGUUUAAUUUCCACAAUGUUGAUUUAAUUUGUCCCAAUUAUUUUUCGUGGUUUCUAUAAAAGCCCAUAAAAGGUCCAUCAAUGUACAAGUACCUGGCCCAAAUCGCUUAGCGUGUAAACCAAACGAAAAAUACUAAAUCAAACCAAGAAUACCUAUUCCCUUUAAUUGUAGGUAUAGAUAUAGAUUGGCAAGCCAUAAAAGGAAAGCAUGCACAACAGUUUAUAUUUUCUAGACUACUUACUCUGGAGCAAAGCCCCGGUCCUUUAUUCAAAACCAAAUAGUAUGUACAGGGGUCAAGUAGUCAGCUACAUAUACAAAACAUACCUACUUACCUAGCAAAAAGGAAAACUAAGGGAGGCUGGCAAUCUAAGCCAGAAGAUUCGGCCUACCACAAGCCCUGACUCUACAAGAAAUAAGGGUUAUAUCAUGUACAAAUUUACAACACCAUGAGCCAAAAGUGGCAUAGCUCCAAAUGUCCUUCCAUUUAUGACAAUCCAGAUAUUUCAUUUCCAAGCAGAGUCAGCAUAACCUCGAAGAAGAAAGGAUGGGCAAACCUCAUGUUUGCCCCGACAAUGCAUGGUCUGAUCUCAGACCCAUGUGCCGGAUCUAUCUGCAUGUAAUUCCAGAUCCUAAGGCUGAACUAGCGGGAGAAGAAGAGAAGUCUGUAACACAUUACACAUGGGUUUAUUGCUCAAAGAAGCAGUGAGAAAAGAGAACAUGCCUCCAAUGGAUGCUAAUUUUCCUUGCCAAUAUUCUAAUCUUACAAAAAAACAUGCCAUCAUUAAAAUAAAUUUAUGGAUGGUUGAGCCUUUGAGGCUUUGAGGGAAGAAUCCAACAACAAAUAUGCCCAAUUUUCCCUUUGAGAUUUACUUUUGCCCCUGACAAAUACAGGCCAUGAAUCGUCAAUACUAAAUCAACAUCAGAAAACAGGCACAAGGCUUGACUUUAUAGAUAAAUCGACGAGCUCCACAAGAACACAAUUAUUGAAUACAAAGGUUCAGCAAAAAAGUGAAAUAGUUCACCAGCCAACAUAAAAAAACACGCAAAUGGCCUCAGUUUAUAUAGAUAAAUCGACGAGUUCCACAAGAACACGAUUAUUGAAUACAGAGGUUCAGCAAGCAAACAGGAAAUAGCUCGGGCUGGCGCAACAGCAUAGGUAAGCCCAAAAUAAAGAAAAAGAAAACAAACUACGGAGCCGGAAUCUGGUGAGCCACCCUCCGGAAGCCAAGAAGGAGCCCAUCCAGUCCUCCGUGAUCCCGACGCCAAGCGAGCACCUGCCAUUGCAGAAUCGAUCGAGGCUACUAGCUAAUUCAACAUCCCCGGCAGUGAGCUGAAACGGUCACAUCCCUUCAUUUUAUUGCGUCCAUCCGAUUAUUGAUUUCUUGAAAUAAACAGCAUGCCAUGCAUUCAGCAUUGUUUUAUUUAUUUGAACAUAGCACAACCAUCAUAUGGAAACGGAAGCAGGCACGGCUGGCGAGUUAUUGGUAGUCUUAACCAAGACUUCUGGGACGGAGUUGAACUUGGCAAACCACUUGGCUGACUUCUUGAGCUUGCGCUUGUUGCUGUCCGUCUUGUCGAUGUAGACGAGGCUGAAUCGUGUGCUGUAGCCAAGGGUCCAUUCGAAGUUGUCGAUCAGACCCCAGGUGAAGUGGCCCCGCACGUCCGCGCCCUGGCUGAAAACACACAUACAUGAAAGCGCGCUUAGCUAGACUUCAACCAUGUGUCUGUGUGUAUGUAUACAUGUGCAUGCAUGAUAACAUACGUAGUACUACCUCGGUCCUGGUUUAUUGGUCCCUAUUAUAUUUCGUGUCAAAUUUGACCUUAGAUUGAACUAAUAAAAUGUUCAUGCAUGUCAUAAAAAAUUAUGCCAUUGAAAACUAUGUUCAAAUACGAAUCCAAUGAUAUAAUUUUUGUUGACAUGCAUUAACAAUUUGUUAGUUAAAUCUUUGAUCAAAAUUUGACACACAUUACAAAGGGGUCCAAUAAACCAGCACCGAGGCAGUACCUUACAUUAAUCAAUGUGCUAUUAGAGUAAUGUAGGUAAGAGUGCAAAGUAAGUGAAACAAAAAAGAUAGGAUUUUAGGGUGGGUAGUUACUCUAUUGCGUCCUUGACGGCUGAGAUGUGGCGCUGGAGGUAGUCUAGCCUUUUCCAGUCAUCCAAUGGAUCCGGCAUGCUUUCGUCGCCUUCCACGUCAGCGAUUCCUAAGUGCAUCCAGGAAAUCCAUUUCUCUCCAAAUCCCUUUGCUCUGAGUAUAUCAAUAAUUGUCUGAUGUUCAAUAGUGUCAAAAGCUUUCUCAAAAUCCAGUUUAAUCACCAUCAUCUCUUCUUUUGAUUUAUGACAUUGAUGGAUAUAUUCAUAUGCCCCACCAAGGCAGUCCUGGAUCAUUCUAGCUUUGAGGAACCCAUGUUGAUUGAUAUGUACCAUCUAGAGAAUAAUUCUUUGUAAUCUAUUGGCCAGUAGUUUGGUAAUUAUCUUAAGUACUGCAUUGAGCAGUGAGAUUGAUCUGAAAUCAUUGGGUGAGACUGGCACUUCCUUUUUUGGAAUCGAUGUAAUGAAGGAUGUAUUGAUGCUUUCAAGAUUUAUAUUACCAGCAUGAAAAGCCAUGAUGAGCUCAGUGAUAUCCACUUUAAUGAUGUUCCAACAAGCUUUGAUGAACUCAUUAUUAAAUACAUCAGGACCUGGAGAUUUAUCUGUAGGAAGGUUUUUUACCACUUCAUCAAUUUCCUCCUGUGUAAAAGGCUUUUCAAGAUCUUGGAAGAUCUCAGACUCAACAAUAUGUCCAUAUAGAUCAUUCAAAUCAAAGUGCAUUGUGUGACCAUUAGAUUGUCCAAAUGUUUUUUUAAAGCCUCCCAAAGAAUAGUUGUUUUCCUUCAUGGUCAGUAAUUUCCACUUGAUCAUCAUUUAGAAGCAUAGCAAUUUUAUUAUGUCUAUGAUUAAUAGUGGAUUUGGUAUGAAAGAAUUUGGUGUUCUCAUCACCAAAGUUAACACGUUUUAUUUUCCCUCUUUGCUUCCAAUAAAUCUUGUGAUUCUUAAGUAAUGUCAAUAGGAAUUCCUUCAGCAUAGACCUACAAUUCCCUUCAAAUACUAAGAGAUAUUUAUAUUCCUCAAUCAAGUCCCAGAGGAAAAUACAAGCAUUUAAACCCUCAAACUGCUUUUUAAGAAAUGACAAACUCUUGGCCCACAAUUUUAAAGAUCUUCACAAAUUCUUAAACUUUGCAUUGAUUUUUUUGGCAGGAUCAGUGUAACCCACAGGAAUAUUCCAGGCUGCUUGAACAAUGUCUUUGAAAGAGUUCUGUUUCAACCAAUAAUUUUCAAAGCUGAAUACCUUGGACUUGGGAAUGCAGACCAAACCAAUAUUCCACAAUACACAAUGUUUAUUUGCAGACCAAUUUCAGAAGUGUCGCUUCUAUUCAUUUCCGUUCUCUAAUCUACUAGUAAAUUAAGUCUGAACCGAGAACUGAACCUAAAUUCCGGUCCACCGAAUCUUUGGUUAGGAAUUUUCCCAAUGACCAAUCGGCCAUCCUUUUUUGAAGACCGAAUUUCUUCAAAAGCUGAAGAACCGAACCGAACGGUUCAAUUACAUAGAAUGCCCAGCUCUCCAAACGCCUCCACUUUCUCCCAGUUGAACAUGUGAUAUUUCUUACACCGAGUCUUCUUGCCAAAGCAAUCUUCUCCCAAAACAAUCAAAUAUUUUCUUUACUCCUUUUGGCAAGCCAUAAAAGGAAAGCAUGCACAACGGUUUAUAUUUUCUAGACUACUUACUCUGGAGCAAAGCCCCGGUCCUUUAUUCAAAACCAAAUAGUAUGUACAGGGGUCAAGUAGUCAGCUACAUAUACAAAACUUACCUACUUAUUACCUAACAAAAAGGAAAACUAAAGGAGGCUGGCAAUCUAAGCCAGAAGAUUCGGUCUAUCACAAGCCCUCAUUCUACAAGAAAGAAGGGUUAUAUCAUGUACUCCCUCUGUUCCGAUUUACUCGUCGUGGUUUUAGUUCAAAUUUGAACUAAAACCAUGACGAGUAAAUCGGAAUGGAGGGAGUACAAAUUUACAACACCAUGAGCCAAAAGUGGGAUAGCUCUGAUUGUCCUUCCAUUUAUGACAAUCCAUAUAUUCCAUUUCCAAGCAGAGUCAGCAUAACUUCGAAGAAGAAAGGAUGAGCAAACCUCAUGUUUGCCCCGACAAUGCAUGGUCUGAUCUCAGACCCAUGUGCCGGAUCUAGCUAUCUCCAAGUAAUUGCUGAUCCUAAGGCUGAACUAGCGGGAGAAGAAGAGAUGAAGUCUGUAACACAUUACACAUGGGUUUAUUGCUCAAAGAAGCAGUGAGCAAAGAGAUCAUGCCUCCAAUACUAAUUUCCUUGCCAAUAUUCUGAUCUUAAAAACAUUAGAAAACAAGCACAAGGCCUCACUUUAUAUAGAUAAAUCGACGAGUUCCACAAGAACACGAUUAUUGAACACAAACGUUCAGCAAGCAAAAGGGAAAUAGUUCGGGCUGGGGCGGCAGCACAGAUAAGCCCGACAUAAAGAAAAAGAACACAACCUACAGAGCCCGCCGGAACCGGAAGCUGGCGAGCCACACCCUCCGGAGGCCAAGAAGGAGCCCAUCCAAUACGCCGUGAUCCCGACGCCAAGCGAGCAUCCGCCAUUACAGAAUCGAUCGAGGCUACUAAUUCAACAUCCCUGGCAGUGAACUGAAACGGCCACAUCCUCCCUUCAUUUUAUUGCACCCAUCCGAUUAUUAAUUUCUUCAAACUAACUGCAUGCCAUGCAUCCAGCCUUGGAUUAUUUGUUCGAACAUAGCACCACUUCGUUCUCCAUCAUACAGAAACGGAAGCAGCUGUCAUGGUUGCGUUGUUAUUGGUGGUCUUAAGCAAGGGUUUUGGGACGGAAUUGAACUUGGAGAACCACUUGGCCGACUUCUUGAGCUUGCGCUUGUUGCCGUCAUUCUUGUCGAUGUAGACAAGGCCGAACCGUGAGCUGUAGCCGAGGCUCCAUUCGAAGUUGUCGAUCAGACCCCACGUCAAGUGGCCCCGCACGUCCGCGCCCUGGCUGAAAGCACACAUACAUUUGAGUAAUCAGUGUGCUAUAUUAGGGUAUGUAUGUAUGUAGGUAGGUAAGAGUACAAAAUAAAUGAAAAAAAUAGGUAGGGUUUUAGCGUGGGUAGUUACUCUAUUGCGUCCUUGACGGCUGAGAUGUGGCGCUGGAGGUAGUCUAGCCUCUUCCAGUCAUCCAAUGGAUCCGGCAUGCUUUCGUCACCUUCCACGUCAGCGAUUCCUGCACACACACAAGUUAGAGGUAAUCCAUCACACUUCCUUUAAAAAAAACCUCCAAUGAACCAUUACAUCAUAUCUCCAUGGAUUAGGUUCUUGUCUGAUUUGAGGGAACUAGUGCCACUCGAACACAAAGAUUGUUUACAGAUUAGUGUGUGUCAAUCUUCAUGAGGAUUAGGGUAAUGAGGAUCAUGGAAAUUUGACUAGUUACUUUUGAUGUCAGAUUUUCAACCUUUUUAUUAACGGCAAGUCAACUAAAGUUUGAUAUGAACCGAUGACUGGUCAUUCGAUUACUACAAAAUCCAAUGCUAUAUACACACACACAUAUCACUACUUACCGUUCUCAGUGAUGAAGACAGGUGGGUUUCCGUAUUUCUCCUUCAUGAUCAGAAGGAGGUCCGUUAGGCCUUUUGGGUACAUGUAGAUCCAAUAAGUCCCGGUCUGCAAAUGGAUGUCCAAAAUUUUAAUUAGUAACGACAAAAAACUUCAGAUUUGUUUAAGCUUUAUUGCAGAAACAAAGCAUUAUCAUGUCUAUGCGACUUAACCAUUUUGUUCAAAAGUUUAACUAAAGUCCUGGCUGACUAGUUCUACCAUAAGAUUUUGGUGAAAAUAAUCUACAUUAUCACUAUCAUCAUAUAUGUCGUAUGCAAAAUUAACCAGGUAGUAGGAAGAUACAUACUAUAGGACCGAUGUCAUUCCCAUCACUCCCUGUAGCUGCUCGAACAGAAGGGAAAAAGUCCAGCAUUAGUAUGAGAACAUCAAAUUUCUCAAAGGAUCUGUAAAGUAUACUAACUAAGGUUUGUCCUCAACCAUAUUUUCUUACUUUCUGAACUGGCGUAAGCGUCGUCGGUGUUCAGCGUUGGCGUAAAGUCUGGUGACAUGUCAACAUGCUUGGAGAAUCUGGAGGUGUAAUAGUUGAGCCCCAUGAUGUCACAUGACGACGCUAGUUUCUCUUGCUCCUCCUUGGUGAACAUGGGUAGACGAUCUCCGAUCAGUGAUCUCAUGGAGAAGGGGUAGUCACCACGAACCACUGGCUCCAGGAACCAUCCCAUGUUGUAGUCAAUGGAUCUUUCCCGGGCCUGGUUGUCGAGGAAGGAGUCUUGGUAUGGCUCGUAACCCAUUACGUCAAAAGCCAUUCCUAUUUUGGAAUCUCCAUGCUGCAGUUGGUUCGUCAAUAUAAAUAAAUUAAAUAUACAAGUAGAUACCACUAGUUGUUACUUGUUUACUAGAUAAUGUAUAUCUCUCUCUUUGUGUAUGUACCAUGUUGUAAUGAGCUUUGAACAGCUGAACAGCCUCAGCAUGAGCUAGGAGGAUGUGGUGACCAGCAGUGUAUGGCUCUCUGAGCGAGUCUCCUUCUGGGACGGCACAAUCCAUCCCCGGCGAGCACCUCCCAGGAGCAUGAAUCCCCUCUCCGUAGGAGAAACAACAAUAUGUAUGUGGCUCGUUAAAGGUGAACCAGUUCUUCACCCUGUCACCGAAGUUCUUAAAGCACACCUCGGCGAAUUGUUUGUAAUCAUCUCUGGAAAAAAAAAUCAAACCCGAAGGAUGUUCAACAAAAUUGUUUCUUAGCUUAACAAUAAGUAGUUAUGUUAGUUUACUGAUGAAUCAUUGAAUGACAGUACAACAUUGUUUGUUAUCUGAAAAGAAACGUUUUUCUACUCAUGGUCCACUAAUGGCCUUCAUCCAAACCAAACAGUGUAUAAGCAAAAUCAUAUAUAAAGUAAUCUUGUUCAAAUCGAAUUUAACAAUAUUAUAGUUCGUAGUUUUUGUACAUAUCGUGAUUGCAAUUACUGAUCUUUCUUUAGAACCAUUUUCUUACAAAUCAAUGUACUGUUGUUU